rnacentral:lncRNA from 1 species
CCAAAGGGAAUUUUGCACCAGAAAUUAGGACCAAUACACCGGUUGUAAAGCAAAUGGUAUUCGAUUCUCCGUCAUCUUUUCUACAAGAACUAAACUAUAAAUAUAUCCUAUAGAUAAAAAAGCAAAAUAGCAUACCAUCAUUCACAAAAAAUCUUCUUUAUAACUUCUUUCGCUACAAAAAAGAAAAAAAAUGACUCAUAGAGCCUCGGAUCAAUUUCAUAUUUAUCAACCAUACACAACUAUGUACGAACAAACCGAUCACCAUUUUGAGAAAGGCAAUUCAUCGAAGAAUAAGGAGGAACUCAAGGUGCAUAAACUAAUUGAUGUUACUCCAUAUCCAAGUAUUAGUUACAAUUCGAAUGGAUUUGAGGCAUUUAGGCACGAAAAAGAAGUACAUGUUCGUAAGGAGAAGCCAGAGUAUCCAUGGAAUAACAUCGGAUACGUUGAUCAAGAAGAGAAUAGCUAUGGAAAAUUAGCUUACGAGGAAGAAGAUGAAGAAGAAGACGUUAAUGCUGAAGCAAACGCUUUUAUCAAAUGGAAGCAUGAUAAGUUCAAUCGUGCUAAAUUGAUGUCAAUGAAGUACUUUUACUAGGUUAGAGGCUUAUAGUUUGUUGUAUAUAUAUCAUGCAUGAGCCCUGCUCUUUGUUUUACGUUUAUAUACUAUAUAACUAAGCCUCAAUAUUGAUGCAUUAGCUAAAUAAAUUGUAAUCGGUUGUAUUUGUAUUUUCUUUGAUAGUACUAUCGUACCCAAGAUUGAUAUAUGGCAGACUUAUAAUUUUAUGUUUGUGUAUCAAAAUUAAAUUUGCCUUUUCUAAUUUGUGAGUAACCAGAGUGCCAACUUUUUGCUUCGGUCUAUACGAAGGAAAAUGUUUUCCAUCUUUUCUUUGGAAGUAUAAAUAAUUUUUUAUUUAUUUCCUAGUAUUUGAUAAAUAAAAAGAUAUUAUUUCAGAAAUAUUUUUAUAUAAUUUAGAGAAAAACUAUGAUGAUGUGGUGGGAUGGGGUGAGGUGGUCAAGGGGUAUCGAGGGGUGGGAUUUGGUGAAUGAAACAAUAACUCUAGAAUGUCACUUAGUAUGAAAUUUAUUUUUCAUACUUAGAAAAUUUAUUUUCAUUUUCAAAAAUAAAUUAUUUUCUAAAUAUUUUAACGGACCUAAUAUGAAAAUGUAAAAAAUAUUUUAUGAAACUCGUCCUUUGUUUGUAUUGCAUUAUGCUCCCUUCCCAGGCAAACUUAUCCUACUAGAAUCAGUUAGACCGCCUAAUAGAAUCUAUUGUUGUAAGGUUCAACAUUACUAACAAAAUCUGGAUCUGGCUCCUCUCCAUUUUCCUUUUCUCCAAUUUUCUCAAGUUCUUACUUGGAUUGAAGACGUAUCUCAAUAUUUAAAAUUAAUGGUUGAGAUUUAAUCAGUUAAUCAUAGUUCUAACCAUAAUUAUCUAUUUUCAUAUAUUUAGUUAUAUUUGAUCCUCAAAUAUCCAUUAUAUCUCUUAGUCAGUAUUUUUAAAAAAUUCUUUACUGCCAUGAAUAUAUAUUAAAAACUUUUCCUAGAUAUUUCUUUUUUAAAUUCAUAAUAUAGUUAAAAUUUUAAUUUUUGUAAUUGAAAAUUCAAAAGAGCUACAUAAAGAAAAUAUAUUGAAUUUAUUUGGCACAAGUACAAUGAAUUUAUUUGACACAAAAAGAAAAUAAAAUUAGAAAACUUCAAGCCACAAUCUUUAUUUUUUUUAUUUAAAAAACAUUAUUUAAGAAAAAUGGAAAGCAAAAGAAAAAAAAAAAAAAAAGAAAGUAAAAAUCCAACAGAAAAUUAUUCAAUGAUAAAAAUAAAAUAGUUUAAUAUAUUUAAAAAAGAUAUAAUGGGUUAUUAAAAACAUUUGAGCAAUAAAUAUAUGAAAGUAGAUAACUAUGGUUAGAACUUUGAUUUGAUUGAUUAAAUCACAAUCAUUAAUUUUAAAUUAUGACAUGUGACUUCAAUCCAAUCAAGAACUUGGAAAAAUUGGAGAGAAGAAAAAUGGAGAGGAGUCAAAUCCACAAAAUAAAAUCAUCAAAAUUAAUGACAAUUAAUACAUUUUUCAUUAAUUUAAGAAUUCUAAAUCAACUAAAGUUGAUUUUAGGAAGAUUUGAAAAAUCUAGAAAUAAAUGUGAAAGCGUUAGAAUAAACAAGAUAAAAGAAGUGUCAAAUUUUUAAAAGUUUUAAGUAAGUAAUCAAAGAUUUUCUAAAGAUUUACCUUUAAAAGUAAGGAAAGAUUUUAAAUAUAGAAAAGUUAAAAAAAAUAAUCAUAUUACAAAUAUGAUUCAAAUCGAGGCAUCUCCUUAUUCUCUAGCAAAAAGAAAACAGAGGUACUGCAUGACAAAUACAAAAGUGACAAUCCGUUAACCACUUGAAACUUCUAGUGGUAAAAUAUAUGUAUGCUUACAAUAAAAUAUAUGUUAUAUUUACAUUAUUAUAUUAAAGUGUGAAGGAUCUUUGAGAAGUGAUUUGAAUUUUUUGCACUUCAUUAAAAAUCUUCACAGUAAACAAAAUUAUUUAAUUUUAAAUAAUCAAAAACUACACGUACGAGGCACGUGCGGUUAAACUAGUAUAUAUUAAAAACGUGAAGGACAUUAAAAAUAUUGUUUGAACUUCUUGUCUUUCAUUAAAAGUCUUUGUUUUAGAUAAAAUCGUCUUUUCACCAUUCACCUAUUAUUUUAGUAAUAUUAAGUAUUGACUAUUAUUUCCUAAAAAACAUUUCCUCACAAAAAUAGAAUUCUUUUUUCACCAUCUAAAAAAAACUAACCAUUCCUAACUAAAAGAGGACAACUUAAAAUUUUCAAAUUAAAUAUCCAAAAAAUAAAAAAUUAACCAAAAAAAAAUUAACAAAAGAAUCCUCCAAGCGUGAAACCAAAAAAAUAAAAAUAAAAUAUCCUUCUCCAACAAAAAUAAAUUAAAAUAGACUAUGUAGCAGAAAAUUAGGAUUCAAAAGAUAGAGGAGGGAUAAUUUAAUCUGAAAACAAGGUUAAGGGCAUGGGAGUUCAAUAGAUAAUAUCUUUUUUUAAUAUUAUUUAAUUAACUUUAUAAUAUUAAAUUUUGAUUAUAACAAAUAUAUGAAAAAUUAAAUGACAAGAUUUCCAAAUAUAUGAGAAGACUAACUUAUGAAAUUUUUUGUUGGGUACGUGAGUCCUAAUGUCGGCAAUUAUUAAUUAAAAUUUAUUUACUUUAUUUAGCUUUCCUCCUAACAAUAGAAGACUGAAUUUAAGAGAAAAAAAAAUACAAAAAUCAUGAUUAAAUUUCAAUAUAACUCUAGGAGUCAAAUAUCCACAGUUGGGGGGAAAAAUAUCCGACAAGUUCAACUAAAUUAAUUUGGUGACGGCUAUCUCUAUAAAUAAAAAUAUUACCAUUUUAUAUAAAGGAUAUACUAUAUAUUCACCACGUCCUUAAAAAAGGGCACAGUUAUGCUAGAAGCUAAUAGCAAAGCUCACAUUAGCUGCAAUCAAGAAAUUACAGUCGAAAAAUACUGCUGCAUCAAGUUGAAUGUGAUCAAAUUAUGUUUUAAUAUCUCAUAAAGUAAAUACCAUUACCUGACAUUUGUUGUGAUUGACACAUGACAAAUAAUAUCAUGAGUGUAAAGAUACUUAGAAAUGUGAUCAAAAUUUUUUGUGCUUCAUUGAAAGACUUCACAAUAGACAAAAUUAUCUUUUCACUUAGUUUCUCAAAUUAUUCUUUAAUUAUUUUUAUAAUAUUUAAAUUAAAGAACUAAUAAUAUUAAUUAAGGAGUCCUAAAAUAUAUGGUAAAAAACGAUAUAUGAUUAAAAGUAACAUUCUUUUGAUCAACUGAUCCGUAUUACAUAGUUAGUAAUAACCUAUUAGAUUAGAAAUACAUCUAUAAAAGCACCUAGCUUUUGGUUAAAUUUUAUAUAGAUUACAUCAUAUCUUCGUGCUUCGAUUGUGGUUGUUGCUCCGGUAAGGUGAAGUUCGAAGCAAAGAAAGGAGCAGCAAGUCACAACCAUCUAUUUCAAACCAACACCACCAAUUAAAAAACUAACAACUUCUGUUGUAACAUAUUUGCUAUGUUUUACCGUAGAAUUUGUAUUGUGUCAAUAUCUUGUCUUAUCUAUUAUCUACAUUAUACUUAAUCUAAUGGAUUUUUACUCACAACAUGCAGAUUUAUAUUGUCUCAAUAUCAUACGUACCGUCGUAAGCAUUUAGUUUCUAUUAUAUGUUUUAUUCAAAGAUAUUUUGCAAGUUAAUCUUAAUGUUAUGAUUAAAUACGAUAAACUUUAUGUAUCUAUUUUGUUUGUCUGAUUCAUGAUUUGGCAUCAAGUUAGGUUAUUUGUCUCUAAGGAGCAGAUGAAAGUGGCAUCCGGAUCGUCUCCACGAGGAUGAGAAGCAAGAGAGAAUGGAGAAGGAACCAGACAUUAGAAGAAUGAGUUUGGUUUAUUUUUGAAAAUAAAAAAUGUGUGGUCAACUAUGUUAUUUGCUUAUUUAUCUUGUUUCAAUGUUUGAUUUUUUAAGUGUCUACGAUGACAUUACAUGGUAAAAAAGUUCAUUGCAUUGAUAGAGAGUCUUUAGUGCUUACUUGAUAGCUUUGUGAUUGUUUAGAUUUUUGCAUAUGUAGCAAAAUUUUCAUUAUCUAUGCAUUUAUAUAGCUAACAUGGCGUAUGAAUAUAUGAUUGUGCUUGCUGGAAUUUUUAGAGGGUAUGUAAAAUGACGUUUUAAGAAUUAUUUUAUAUUUAUUUAUGUUCAAAUUAAGAAAUUAAAAAAAUACAUUUUUUAUUCAUUGACAUGAUAUACACGUGCAAAGCACAUACACUAAAGACCUUACAAAAGUACUGUAACAUAAUUUUUUAUUUAGUUACCCACAAACACAAACAAAUAAUAAAAAAUCGAGGAUGAAGUUCAGUCUACGAAGCCUAUCCAUUUGCUUAAUCUAGCCAAAAUGAGAUUAAUCACAUUUCGUUAUGAGAAACUUUCAUAAAAUAAAUAUAAUUUGGGGUUAAUUCGAUAUUUAUAGCUAUAAUUUGCUUAAUUAUAAUUCGUAUGUACAAGUUAAAAGGAGUAGAGAAGCGAAAGAAAGGAUGAUGUAUUUAUUGUAUCAGGUUGUGUCACAAAAAUAAUUAUUUUGUAUGAGUGAACAUAAUUGUAUCAUGUGUAGCAAUAGAUUUUAUUUUUUUGUAGCAAUAGGUUAAUGUUUCCAUCAUUAUUAUACAAAUAAAAUAUCACCCUUUUAUACAUUUUUAUUAAGGACUUCCAAAAUAUAUAAUAAAAGAAAAAUAUAUGAUAAAGGUAUAAGAAAAAUUAAAAUAGUAUGAAAAUAUAUGAGAAAACUAGGUUAUGGAGAAUUAAUGUCAGCCUCAAUAAUAAAAAUGUAAUUCGAAUACCUUUAUUUGAACGAGACUUCAUAAGUUAAAUAAAUUCUGAUCAUCAAAUUUUACAUUGUAAAGUUUCAACAAUUAUUAUUACAUAAUAAUUUCCUUUCCUUUUUAAAUUCAUUUGCUUCUAAUUUAUAUUUAGAUUUAAGAGUAUCUUUUAGGUUUAUUGGUGACUUCUGUCUAGAAUUUUACAGAAACAAUGGUAAAUCAUCUUUUCCCCACAAGUAUGAUGCUUUCGAAACUUUUCUUCACAUUCAAGCAUUCGAUUCCCCCCAUAAUUUCAAUGUUUGAAGAGUUUCUAUCACGUUAAUGACUCAUGUUUUAGAUUUCAGUGGCUAAAGGUAAUACAUAUACGCUCCAUCACUGCUAAAUUGAUUUUAAGUUUUAUUCAUUAUUUCAGAUUUCAAAAUUAUGUGGUCAUUGAGUUUCACAAUAUUUUAUCAGAGUCUUUAAAUAAUUACGCAUUCACAUAUUUCGUGUUGAUAAGCCGUCUGAGAAUGGUCAUGUUGUUGGGACCUCGAAGACAGACACUAUGCAAAAUUAUCUAUUCUCGAUUAUUACAUUAUGUUAUUUCAAUAAAUUCUACUCUUAAUUCUUGGUGUAUGUAUUUUGCUAAAAUUUUAUAUAUUUAUUCUACGGUAAGGAUAACUUUAUUAAUUUGAAGACCAUGAAGUCAUAUUUUCUAACCAUCAAUUGUAAAGGCUAAUUGGAUAAAUGCAAUUAGAGUUUUAAUAUGAGAAUAGUAAUCCCAAAUGUCAAAUGUUGAAACCUUCAGUGUUGUAAUUUAGGAUCAUACUUUGAAAAGAAUUGAAAUGUGAGAUCAUUGAAGACAUCUAUUGAGGAAGAUGAUAACUAUUUUUGCUUAUAAUUGAAACGACUAUAAGUCUAAAUCUCCCAUAUAAAAUAAUCAGUAUACAACUUUUGUUAUAAUUUUAAUUUUCUAAUUUUAUUAAGAGUCUUAAAUUUUCAAGGGUUAUGUGUAUUUGUUGAAAUUGAAAUGAAGCAUGAUAAUUUGUGAAUUUCAAGUUAUAAAAUAAUCAAAGUGGUUAUAAAAAUAACUCAAAUUAACUCUUUUACCAAUUCACCAUAAAUAGGAGUAUUGAAAUUUAUGAGGAAACAAACUUGGUACGAUAGAAGUAAAAAGAAAAAAAGAGAAAAAAUGAUACGUGCAACGCACAUAGUCUAAACUAAUAUAUAUAUACAUAUAUAUAUAUAUAGUACAUUGCACGUGUGUUUGUGUGUUUGAUAUUAAAGAAGAAAAUUGCAUGCAUUUGUUUGUCCAGUGUAUAAAUACUUAGUUAUAAAGAUAACUAACAUCAUUCAAAUAAGAAGAUAAUUUAUAUGAGGUAAUUGAUAUUUUAAUUGACUAGGUUGAAAUUCUAAGUAUUAAAAGAAAAAUAAUUAACUAAUAAUAUUGUCCAAUGCAAUAUCUGUUUUUUUAAGACAAUAAAAAGAAGGUCAAAAUUUUAUUGCCUAAAAGACAUCAAAUGCAUCAAAAAUUGUCCUAAAAAUCUACUUCAUACCUGAGCAAAUUGGACAGUCUAUCACUUGCUUGACACAUUAAAAGUGAAUUACUUAGUCCUUUUUUGAUCAAGUUAUAAUUAAAAAAAUAACGAAAACACAAAAGAGAAGGAGGAAAUGUAGAGAAGUCUCAAAUCUUCAAUAGUAUUUGAUGGAUAAAAAUGGCUAAAGAGAAGUUCUUUUAAAAUUUAGCCGAUGGUGUUUAAAUAUUUUUCUUAAAUUCUAAUAAAUUCUCUUUUAGCCUCAGACAAUACAAUCUUUUCUUCCAUUUAAGAAAUUUGAAUUAUAAAGGGAAUAAAAAAUUUAAAAGGCUAUAAUCUCAAAGAUUAUAAAGACACAAGACACUAUUAUCUAUAAACGAAAACAUGAAUAAAAAUAAAAAUGAUAGUACAAUGUUGGUGUUUAAACAUUAUAUUACGGAUCUUAACCCUCCUUCCAAAAUAUUAACCAUCAAUAUGUUUUACUUUUUCUAAACAGAAUUUGAUGGUAAAUAAGAAAAAAAGACUUGUAAUUUGUAAAACCAUCUCGUACAAUUUUAUGAUAAAAAGUGUAUUUAAUUAAUAAAAUUAAAUAUUUUAAAAGUUAUAUAAGAGAAUAACACAAUAAUCAAUGUAUAAUUAUAAAUAAUAUUAAUCUACAAACUUAACAAAAAUAAAAUCAAUUAUGACAAAAAUUAGGAAAUUCCCCAAAACAUAAACACAAGCUUACGAUGGAGAAAAAACUAAUAGUAGAAAAUAGAUUUGUCUCAAUUUUAAACUUUUUCUUUAGAUGGAAAACAUGCCUGCAAAGAAUUAUAUAAUGGAGAAAAAUAGUUAUUAAAUUGAUAAAAUAAAUUAAAUUAAUUUAAAAAAGAUUGUUUGAUUAUAUUUUGUCUGUGCGAUACAAUUUGAACUUGUACCCAAAAAAAUUCAUUGGAGCCUAUUUUUAAAGACUCGAGGCAUGAGGACGAAGUGGUUGUGAGGUUGGACUCUCAGGAUGUGUGUAAGAGGGAUAGUUUUAAGUACCUAGGUCUAUGAUCCAGGGGAUGGUAAGAUUGAUGGGGAUAUUUCUAACCGUAUUGGAGCAGGUUGGAUGAAGUGGAGGCUCGCCUCGGGAGUGUUGUGAGAUAAGAAGGUGUCCCUUAAGCUUAAAGACAAAUUCUAUAGAGUGGCAGUUCGUCCAGCCAUGUUGUAUGGGCGGAGUGUUGGCUAGUUAAGCACGUUCACAUCCAAAAAUUGAAGGUGGCGGAAAUAAGAAUGUUGCGUUGGAUGUGUGGGCUUACUAAAGGGGACAGAGUUAGGAAUGAGAUUAUUUGGGAUAAGGUGGGAGUUGAUUCGGUGGAGGACAAGAUACGGAAAGGAAGGCUGAGAUGGUUUGAGUAUGUGAUAAGGAGGGGCGUAGAUUCCCUGGUUCGAAGGUGUGAGAGGCUAGCGUUGGAUGGCUUUAGGAGGAGAAGAGGUAGGCCAAAUAAAUACUUGAGCGACGUGAUUAGACAUGACAUGGAGCAGCUUCAGCUUACUGAGGACAUGACCCUAGAUAGGAAGGCUUAGAGGUCGAGGAUUAGGGUAAAAAGCUAGUGUUAGUGUGUGGGUUAUAGUUAGCAGUCAGGAGAGUUCUUGUGUAGCCGGAUUUAGUAAUCAUAGGACAGUGUACAUAAGUGUCUUUGGUAUGUGAGUGUAUGUCACUACUAGGUGGGUGACCUAUUUUCUAUUGCUUAGUUCCUAUUUUCUUAUUCCAUAUUGCUCUUAUUUUCCGUAUUUCAUAUUUCUGUGAUUUUAUUCUAUUAUUUCCUAUUCUAUAUUUCGGUUAUGUCAUCCAUCCCCUUGUUUAUUAUCCUUUAUCUUGAGCCGGGGGUCUAUCGGAAACAACCUCUCUACUUCUUCGGAGGCAGCGGUAUGGACUGCGCACAUCUUACCCUCCCCAGAUCCCACGCUGUGAGAAUACACUGGGUUUGUUGUUGUUGUUGUUGAAGAUAUCCUCAUUCUUAUGAUGUAUUCACUACUAAGCAUCUGCAUAUAGUUAAAUUUAAAAAAAAAAAAAGAAACCAUACAAUGAAUUAAACUAUGUUACCAACAGGAACAACCAUUUAAACAAAAUACCAUCUCUCAUAUAAAGGAUAUACACCUGUGGAUAUAAAAUUUUAACCCUAAGACACAAUACAAAUUGAAUUUUCUCUUUUAAAUUUGUAAAUUCAAAUUGUUAUCAUCAAAAGAAUUGGAGAUGCAGUACCACCAACACCGAACUUAAAGAUAUUGUUGGUUAAUGUCACAAUUCGAUUUACAAGUUAUGAUGACACCUACUUUUUUUGCCAGUAGGUAAGUUGAAUCAUAGCCCGAAGCCAGAUGCAAUGGGCUAACUCGGUGAAAAAUGGUCAAAGCCAAAAAUUUAUAAUUAAAGACUUAAGUAGUAAUAAAACAGUCAUUAUAGUCUAAUAGAUCGAUAUAAAAUCAACAACCAUCCCAAGAUUCAGUAACAUCGGUACAAGAGCUACUACAAGAGACAAUGAGUACUAAAUAACUAAAUAAAAUUUGUCUCGAAAAUGAAAGACUAGACAUAGAUAAAUAGAAGGAAAAAUGGAUAACUCCAUCUCCAAGAGCUCACCUGAUCUUCGAAAAUCAACCCCGCACAGACAUCGAAUUAAAGACGGCAGAGAGUACUCAGAUCUACACCAAAACGAUACAAAAGUUUAGUAUGAGUACCAAAAUUACGGAUACUCAGUAGGCAUCAUCGGCGGACUGAGCUAAACAUGAUAUAAACACGAUAAUAUACAAGGUAUCAAUACGCUAAGUCAAGGUAAAAUGGGCAAAUCUAGAAAUAAGCUCUGAUUUGCUGUAUAUAAAUAAAUAAAUAUGAAAUAGCAAUAUAAAGAUCACCCAAUUAUAACUACAAGAUUGACCCCCAUAAGCCAAUAAGUGCGGAAAAGUAAAUAACCCAACCCAGGCCUCCAUAACCUUGAAAGGUACAAUCAAGGGAACUGAGUAACCUAAUAAUCAUAAGUUACCAAUUAUCAUUCCAUAACUAAGAAUCGAUCCAAACCAUAUAAUAUCAUACAAAAUCACCAAUAUCGUACUUGAAUCAAAACUCAAUAAUAUAUCAUCAUGAUCAUUAUUAGUCGGACUUGAAUCAAACUCAUAUUAUCAAUAUCAUCAUCAAUUGUCAAAGUCAAACCAGAAUUCAUAUUUAUAAGCCGUAUCAAUGGACCAUCUCAACAAGACAUAUCGAUAAACUAACUCAAUAGACUAUGCUAAUGAACUAUAACUAUAGACCAUCCCUUUUACUCAUAUCUAUACACCGAAAUAAAAAUCACAAUCAUAAGUUAUAUCGGUACCCACAUCCAUGUACCUUACCAAUACCGUGUCUAUCUAUUCAUGCCAAUAACUAUGCCCAUAAGCCAAGUCAAUAGUCAUAUUCAUAAGUUAUAUCAAUAAUCCCAUCUUUAGGUCAUUUCAUAUCCAUAAGUCAGUAAUCAUAUCUAUAAGUCAUCUAUCAUGUCUAUAAGUUAUGUCAUUAGUCAUAUCUGAAAGCCAUAUCAAUAAUAUAUAUAUAUAUAUAUAAUAUUAAAAGUGUGAAGACCUUUAGAAAAGUGAUUUGAACUUUUUUUUCUUCAUUAAAAAACUCUGCUUUAGACAAAACUAUAUUUUCACUAUUUUCUUCAAUUUAUUAUUUAAUUUUUUUUAAUUAUAGUAACUAGACUUCUAAAAUAUAUGGGACUCCUAACAUAUAUGGAAGAACAAUCAAUUAAUAUUUUUCUUUACUGGUCAAUUAGAAAAAUACUCCUAAAAUAGGACUCUGUUAAGGAAACACUUUCAUAAAUAUUAAGAUGCACAUUAAACUAGAGAAGAAAUUGAUUUACCUAUUGGAAGAAUAUAAUUGAUGCUCAUCUAAGCCAUCUGAUCAAAAGCUUUGGUUUCGCCUGAUUUAUGGGAGGUGUGAUUGUAAUAAAGAGAGUUUCGCCAUGAAAAUUAUAAAUAUUUAAAAAUUAAUUUCUUUUAAAUGAUAUUUAAAAGUUAGAGUUGUGUAUCAAUAUUUAUAAUCUAUAAUCUAUAUCUCAUUCUUUAGGGUCAAAAUUUUCACUAGGACAAAAAUUUCUAUCAAAAUCGAAGCUUUGUGAUCACUAUUGUAUUGUUUUGUUGUAGUUUACAGGUCGUAGAUGAAUGUCAGUUGGAUUUGAAGAAUUUCUUGUGUAAAAGUUAGAUUUAAUUGUAUUAUUUUUAUAAUUUAUUAUCUUAUUAUUUUAUUUUAAUUUAUAGAUGAAUGUCGAUUGACUUUGAUAAAUUUUUUUAGGUAAAGGUUAGGUUUUAAUUGUAUUGUCUUAGUAUCUCUAUUAGUUUAUUAUUUUGUGGUAGUUUACAGGUCGCAGAUGAAUGUAGAUCGACUUUGAGGAAUUUUUGUAUGUAAAAUUUAAGUUUAAUUGUAUUGUUUUGAUAUCUCUUUUAUCGUAUUGUAUUGCUGUAGUUUAUAGGUAGUAGAUAAAUAUCGGUCGACGUUGAAAAUUUUUUUUAAGGUAAAGGUGAGGUUUAAUUGUAUUUUGUGAUAUCUCUACUUUGAAUUUUUUUGUGUGUAAAUAUUAGUUUUGGUUGUAUUAUUUUGGUAUCUCUAUUUUCGUAUUAUUUUGUUAUAGUUUAAGGUUUUGUGUUAAAAUUAGAUUUAAUUAUAUUGUUUUGAUGUCUCUAUCAUUAAAUUAUUUUGUCGCAAUUUACAAGUGGUAGAUGAUUACCGAUUGGCUUUGAAAAAUAUUUUUGGUAAAAGUUAGAUUUAAUUAAAUAAAUCCUUCAAUGUCCAACUAACAUACUCAUUUAAUCCUUCAAUGUCCAACUAACAUACUCAUUUAAUCCUUCAAUGUCCAACUAACAUACUCAUUUAAUGUAUUCAAUCACCUCAAGUUUCAAACCAAAUAUCAAUAAAGGUAUAUCAUGCAUGAAUUAGUCUACAAGGCUAACACAAGUCUUGGCCUAAGGUGGGUCAGAGGUGCUCACUUCUAAUCCUUAAAUUUCAUUUAGAAAAAUUAUACCCGGAUUAAGCUAAGGUAUCUAAAUUCAAUUCUAGGUGUCGAAUAAGCCAUAAAUAGCCUAAGAUAGCAAUUAUUUCCAAACUUGAAUAACUAAGUAUAUCACACCUAAAUUAGUAACUAAGGCAAAUUCCCUAGCGUAAGUAACUAAGGACAACUCCACCUAAUCAUGAAUGACUAAAGCAAUUUUAUUUAGCUUGAGUAACUAAGGCAUUCCCAUUCUAAACAUGAGCCAUAAAGCAACUUUCACUUGAUACAUGAGUGACUAAGCUAAUUACACCUUAUUUUUGAUUUCAAGAUAGUCUAAAUGGUUCAACUAUUCUAAAUAUUCUCAUUCAUGCUUCCAACACCUAAAUUCCACCUUAUAUCUAGUAUAAUAUUAUAAUCAUACUAAGAGAUAGCUUAAUCUAUGAAGGUAAAGCUAGCCUACCUAAAUGUUGAAGAAAAGCCGGAAGAAUUUGCUAAACUAUCGAUUUUUCUUUUCAAAAAGCUUCUGCAAGGUGUCACGCUAUCAAAAUCACAAUCUACUCAUCAAAAAGAGAAUAAUGAUACCCAUAUUUCAUUAUCGUAAUUCGGAUCCAAAUUACAUAUAAAUUCCAUGUGGAAUCUAUUUACGAAAUUACACCUUCGAAACCAACAUAACGUCUCUCUAUGCUCAAGGAACAUUUACCCUAAAAAAUGGGUGAAUUCCGAGCUCUAAUGGUGCUAAAGUCAAGACACCAAGAUUCUAGAAAUUUUAGCAAAAGAUUUGAAUUAAGCAUGAAAUUAAUAGAGGGUUAUCACAAAUUCAAAGAAGAAAUGCAUGAAUAAUCUCCACCCAAACUCCAAAAUCUCCCACAAUUGUUUCCCUCAAGCUUUUCCAUUUUUUAGGAUUUAAGAUUCUAAAGAAUGAAUGAAAAUGGUGAAAAAUCAUGGUAAGUGGGUAUUUAUACCCUUCCCAGAUGCACAGGUAUCGCUUAAGUGAACUUUAAAUCGCGUAAGCGAUACUUUUGCUCUAGAACACCUGUCGCUUAUCCGAUGAAUAGAUUGCUUACUAGUUAUUUGAGAAAAUGUCGUGGACGCGACAUAGUAUCUAACACGACCCGACUCCGUACCUUGUCGUACAUAGUAUCUGACACGACCCGACUCUGUACCUUGUCGUAAUGGGCAUACCAAAUCUGACCAGGACCGGGGACCGCCUCCUGUUACCCAACCCAACCACCUAUAUCAAGCCUUAAGUGUACUGAAUUUAUAACAUAUAACAAGAUAGUAUUUUUGUUCUCAUUAAGACUCUGGGAUAGGGUCACGACCGUGACUAACUCAAUUGAGUCCAAUCGUACCACACCAACUGCCCAACCAUACCAAACCAAACCAUAGACCAUAAACCAAAAGGAAUACCAAAACAUAAUAUGAAAAUCAAUCCUAAAAUAAAAUAGGAUGGAACAACCAACAAUAUUGUCCAAUGAUGUCAGCCCACCAACUUUUUCCAAUACCAAGGACGAAUCCUCUACUGAUCCCGCCUAUACCAACCCCAGAAGUACCACAAAUUCGGUUGGGACAUGCCCCCAACCAUGGCCGAAACCAAUAUCCAAAAGUAAAAGAAAAAUGUCCAAAGAAAUCCAUGACAUAAAAUAAUGCCUCCCGAAAGGAUGGAAGCUCACCACUUAGUCCAAAUGCUGAUAUCAAAUCCGCGUGCUAAAUAGGAGGAGUAGAAUGGCUGAUUCUUGCAUAGUGUGGGUAUACAACUGCUAGUAGAUGGGUUUAGCGAGUGACCGCUAACAUGAAUCUCAAGAUAAGGAUAACAUAAUGCCAGUUAUAAAACCAAGUAAAACCAUCCAUAAAGCAUACAACUAUACAUAUAUAAGUGUCGAGAAAGGAAAUCGGGUUUAGCAUGAAUUUAAAGCCAUUACCUGUGCUGUGUAACUUAGCUGUCCUAAACCACCCAUGGGCCAUAUGGGUUUAGCUCCCCCUGCUGAGAGGAAUCUAGUGCGUGUAGCCGCACGACCAGGUAAUAUCCCAUGGGAUGACUAGUACAUCCCCCAAUAUAAAACAUGACACACGCACACGGUCAUCAAGACCCCUCAUAUUGGUAAAUAUGAAUUUCUAGUUUUGGCCCUCUCAGGACUGCCACCUUCCACAGCUUUGCUACACACCAUGCUAUUAGUGCCCAAUUAAAAUUAGUUUCUAAAUAACAAAACCAUUACCUAUUUAUUAACCAAGGGCAAUAUUAAUGGUAUCGUCAUACCACCCUUUACUUUCAAGUAACAUCCAAAGCCAAACCAUUUGGGUUAAGGGGACCUUAGGUGACUUUCCAAUUACCAUACUUAAUCCACUUGGGAGACUUCUAUGUUCUCCAAAAGCAUAGCAAUUUAUCCUUUAGCCUUUCCAAACCAUUUAAACCAUCCACAAUUCCUUUACCAAGUUUAAAACAUGCAAGAGUUCCAUUAAAAGAUGUCAAUGCAUUGAACAUAUCUUUACAAGCAUUUUAUCAAAUACCUUGGGAGCAUAAUAUAACCAAAACCAAUUCCAAAAACCAUUAAACCAUUACUAUGUAAUCCAAUUGUCCAAAUGCACCAUUGAUGCAUAUAGAAACAUAAGUAAAAUAAUAGAAAACCAUAACCAAGCAUUCAAUAUCAAAACUCCCAAUAAUAGUUGAAAACCAUAAUCAUGAAAUUAUAAAACCAUAAAAUCAAUCAUAUCAACCAUGCCUCUAGUUGAAAUUACAAUAAGGGAAGAGAAUUAUGCCUUAUACCAAAGAAUUGAUGGAAAGAAAUCACCAGGUCAAGCCCCAAAGCAAUCCAUAAGAUGAAACCCUAGCCUUCUUGCCUCAAAAGCUCUUGAGAGAAUUAUGGAGUAUUUUGGAAUAGUUUCUAAGUGUUAAUGAAUAGAAUAAUAGGGUAGAUAACCUCCUAAGUGUAUUAGAAGUCGUGGGUCCUAGUUAGGGUAAGUAGGGAAAUAUCCAGAAUACCCCUACUUAAAUCCAUAAAAACCCAUCAUAGUGAUACUACUGACCUAUACGAGUCGUACCCUCUUAUACGAUUAGUAUCCACCACUCAUAUUCAAGCCUCAACCCUUGGAUCAAACAUUGUCCAGUACAUAACUCAUCCAACUAAGUCGUAACCACAAUAUACGAUCCGUACCCAUAACCAGUAUCUCUGGCAGAAUGAAAUACCUGGAGGAUCAAACAUUGCCUACCAUACGAGUCCUUGAUACAACUCGUGCCAAUCCUUACGACUCAUAACCUUACGUUGUACCCCUUCCAGUGACCAAAUCCAUCCCAUCAACUAACACUGGUCAGCAUACGAUAGGACCAUACCACUUGUACCCCAACAUAUGGCUCAUACCCAUAAGUCAUAUUGGGUCUGGAGAACGAAAUUCCAGAGAAUUUUCUAAGGGUCAAAACCUAGGAUGUUUCAGUCUCCCCCACUAGGAACAUUCAUCCCCGAAUGAAGGAUAAGGUAGGGGUAACCACACAUAGAGUCAUUUGCAUUAUCAAAUAUCCCUUCAACAAAGUUUGAAAACAAAGAGGCAAAGAUAUUAAUCUUUCCUUUAACAAACUCAUAAAAUAAAGAUGUGUUCAAGACAUAUACCUUUCGUACGAAUCCCAGGAUAAGAAAACAAAUGCAGAUGCUUAGACUUCAUGUCCUCUUCUGCUUCCCAAGUAGCUUCUUCCACCUUAUGGUUCCGCCAUAAAACCUUAAUCGAAGCCACAUCCUUGGUCCGUAAUCACCAAACAUUCCUAUCUAAUAUCUCAAUCGGGACCUCUUCAUAAGACAUAAAAUAUGAAAUAUCCAAUUUUUCCAAAGGAACAACCGACGAAGCAUCACCAAUGCACUUUCUUAACAUAGAAACAUGAAAGAUCGAAUGAAACAAACUCAAGAUAGAUUGAAACUCCAACUCAUAAGCAAUAUUGCCAACUCUCCACAAAAUCAUAUAAGGACCAAUGAACCGAGGACUGAGUUUCCUUUUUUUUCCAAACCGCACCACUCCUUUCAUGGGAGAAACCUUGAGGAACACCCUAUCCCCGACCUCAAACUACAAGUAUCUACACCUAACAUCCACAUAGGACUUUUGGUGACUUUGGGUAGCUCUAAUCCUAUCCCGAAUCACCUUGACCUUCUCUAUCACCUGAUAGACUAAAUUCAGACCAAAUAUGUCCGCUUCUCUAAGCUCAAACCUCCCAGUAGGAGAUCUAUACCUCCUACCAUACAACGCCUCGAAAGGAGCCAUACCAGUACUCGAAUGAUAGCUAUUAUUGUAAGAAACUCCACCAAAGAUAGAUUCUCAACCCAAUUGCUACCAUAGUCAAUCACUCAGAUAUGAAACAUAUCUUCCAAUGUCUAAAUUGUUCUCUCCGCUUGGCCAUCCGACUGUAGAUAAAAAGCAGUACUUAGACUAACCUUAGUCCCCAACCCUUUUUGGAAAGACCACCAGAAAUGAGACAUAAACUACGUAUAACGAUCAGAGAUAAUUGAAAUAGGAACCCCAUGUAGCUUCAUAAUCUCCUAAAGAUACAAUCUCGCAUAAUCCUCUGUCAAAAAGGUAAUCCGUACGGGCAAGAAAUGCAUAGACUUGGUCAUCCUGUCCACGAUGACCCAAAUCAAAUCAUACUGAUUCCAAGACCCAAGAAGAUUGGUAACGAAGUCUAUAUUGAUCACUUCCUACUUCCGUUUAAGAAAAUCAAUUUCUUGAUACAACCCUUUUGGUAUUAUAUGCUCAACCUUAACCUGUUGACUCACCAUACACUUGGCCAUGAAAUCAGCCACAUCUCUCUUCAUGCUAUUCUACCAGUAGAUCUCCUUGGGAUCAUGAUACAUCUUAGUCGACCUGAGAUGAACAACAUAGCACGACUCAUGCACCUUAACCAAAACCCUUUGCCCCAGCCUGUCGGCAUCAGGAACACACGACCUCCCUUGGUACAGUAAAGUUCCAUCACCACUAAUCUCAAACACCACUACCCUUUGCCCACCAACAUCAUCCUUGAUUCUCAUCAAAACAGGGUCCAACACUUGCUUUUCUUUAAUCUCUGCACCAAGAGAUGAUCGAACCACUUCUUGCACAAUCACACCACCAUCCCUAAAGUCCAAGAGAAGAAAUCCAAGAUUAGCCAAGCGGUGAAUAUCCUUCACCAAUUCCUGCUUGCCUUCCUCCAUAUGAGCCAAAUUACCCAUGGAUAACCUUCUAAGAGCAUCAACAACCAUAUUAGUGUUACCUAGGUGGUAGUGAAGACUCAUAUCAUAAUCAUUGAGAAGCUCAACCAACCUUCUCUGCCUAAGAUUAAGCUCUUUCUGAGUGAACAUAUAUUGAAGACUCUUGUGAUAAAAAAAAAUAUCCAUGUAAACACCAUACAAAUAGUGCCGCUAUAUUUUUAAAGCAAACACAACCGCCAACAACUCUAAAUCAUGAGUAGGAUAAUUUCUCUCAUGUACCUUCAACUGCCUGGAAGCAUUGUCAAUCACCUUCCCAUACUGCAUCAAAACACAACCAAGCCCAACCCGAGAUGGAUCACAAUAAACCACAAGCCCAUUAUUGCUUUUCGGAAAAGUCAUGAUUGGAGCCGAAGUCAAUUUAUCCUUCAACUUCUCAAAACUUCCUUCACAAAUAUUCGACCAAGAAAACUUAACCUUCUUCUGAGUCAACUUAGUCAAAGGAGAAACUAUUGAAGAAAAGCCUUCCACAAACCGCCUAUAAUACCCUGCUAAAUCCAAGAAGCUUCGAAUAUCAAAUGGAGUUGUGGGCCUAGGCCACCUCUUUUCCAUAACAACCUUCUGUGGAUCCACCAUGAUCCCUUGACUAGAAAUAAUAUAGCCCAAGAAAGUCAUAAUAUUCAACCAAAACUCUCACUUAGAAAACUUGGACUACAACUGUUGUUCCUUUAAGGUCUGCAAUACCAUAUGAAGGUAAUUAGCUUGAUCCACCUCACUCUUUAAAUAAACCAAAAUAUCAUCAAUAAACACAAUAAUGAAGAGAUCCAAGUACUACCUUAACACGAUGUUCAACAAGUUCAUAAAUGCUGUCAGAGCAUUAGUCAAUCCAAAUGACAUCACCAAGAACUAAAUAUUUUCCAUAUUGAGUAUGAAAAGCCGACUUAGGUGCACCUUGCUAAUCUUAAGAUGAUGGUACCCUGACUGAAGAUCUAUCUUAGAGAAAAAAUUUGGCACCCUAUAACUGGUCAAACAAAUCAUCUAUUUGAGGGAGAGGAUACUUGUUCUUGAUCGUCACCUUGUUUAACUACCUGUAGUCAAUGCACAUCUGAAGGGAACCAUCUUUCUUGCACACAAACAACAUUGAUGCACCCAAUAGAGAAACACUAGGACGAAUAAGCCCCUUAUCCAAAAUAUCCUUAAGCUACUCCUUGAGUUCCCUUAACUCAGUCAGAUCCAUUCUAUACGGAGGAAUAAAAAUUGGACGAGUGUUCGGAAGCAAAUUAAUACCAGUCUCUAUUUCCCUAUCUGAAGGACCACCAGGAAGAUCAUCCAGAAAGACCUUAGGAAGCUCAUUAACCAUAGGGACCGAAGAUAAAAAGGGACCUUCCGGGUUAGAAUAUUUAACUCAGACCAAGUGAUAAAGACAACCCUUGGAGAUUAAUCUCUGAGCUUAAAAUAAGAAAUAAACCUCUCCCUAGGAGCUAAGAAACUGCCUUCCCAUUCUAUAACCCGUUCACUAGGGAACUUAAAGAUAACCUUAUGGGUCUAACAAUCUACAAACGCAUAACAAGAACACAAUAAAUCCAUACCUAGAAUUACAUCAAGAUCUACCAUAUCAAACUCAAACAGAUCCGCCAAGGUCUGCUUACUACCAACAGAUACCACACACCUCCUAUAAACUCCCUUAGCAAUAAUUGAGUCACUUAUUGGGGUAGAAACAGAAAAAGGAUCUAAAAUAACUUCUAGAUUAAAACCAAAAGACAACUAUAUAUGGAGUUACAUAAGAAAGAGUGAACCCUGGAUCAAGUAAACAAUAUACAUCACAAGAGAAAAGAUGUAACAUACUAGUAACAAUAUCAGGUGAUGCCUCAAAUUUCUAUCAGGACACCACAACAUACAACCUAUUUUGAACAACAUAGAACCAGGAUCAGUAAGAGAAGAAAAUACCACCCCACCAGGUGUAGGAAUAGAAGAUGAAGCUACAGUAAUUUUAUUCUCCCCCAUAGAAACCUUAUUUAGCGGACAAUCCCUAAGUCGAUGGCCUACCUAGCCAUACUUGAAGCAUUUGUCCUUUCUUUCCUCUCAAUAGCCCCAAUAAUAACGGCCACAAAAUCGAUAAGAAGGACACAAAAAAACUGACUGACCUCCGCUCGUUUGAGAUUGGGCAACCUAUACCCGAGAAUUGUCACCACCUUGAUGACGCUUGUCUCUUGACUAAUAAGAAGCAUUAGUAGAAAAAGGAGCCAAAAGUCCCCCACUUCUUUUUUUGCCACUUACCACCAUCUCUAUCAUCCUGAGACUGAGCACCUCGCUGAUAAGAAAACUAGCUCCUUUUUCCCUGCCUAUCCCCAAACUCAGCCUGCUUCAUCUUCUCAUUCCCAACCUGCUGUAUAUAAACAGUCAACCUCGAGAUGUCCAUAUCUUUAAUCAGCAAGGAAAUAUUGCUCUCCAUAGUCAAAUCCCUAUUCAACCUAAAAGAAAACUUCCUCAUUCUCGACCUCAUAUCAUCCACCAAAUCAGGAGCAUACCUUGAUAGCCGAUGGAACUUCAAAGAAUAUUCCUUUACUGCAUCCUCCCCCACCCGAGGUUCACAAACUCCUAGCUUUCCUUAAAUCUUGAGGAAAGAACCAACCCAAAAAUGCAUUAGAAAAGGCCUCCCACAACCCUUCCUUUUCCAUAUCACCUCUAUCCCUAUCCCACUCCUCAUACCACUGAUAAGCAACAUCCUUGAGAUGAUAAGAUGUAAAGUUAACCCCUUCUACAUUAGUAGCCUGCAUCACCUGAAAGAUUAUUUUUAUCUCAUCCAAAAAGCCUUGUGGAUCUUCCUCCACCUUCACCCCAUUAAAAGUUGGAGGACCCAUCUUCAUAAAUUGACCAACCCUUGUGGCCUCAACAAGAAAAACACUAGUCACACCCUACUCAGCCUGAGUAACAACUAGUUAGGCAAUAACAUGAAUAGACUGACAAAAUUCUACAUUUUUCAUGUUGCCUUGAGGGACCUGAGGAGAACUAGCCAAAAUAGGAAGAACUCUAACUCUAUCAGGAAUAGGACCAUGAGAUCAAAGAUGUACUUCAGACGUAGGAUGUACCCCUUCAGCAUUAUCCUCAGAUGGAACGGAAGAAUUUACUUGUGUUUCAAAUCUAGGAGACAUGAUCCGAAAGACGAACAAAUAAGGAUUAGAGGAGCUUCAAGGAUUGAAAACUCAAACUUGAAGAUAGAAUACCAAGAGUGAAAUAUUCCUAAAUGUUUUGCAGCCUCUCUUAUGAGUGUGACAUGCUUCAUACCCCUAAAAGAGACUAUACUCGACACGGCUUUGUGGACUCCCAAGUGACCAUAAAACUAGGCUCUAAUACCAACUUGACAUAAUUCAACCCCGGGCCAUGUCGUAAUGGGCAUUCCAAGUCCAACCAAGACCAGGGACCGCCCCCUGUUACCCAAUCCAACCACCUAUAUCCAGUCUUAAGUGGACUGCAUUUUGAACAUAAAAAAAGAUAGCGUUAAUGUUUUCAUUAAGACUCUGGGAUAGGGUCACGACCGUGACCGACCCAACCAAACCAUACCACACCAACCACCUAACCAUACCAAACCAAACCAUAGACCAUAAACUAAAGGGAAUACCAAAACAUAAUAUGAAAAUCAAUCCUAAAAUGUAAUAGGAUGGAACAACAAACAAUAUAAUCCAAUGAUGUUAGCCUACUGACUUAUUCUAAUGCCAAGGCCGACACCUCUAUCGAUCCCAUCCAUACUAACCCCCAAAAGUACCACAAAGCCUUUAUCCAAAAGAGUAAAUAAAUUUGGUUAGGACAUUCCCCCAACCAUGGACAAAACCAAUAUCUAAAGUAAAAGAAAAGUGUCUAAAGAAAUCCAUAACAUGAAAUAAUACCUUCUAAAAGGAUGGAAGCUCACCACUUCAGUCCAAAUACUGAUACCGAAUCCACGUGCUAAUCAUGAGGAGUAGAAUAAAGAGUUCUUGUAUAGUGUGGGUAUACAACCACUAGUAGACGGGGUUAGCGAGUGACCACUAGCAUGAAUCUCAGGGUAAAGAUAACAUAAUGCCAGUUAUAAAGCCAAAUAAAACCAUCCAUAAUGCAUACAACCAUACAUAUAUAAGUUCCAAAAAAGGGAACCGGGUUUAGCAUGAGUUUUAAACCUUUAUCUGGGAUAUGUAUCUUGACCUUCCUAAACCACCCAUAAGCCAUAUGGGAUCAGCUCCCACUGAUGAAAGGGCCCUAGUGCGUGUAGCCGCACGACAAGGAAAUAUCCUAUGGUAUGAAUAGUACAUUUCCCAAUAUAAAAUAUGACACAUACACAUGGUCAUCAAGGCCCCUCAUAUUGAUAAAUAUGAGUUUCCAAUUUUGGCCCCUCCGAGAUGGCCACUUUCCACGGCUUUGAUACACACCCCGCAAUUAAUGCCCAAUUAAAACUAGUUUCUAAAUAACCAAACCAUUAUCUAUUUAUUAACCAAGUCUAAUAUUAGUGGUAUCAUCAUACUACCCCUUACUUGGAACUAAUAUCCAUAGCCAAACUAUUUGGGUUAGGGGACCUUAGGUGCCCUUCCAAUUACCACAGUUAAUCCACUUGGGAGACUUUCAUGUUCUCCACAAGAAUAAACAUUUAGCCUUUAUCCUUUUCAAACCAUUUAAACCAUGCACAAUUACUUUACCAAGUUUAAAAAAUGCAAGAGUUCUAUUAAAAGAAGUCAAUGCAAUGAACAUAUCUUUAUAAACAUUUUAUCAAACACCUUGAGGGCAUAAUAUAACUAAAAUAAAUUCCAAAGACCAUUAAACCAUUAUCAUACAAUCCAAUCAUAAAAAUCCACCAUUGAUGAAUAUAAAAGCAUAUGUAAAAUUGUAAAAAACCAUAACCAAGAACUCAAUAGCGAAACCCUCUACAAUAGUUGAAAACCAUUAUCAUUAAAUAGUAAAACCAUGAAAUCAAUUGUAUAAACCAUGCCUUUAGUUGAAAUUAUAAUGUGGGAAGAGAAUCAUACCUUAUAUCGAAGAAUUGAUGGAAAAAAAAUCACCAGGAAAAACCCCAAAGCAAUCCAUAUUAUGAAACCCUUGCCUUCUUUCCCCAAAAGUUCUUGAGAGAAUUGUAGAGUAUUUUGGAAUAGUUUCUAAGUGUUAAUGAAUAGAAUAAUAGGGUAAAUAACCUCCUAAGUGUAUUAGAAGUCGUGGUUCCUAGUUAGGGUAAGUAGACAAAUGCCCAGAAUACUCCCACUUAAAUUUCUUAAAAACCCAUCACAGGAUACGACUGACCUAUACAAGUUGUACCCUCCUAUACGAUUGGUAUCCACCACUCGUAUCCAAGAUUAAACCUUUGUUCAAACACUGUCCAAUAUAUAAAUCAUCCAACCAAGUCAUAACCAUAACAUACGAUUCAUACGCAUGACCAGUAUCUCUGACAGAAUGAAAUACCAAGAGGAUCAAAUACUGCCCACCAUAUGAGUCGUUGAUACGACUCGACCAAUCCAUACGACUCAUACCAUAAAGUCGUACCCAUUCUAGUGACCAAAACCAUUCCACCCAUUUACACUGGUUAGCAUACGAUGGGACCAUACCACUUGUACCCCAGCAUACAGCUCGUACCCAUGAGUCGUAUUGGGUCUGGAGAAUGGAAUAGUAGGGAAUUUUCUAAGGGUCAAAACCCAGGAUGUUUCAAUAUCGAUUAUGCGGUAGUUCCUAUACUGUCAAGCAAGAUGAUGCGUGUUGGGGUUUGGCAGAUCGCUUAAGCGAUCAAAUACAUCUAAAAGAUCACCAGCACCAGCUCUGCCAUCUCCUCAAGAUUUAUCCGGAAUCUCAAAAUGCAAAUGGACUAUGAUAUCCUAUCAAAUUUGACGUUUCAAACUUAAUGGCGCCGUCAAAAUUUUCAUUCAAGGUCGUUUCGACGAAAAGUGGAUCCCCCAUCCACUUGUUAUUUUUCUUAACUUCUGGCCAAUAUAGUUUAAAAUGAGUCUAGGAGCCUUAAAAUCGAAACCAAAGGUUCACCAAACCUAAUAUCGAUGUUUUAGAUCUGUUGGAAUUGCUAUAAUUUGCAUACGAGGUCGUUUGACUAAAGUUUUUGCUCGGUGGCUAGUUUGAACUAGCGAAGGCUUCAAAAUAGGGAAUUGAAUCUAAAAACCAAACAAACUGCACAGUAAUCAAACUGUCAGUUCCAGCAAGUCAUAAAUGACUUGGGACAACUACAGAAAAGCUCUAAAUAAUAUAACAAGUAAAAAUACAGAAAAUAACCUGGAGGGUCAUUACAAUUAAUAACACAUUAAAAUACAUUAAUAAAUAAAGCGCUGAUGUACUGAAAUAAUAAUUUAUAAUAAUGUACAUGAUGAUACGAAUAAUUUUAACGUAUUUCACUAGAUAAAAUAAACAUUACAAUCAUUAUUUUUGGAAAGACUUCUCUAUAACAUUUAUUUUCAUGGAUAACACACUAUUUCUAAUCAAGAUUUUGCAGUGGUUGACCCAUAAAUGUGUGUUACAUGUUAAUAAUUAACAUGCAGAUAUUUAGUCAACUAUUUAUAUUAAAAAAUAAAUAAAUUUAAUUUAUAAGAAAAUCAUAUCUAUGUAAUGAGUAUAGAAUUGCUAUAAAACAAUUAUUAAAUAUUGACAAUUAAUGUUAUUACUUCUUUCUCAGUUUACACCCAUAUAACCAAUACUUUAUUUAAUUUGCAAAAGAAUAUAAAAGUGCUAAAAUUAUACAAAAGUGUAUAAUAUUGUACAGAGCUAUUUAAUAUUACAUAAAAGUAUGUAAUACAUCCCUACCUACCGAUCAAGAUGAAUUUCUUAUGCCAUUUGUAUAAUUCUUAUUUCAGAUCAGUCUAAAUGACUUAAAAUUUUGUGAACAACCUCCUUGGAGUAUUUUUUUCAAUAGUCUAAACAACAUUAACUUUAAAUUUCUCAAAUAAAUUAAUUUUGAAAUUCAAACUCACUUGUUCAAGAUAACUCAUAUCUUUCUAAUCUAAUUUUUAUCACCCGAAAAUUUACAAGCAUGUACUGUAAAAGUAAGCUAAAUUUUGACGUAAAGACAUCUAAAUUUGAUUGAAACUUUUGCGUGUGUGCUUUUGAUCCAUGUAUAUGAAGAUCACUCCAACAUAAUAUCCAAAAUCUACCAAACAACAAAUUAAUCAUGCCAAAUAAAUUAAUUAGUCAGCAAUAAUCAUAUUGCUUACAAGAAAACAUAUAUAACACCACCUUUUCCUCUCUGUUUGGGAUCCAACCACUCCUCAUGGACAAAAACGAGUCACUACUUUAGAAAUAGUUAUAAGCACCUUGAAGUAAAUUUUCUGUCUAAUCCUUUACCACAUUUUGAAUAGCAGAUGUGGUGAACCUACAACGAAUGAUGCUUUAAAAACUUUUACCAAACAAUUACACUAUAAGGCCUCCAAAGAUUAUUUAGGACUUAGUCGUCUUUGGAAUCUUUAACAAAUGUCGCUCAACCUCCAUUUUGUUCACCAUUGACUUUUGAAACUCUCUUUAACUGUGAAAACACAACAUUAUCAGCUAAAAGGCAAAGAAGAACAAAUUAAAAAAUAAACAUUAACACCUACAACUUUGUCAACCUAAACAAUGUGAAAAAGCUUAUUAGUUUCAUUAUUAAUAAAAAAUAAAAAUCAUUUAUUAGGUAGUCAUAAGGUGUUUAUAUACUUAGAUAUCCAAGAAGACAGUCAAAUCGAUAUUAUUUACCAGUGUAAUAGAACAAAAAUUUGAGGCCUAAAAAUUGCAUAUAUCUGAAAGAUAACAAUAAAUAUGAAAUACAUAGACCCUGCUUACAUGAUUUGAGUAAUUCCAAUCAAUGCAUCAGAUAACAUCUAUUGUGUAGUUCUUGCACAAAGUGUUGUCCACGUAUGAAGCAAUGAUUGGAUUCGCAUGCUUCAUAGUUGAACCUGUAAACCAUAGACAUACUUAUAUUCCAACUAAUUAUAUCACUGAGCCUACAAAUACCCUGAAAAUAAUAGGCAGAAUAUGAGCACGACUUUUUGCCUCUACUAAUCAACCAAGUUUCGUUCAUCAUUGUCAGAUUGUUAGAGGAAAAAUUGAUAAACAAACUAUUGAUGCAAUUAACAAUAUGCAAAUAAAUUCUUUAUAGACUUUAUCAUUUUGUAAUAUCUGUCCAUAAAUAUUCUUAUCAGCCAGAUACUAAUUUCAAGCAUAAUUUAUUAGACUGAGUAUUUUUAUCCAUAUGAAAAUAUUAAUGGAUUGUUGUUUCCACAAAUAUAACACUUUAACUUUUUUCAUUGUAAUUUUUUUAUUUUCUAGGUAGGAAAGAUUAUUCAAUGUAGAGGAGCACUACAGGAAGACUAUAGUUUUUUUUUUAUAUCACUUACGACCUUAAUACUUUUUGUACUGAAAUCAAUGAUCCGGUAUGUCUUGAAAAUAUAAUAAAAUAAAAAUAAACUCAAUGUAACAAAAAAUAUAAAUCUGAAACUAUGACACCAGAAAGUUACAAUGGAGAUUCAACAAUGAAAUUUACUUACAAACACUAAAGAUGUUUUAUUAUUUUUGACCAAUAAUAACCAAUGUAAUAAAAAAUAAUCUGAAACCUGAAAUUUAAAGCAAACCUUCACUUGUAAUAAAUCUUGAAAUCUUUGUUUUCAUAAAAAUUCCUUGAUUAUGUGCCUUUUCGCUUACUCACCAAUCAUGAUGCAGGUAAAUUAAUAAAGUCCUUUUUCUUGGAAAAAAUCAUCGAUAAAAUAGAGAACAAAAAAGAUGGAGAGAGAACCUGAUAAAAGUACUUCUUUUAGUUGUGAUAUGUAAUUUAAUUAAGGGAAGAAUUUGUAUAGAAUACAUUUCAAACUAAUUGGAAUCAUAAAACUUAGAAAAAAAUGUCACUAUCCAAAAGUUGAGGUUAGAAUUAUAUCUACCCUGACCCAACCUUAGUAGAUAAGUCAAAUACUGAAAGAGGAAAGUAGAUCAAGAACAAGACUAAAAUACUACAAAUUGAGAAUUCUAGAACAAAGUCAAGUCACACAUGAAAAUUUUAGUGAAAAUCUGAACAAAAUACAUCAAAUCCCCAAAAUUUGAUGUCAUAAAUAUAGAGUAUCUAAUAAAUACAUAUAAAAUACAAAAAAUACAACUCUCUUUGAAAAUAAAUAAAGACAUAAAAAUAUAUAAGAGGAGGUCUGGAGUCGACUAUGAAAGCCUAGAGCGAGCCGGUACCUCAAAAUCACCAACUAUAUAAUACGAAAUCAUCCUCUGCAUGUCAUACUCAUUCUAGAAUCUGCAUGGAAAGGGCACAAUAGUAGUGAGUACGAUUAAUCAAGAGAUUUCAUAGGCCAAGUGAGCAAAGUAAAAAAUACAAGUAAAUAAAUACUAUAAGCACGUCACCUGCAAACAAAAUAGUUUUCCAAUGGUAACUCACGCCGUCAUUAUUAACAAUUCUUUUGUGUGAGUGUGUGUAUAAGGGAACAAACAUACACGAAAGUACAUCGAAAUUGAUUACACGUCAAGUAACAUAUAAAGGCAGCACAUAAAAUGCAUAUGCAUAUGCAAAUGCAAUUCAAGGAAUGAUGCAAUAAAUGUUUUGAAAGUCAUCACAUGAAUUUUUGUAUACAACUAUUGAACCUUAAUGUUCAUAAAUAGAACCCAUGAGGGGUUUGCAAUUCGUGUACUAUCUCAAAAUUUUAGUAAUCUCAAUCUCAUAAUUCAAUCUACCCGACCAACACAUCCUUUGAUCUAGACUUUUUUAAAAGUGCUAUUUUCUUUUAAAAAUUAGUGUUUCUCAAUGAUACCAAUAUCUCAUGAAUGUACAUGUAUGAAUAAGGAAAUAAUGCUCACAAUCAAUUAAGUAUGAAAAUAACAAAUUCAUUCAGUACGUCUAUAAGUGAGCCCAGAAAUCAACUCAGUAUGUCAAAUAUUUCAUGAUAUCAGUUCUAGUGUGGAAACAUUGGAAUAAAUAACUUGUAAGACAUCAUUAAUAUCAUAUCAAUCCAUAAUUCGGCCAUUUCUAUUAUGAUAAAGACAAAUAAUGCUCAAUAAGGCCUAUAAGAUCAAUUCCCCGUACAUACAUCACAUUAAUAUUAAAAGCAUUCAAAUGCAUAAAUAAGACCAAUGAUGUCAGUUAGACUCUCACAUGGUCUAUACGCAAUAUGUAAUAUCACAAGUCAAUGGAAACAUAAUAUAAGCCCCCACUCGGACAUCAUGUAAUACAUAAUAGCUUCAAAAAUAUUUCUUGAAGUUAUUUUUUCUAACCCGUUAUUCAUUAACUACUGAGCUCUGUCUGAAGAAAGAUAAGACAUAACCUUCCUUAAAGCGCCAAAAUCCAAGCCUUGAAACCUUCAACACAGAGCCUUUCCUUUUCAAAUAGUCUCGAAAUCAACUAGAAUAAACAAAUAUAACAUCUACGCAUUAAAAUAAAGCUAAUAAUACCCAUAUUGACUAUUUUUAAGUCGAAUUCAAAAUAAAUUAAAAAUAUGAGUUAAAAAAUACAAGGAAUAAAACUGAAAUAAGAAAACUCACAAGAAAAUAGGUUUACAAAGAGGUCCAAAUCAAAGAAAAAAACUUUAAAGUUUGACCUGCGAAAAACUCAAAAUUCAUUCGGAAUCAUGAUUAAAAGGUAUUUUCAAAGAGAUAAUCAUUAUGAAAUAAUGGAAAGAUGAGUUAAGUGGUUACCCAUAUGACAAGAAUGAAGAAACCCAAGUAAAAUUGCCUUUUCUGAAGCAUGAAGAUCUAAAAAUAGAGAAAAAAAUGUGAAAAGAAGUAUUUAUACUAUUUUGUGAAUAACAUCUCGCGAUCAUGGACCCCACCUCAAGUUCACUAGGGUCAAUGUUUGAUUGGCCAAUUAAUUGGCCUUUAGAUUCAUGGCCAAGACUUUGCAUUUCCGAUGGUCCAUGAAUCGAACCAUCACAUUUGCGGUAGCCUGAUUGUGAUUGUGAAAAAGGGAAACACCCAACUCAACUCAAUUACUCUUCGCAAUCGUGACCACCACUUCACAAUCAUGAUAAAGGAUUAAUUCUUUCUCCCUAUUCGUGACCUAGGGUGCACAUCAUGGAGAAGGAUUUCACUUGAACUAGAUAUCAACAAUUGCUGAGUUUUAGCAUGUUGAAAUAUCUCAAAAUAGAACCUCAGGCUUUGUUUGGGACCUAACAUAAAUAAUCAUAUGCCACUAGGAUAUUUUCGAUGUUCCAGACUCAAUAAAGACUUUGAAUUUUCAGAAAAAAUGUUUUUGACAAAUUAUUCCUUGAGACUCCUUUUACAUAAAUUUCACUAGUUUUUUUAGGAGGGAUAAAAAUGUAAAAUAAUGGUUUCAAACCCAAACCAACCCUACUACAAACCCAAAUUCAACGUUUCAAAUGCAAUGGAACUAUGUAAAUUGUCAUCCAGAAAUUAGAACAUCUAGUCUUGAUCAAAGUCAACUAUAGAACUCCUAAAGCUCCUAAAAACCUCAAACUCUUCCAAAAUCUUUUCGACAACAUUGGGAAUUGUGUCAACCAUUACCACACCCCAAAAUCAAUAUGUACAAACUAUGGAGAAUGGUAAAAUAGUCAAAUCAUAUGAAAAUCAAAUUUUCACAAAUCAAGUUAUUACUGCAUCCACCACUAAGACUUUAGUUUGUCCUCAAACUAAAAGACAAGAAAAUUCCCAAAUUGGUAAAGAGCUAAUGCUAACUACUAUGUAUAUUGAAAUCUACCUUCGAAGAGCCUUCUCAACAAGGUGGUGUCUCCACUGAACCUUAACCGCAUGAGUAUCUCUAGAAUGCAAUCGUAUAAUAUCUCUAGCUAAAAUAGACACUAGGGCCUCUAAAAAUUUCAACCUAUCAUCCAACUGAAUCAAGUACCAACGAAGUAUGUGAGACUUAUUAGAUAUAUCAAGUUGAAUCAUAAAUACCAAAAAAGCUAGAGGAACUACUGAAAAGUUUAGCGGUAAGGACAACUCAAAAGCUACCUCCCCAAUUUUUUAAAGACUCUCAAAAGGUCCAAUAUACCUCUAUAUAAGUUUUCUCUUCUUUAUGAAUCUCAUCACGCCCUUAUAUGGUGACAAAUAAAGGAAGACUCAAUCAUAAAUCCCAAACUUCAAAGCACAAAGCCAACAGUACACAAAACCAUUUUACAUGCUCUAGGUUGUCCAACGCCUAUCCCGAAUCACCCAAACUCUAUUCAAAGACUCACAAAGAAAAUCAGUACCAUGAGUCUAACCUCUAAGGUCUUAAACCAACAAAUUAGACAUCAAUAACUCCUACCAUACAAUGCCUUGAAAGGUGCCAUCUCAAUAUCCAAAUAGUAGCUAUUAUCAAAAGUAAACUCUGUGAAGGCUAAAUAUUGCUCCCACUAACCUCUAAAGUCCAUAAAACAUACAUGGAACAUAUCCUUCAAAUAUUGAACAGUCUGAUUUGACUUAUCGUUGCUCUACGGGUGAAAAGCUAAGCUAAGGUCAACCUAAGUACCUAUCUUCUCUUGAAACAUCCUCUGGAAGAUGAAAGUGAACAUUGACACCCUGUCUAAAAUAAUAGACAAAGUACUCCAUGAAGAUGCACUAUGUCUCAAACAUAGAUACGAGCAAACCUCUAGACACUAAAGGAAAUUUGAAUAGGUAAAAAAUAGGCCAAUUUGGUCAAUCAAUCUAUGAUGACCUAAAUAUUGUCAGAACCAUGAGAAGUACGAGGCAACCUACUCAUGAAGUCCAUAGUGAUCCAUUCCUACUUUAAUUUAGGAAUGGGUAAUCUCUGAAGCAAAACAUCAGGUCUUAGAUGCUUAGCCCUCAUCUGCUGAAAGUACAAGAAACGAUCUAUAAAGUAUGCAGUCCUUCUUCAUACCACCCCACCAAUAAUGUUGCAUCAAAUUGCAAUACAUCUUUGACACCCCUAGAUGGAUAUAAUGUUUGGAACAAUGUGCCUUCUUUAAAACCAAUCUCACCUAUCUACCUACUCUCGACAUACAAGCUAGGACACCAAUCCUCAAAAUGCCAUAAAAAUCUGGAGAUGCCUUACUAGCCUCGCUACUCAACAUAUUUUAUUGAAUCCCCCUCAAACUAUCAUCAUCAAACUGGUGAGAUCAAAUCUUCUUUAUCAAAGAAAAUCUAGCAUCAAUAAGGCUAACACAUAUCAGAGUGUCGAAAUAGUCAAGUCUAACCACAUAGUUAGCUAAAGACUAAACCUGUAAGGCUAAAGGUUGAUUUUAUGUCAAGAGAUAGACUAAAAUACCCAUAUUAGUAGUCUUCUAGCUCAAUUCGUAUACAACCACAUUACCCUUACCAAGGUGAUACUCUUAUUAAGAUCUUGUUGAUUGAAGAAAUACUGAAGGAUACCAUGAUUUGAGAAAAUCUUAUAAGGAACUCCGUACAAGUAAUGUUGCCAGAACUUCAACAUAAAUACUAUUAUUGCCAAAUCCAAAUCAUGGGUAGAGUAAUUCUUCUCAGAGGCUUCAACUAGCACGAAUCGUAAGCAAUCUCCUUUGCCUCUUGCAUCAACACCUCACCCAAACCAACACUAAAAAUAUCAUAAAAUAUAAUAAAUCCAACUACCUUUUUGAAAAAAGUUAAAAUAGGGGCUGAAGUCAACAAAUUCUUAUGCUUUUAGAAGCUCUUCUUAUAAUCAUCCGACAAUUGAAAAAUAGCCUUCUUUUAAGUAAACUUGGUUAAAAGAGCAACAAUCAAUGAAAAAUCCUCUACAAAAUACCAAUAAUAGGCCGCUAAACCAACAAAACUUUGAAUUUUUCAAUCAAAAAUUACCUCUAUCUUGGUCCGAUCAUAAUACCAUCGUUGGUCACUACAUAAUUUAAGAAAGAGAUUGAAUCCAAUCAAAAAUCAUAGUUGAAAAACUUUGCAUGCAACUUUCCAUCACAUAACCUCUAAAAUACAAUCCUUAAAUGUCUCACAUGGUCGUCCUCAUUCUUGGAAUAAGAUAAGAUGUCAUCGAUAAAAUACAAUAAAAAAAUAGUCGAGAUAUGGUCAAAACACGAGGUUUACUAAUUUCAUAAAUGUUGUUGGGGAAUUAGUCAACCCGAAAGAUAUGACCAAAAACUCAUAAUGACUGUAUUGAUUCCAAAAUCCAUCUUUAGAACAUCCAAAGCCCUAAUCUUUAACUGGUUAUACUUGGAUCUAAUAUCUAUCUUGAAAAAUAUAGAAGCACCCUGAAGUUAGUCAAAAGAACCAUUAAUACGAGAAAGGGGAUCCUUUUUUCUUAACUAUUACUUUGUUUAACUAUUGAUCAUUAAUAUACAUACAUAUAGAAUCCUUCUUCUUUUUCACAAACAAUAUAGGAUCACCCCAACAAGAUAUAUCAGUCUAAAUAAAUCCCUUACUCAACAAAACCUACAAUUGCUCCUUCAAUUCUUUCAACUCAGUUAGGGCCAUCCUAUUAGGAGGAAUAGAAAUUGGUUUAGUGCCUGGUUUCACAUCAAUAGCAAAAUCAAUAUCACAAUCUAGAGGAAUAUCGAACCACAGUAGACAUAUCCAUGAAAUUGCAAAUAACUUAAAUAGAAUUUGUAGGAGGCGGUGAGGGAACUCUAUUAUUGCAAACAUAAGCUAAUUAAGACAAUCACCUUCUUUGUACUAUGCGACAAGCAUGUAGAAAAGGUAUAACUCCCUUCAACCAAAAUUAAGAGUACCCUCCCAAGCUAACCCUGGCAUACUUGAUGUAGAUAAGGUCACAAUAUUAGCAUAACAAUCCAAAAUAUCAUGAUAGGGAGCUAACCAAUCCAUACCUAAGAUAACAUCAAAAUCAACCAUAGCUAGGAUAAUUAAGUCUACCCAAGUCUCACAUCCUACAAAGUUAACCACAUAAGAUUGGUUCAACUAAUUCACAAUUAAAAACUCUCCUAGGGCUGUAGAAAUAUGAAAAAACAUAACAAGGGGAUCAUAUACAACAUUAAAACAAUAAGAAAAAUAUGUAGACACACAGAGAAUGUAGACCCGAGGUCAAAUAACAUGGAAGCAUUCGCUAGAAAACUAGGAUGAUACCUAUAAUAACUAUAUUUAUAAGCUUUUGUCUCAGAUCUGCUAGGUACAACAUAACAUUGACCACGUAUACUCUCAGACUAAUAAUCUUACAUCUACUACCAUGAGCUCUCUUACCUCUACCUCCAGCAGCUUUAGCACCACUUCUUCCAUUUUGUGAACCACCUCUCACUAAAAAUAUUAGAGUAGUAUAAAUCUAAAGUUGAGAGCCCAACUGAGUAGGCACAUACAUACACAAAACAAUCUUUGAAAAAAUGGCAAACCUCCUUAUAUACAAAGCAUCUUCUAUGGUAAGACUCAACAUUAGAGGGCACCAACAAACUAGGAUGACUACCUUGACUAGAAUUACCAAAACUAAAACCUCUACUAGUAACACCUGAUGUAUGGCUACUUGAAACUGCAGAACCUGAAGUUCUACCACCUGAUCCCCAUAAAGUGGCAUAAACCAUCCUACUAUGAUAACCAGAGAAGCUCUACUCAAGAAAUAUCUACCUCGAGAGGUGUAACCACUAAACUCGCCCUGAUGUUAUACCUUAUUAGUACCUCCCUGAGUAUCCUGGGUAAUAGACCCUAUCACUUGGCAUGCUCAAUAAUACUCUUAAAGAAGCCCCUAUAACAACCUUUGGGGCAGUAUCAAAUUGAUAAUGACCCUUUAAACUCUUUAAAAACUUACAAAUCCUUUUUGACUGGAUAGAGAUAUUGGUAAAUAAAUACCUAGAUAGAGUAUGAAAGUGUGCCUCAUACUCGGUAAGAGAUAUAAAACCCUUCUCUAAGUGAUCAAACUCAUAAUGCAUAUGAUUUCUUAAGCUAUAUGAGAAAAACCUCUCUAAGAAGUCCUUAGAAAAUCGGGCCCAAGUCAUAGCAGGCAAACCUAAAUGCCUACAACUAGUUAGAGAUCUACACCAUUUCCUAUCUACAUCUAUUAAUUGAUAGGUGGUAUAAGAAAUUUUGUGCAACUAAGGGAUCCAAGAUUAUAUAACUUCUACUAGCAGUUAAUCAAAAACUCAUAGGUGUUAUCAGCAAUCGAUCUACUAAACUUAGCAGGAGCCAAGAGGAUAAAUCUUUUAAAUCUCUCUUGAUCAUUAUGAGACAUUAUAUUACCUGAAGAAACUGGAACAAUAGAAAGUCUAAAAGGUAAUGAAUUUAGAUACUGGGGUACCAUAGAUGAUGGUUGUACCCCUGAAGUAGGGAUACCAUUAACAAAUAUUAGUACAUAUAAUAUCCCAUGUCUGAAAGCCACUAUCCAAUAUACGACCCUUUUUCUUGAGCCAUACAUACUUCAUACGAGUCUUAUAUAGUGAGUCGUACCCAUAUAAGUAUGGAGUGAUGUGAGUUCUAUUCAAGUUAUGAGUUGACCCUAGAAGCCAUCAAGAAUGGUACGAGUCGUAUAAAGAAAAGUUAUGAGUUCCUUAGUGUAAGCUCCCUAAGGUUAUUUCCAUGAUACGAUUGGUUGUUUCUAAGUUGUAUAGACAGGUAACGAGUCAUAUGUUACCACUCAUACGUUGAUCAGUGUAUAAUAUCUUUGAUUUUGCAAAGAUUAUGAGUUGAUAGUCCUAGUUGUACCCUUACCAUACGAGUCAUAUGGUUGACUCGUGAAGACUAACAAUCAUUUCUGUGAAGUUAAGUUAAAGGGAUUUUUGAUCUUUUACCUUUAUAUAACUCUAAACCAUGACCUAUAACUCCCAAAGAGGAGUUAUUUCCUCUAUUCCUUACUCAAUUAAUAACAUCAUCUCUUCUCCCAUCUUCAAGAACAUCAAGAUUAGGGUUUCUCACAUAAAUUUAUCUUUUAAGUCCCAAGGUUCAAACUCUCUUCACAAGAAAGAAAUUCCAAGCAUAUGGGGUUUAUGAACAAGGAUAAUGUUCCAUUCUUGUACCCCUAAAACAUGAUUUUAAGAUUGAAUUUACUUGUUUUGAAUUAGGGUUCAUACCCAAAUAACCAUAUUCUUAAUGUAUGACACUACUAUAUGAUUGAAAACUUUAAGUUCAACGAGGUUUACAUAUAAUUAUGUUUUGACUUGUGAGAUUUAUAUUAUGAUUUUAAUUUCAUUAUCUUUACCAGGUUAUUGUUGAAAGAUUUCAAGGUGAUUAUUGAGCAUAAUGUUUUAUUUUAAAUUUCUAUGAAACAAAUCAUGAAUUCCAAGUCCUAAGUAUAAGUAAUGAGUUUACAAGAAGUUUAUGCUCUUUAGUUCCAUGUUAGUUCACUUCUUAUGUAAGUUCAAGCUGAAUAGAUAUCAUGGGUUAGCUUAGUAUUUGUAGUCUUAAGCAUCGUGUGACGUCUAGGGGUACUUCUAGAGCAUUACAAACUUGGUAUCAAUGCAUAAGGUUUAAAGAGUCUUAAGCAGUUGGAUAAGCCGUGUUACGUAGAGUCUUGAUUAUGAAUGUGAAGCGCGCCAUAUUUAUAAGCUAGAGGCUAUGAAAUAAGUUAGGAAUUAUCAUUUCCUUCAUGAUAUAUCAUGCUUACGGCUGUUUAUAUCUGCCUUAACUUUUACUUUUACAUGAUAGGAUAUGCCUCCUCGUUGAGCCGAUGUACAUAGAAAUGGUGAUCAACCAUCCCUAUACGUCGAACCUUUGAAUGAGAAUAUGCCUUAUGCUGAAUUUUGGCCUGCUUUUCAAGCAUUUGCCCAAGCUAUGAAUGACAAUGUUUAGGGAAACCAACAGGCAACAAUGCCACUUCAGCAGAAUGGUAACCUAGUUGCAGCUCAAAGUUGGGAUUUUAUGAGAAUGAAUCCACCUGAGUUUCAUGGGUCAAAGGUGGAUGAGGAUCCUCAACUCUUUAUUAAUAAGGUAUGAAAGAUUACUCAUAUUAUACAUAUUAAUGAAGAGGAGAGUGUAGAGUUGGAAUCAUAUAGACCCAAAAAUAUUGCUUAUGAUUGGGUCGUUACAUGGAAAAAGGUAGGGGUGAGAAUGCAACUCUUAUGAGUUAGCAGGUAUUUUAGAAUGCUUUUAUGGACUGGUUCUUUCUACGUGAGAUAAGAGAGGCUAAGGUGGAUGAGUUCAUGAACCUGAGGUAGGGAUCUAUGACUGUGAAUAAGUACUGCCUUAAGUUCACUCAGUUGUCUAAGUAUGUUCUUGAGUUAUUAUCUUACUCUGGAGCUCAUAUGAGUAAGUUUGUUACUAGGGUGUCGAUUUAGUGGUUAAGAAGUGUAGGACUGCCAUGCUGAUUAAAGACAUGGAUAUUGCUUGGUUGAUGAAUCAUGAUCAAUAGAUUGAGGCAGAAAAGUUGAAGAAAAGAGAGAAGAGAAAUAGGAGAGCUAGGAUGGGCAAUUUGAGUUUAGUCAGUCAAGGUCUGGAGGGGGAAACUAUUCCCAAUUUUAGGGUCAUUCAUUAGUGCCCAGACUAUCUUUAGCCAGUGCCCCUGCAUCCAAGACACGACAGGAUUAGUGGGGUAAGAUUUUGAAUUCCAGGUUUUAGAAUUAUGUAGUCGGGAGGCCUAGUUACUCGACCAUAUAAUGUGUGGCAAUACCCAUCCUGGUGAGUGUUUGAUGUGUAAAAGGGGUUGCUAUGGUAGUGCAAAUUUAGGCCACAGGAUCAAGGAGUAUUUGUAUUCUAAGUAGGGAAGUAGGUAUAUUCAUCCUCAGACUCAGAUUAUGAAUAUAACAGCUCAGCCAGACCACCUAGUUCCUCCAUAAGGUACAUCAUCAAGUACCGAUGAUGGUCAGUGACAAAAUUGGUUUUAUGCUUUACCAUCUCGUCAAGAGUAGGAGAGUUCACUGGAUGUUGUCAUUGGUAUGCUUCAUUCUUAUCACCUUGAUGUAUAUGUAUUGUUAGACCCAGGAUCGAAUCUCUCUUGUGUAACUCCAUUAGUUGCUAUAAAUUUUGGAGUAGAUCUUAAAAAUCUUCCCAAGUCCUUCUUAGUUUCUACCCCAGUAGGUGAGUUAGUUGUUUCUAGACUAGUCUAUAGGGAGUAUCCUAUCAUCGUCCUCCAUAAGAUCAUACUAGAGUACUUAAUAGAGUUAGAGAUAGUGGAUUUCAAUAUUAUUUUGGGCAUGGAUCGCUUUAUUCAUUAUCUGCAUCAAUAUAAUAUCGCACCCGUGUGGUGAAAUUUUAGUUUCCUAGUGAAGUAGUUUUUGAGUGAGAGGGCAGUUUAGUGUCUCCCAAAGGUCGUUUCAUCUCUUAUUUUAAGGCUAGAAAGUUAAUAUCAAAAGGGUUUAUCUUUCACUUAGUUCUAGUAAAGAUACUAAGUCUGAAGCCCCAAUAGUUCAAUCAGUCUAUGUAGUCAAUAAGUUCACAGAGGUUUUCCCCAUAGUUCUACCAGGGGUACCUUUAGAUAGAGAAAUAAAAUUUGGUAUUAAUCUUCUUCUUGAUACUCAGACCAUUGCUAUCCCUCCAUAUCAUAUGGCUCCAACCAAACUUAAAGAAUUAUAGGAGCAACUUAAGGACCUCUUAUAUAAAAGUUUCAUCAAACCCAAUGUCUCUAAGUGGGGCUCUCUAUUCCUUUUCAUAUGUAAGAAAGAUGACACUCUCUAAAUAUGUAUAGAUUACAGAUAGCUAAAUAAGAUUACCAUCAAGGACAAGUAUCCCAUUCCUAGAAUCGAUGAUUUGUUCGAUCAACUUCAAGGUUCCCGGUGGUUUUACAAGAUUGACCUUAGGUCGGGAUACCAUCAGUUGAAAGUUAGGGAGCAAGACAUUUUAAAAAAAAAAUUCUGAACAAGGUACGCCAAUUUUGAGUUUGUGGUUUUGUCAUUUGGACUAAAAAAUGCCCCUGUAGCCUUUAUGGACUUUAUAUAAAGGGUUUUCAAGUAGUACUUGGAUAUGUUUUUCAUACUGGAAGGAGCAUUCAGACCAUUUGAUAAUAGUGCUAUAGACUCUCAAGUACCAUUAAUUGUAUGCGAAGUUUGGUAAAUAUGAAUUCUAGAUAGAAUCUAUUACCUUCUUGGGGGAUGUUAUUUCAGGGGCAAGUAUUUAUGUAGAUCCUUAGAAGACUAAUGUAGCAAAGCACUGGCCUAGACCCAUUACUCUAUUUGAUAUUAGGAGCUUUUUGAGUUUGGCUAGGUAUUAUAGAAGAUUUGUUGAAGGGUUCUCCUCUAUAGCCACACCAUUGAUUAAGAUGAUCCAAAAGAAAGUGAAGUUUAUAUGGUUAUAUAAGUGAGAGAUAUGUUUCUAAGAGCUGUAAGAUAGAUUGACUUCGGUACUAGUGUUAGAUCUGGUAGAGGGUUAGACUGAUUUAUGGUGUAUUGUGAUGCUUCUAGAGUUGGGUUAGGUUAUGUAUUGAUACAGAAUGGGAGAGUGAUAUCUUAUGCCUCUAGGCAACUUAAGGAUCAUGAAAAAAAUUACCCAACGCAAAUUUUGGAGUUAGCUGCUGUGGUAUUCACCUUGAAAAUUUAGAGAUAUUACCUCUAUGGUAUGUAUGUUGAUGUUUUCACCGACCAUGAGAGUCUUCAAUAUGUAUUAUCUCAAAGAGAGCUGAAUCUUCAUCAGAUAAAGUGGUUGGAAUUGUUGAAAAGCUAUGACAUAAAUGUACUCUAUCUCUUGGGUAAGUCUAAUAUAGUGGCAAAUGCACUGAGUAGGUUGUCCAUAGGUAGCGUGACUCAUGUGAAAGAGAAAGAACGUGAAUUGGUAAAGAAGGUGCAUAAAUUAGCCUAUUUGGGAGUAUGUUUGCUUGACACUAAUGUUGGUGAAGUAGUAGUCUAGAAUUGUUCAGAAUCAUCAUUGGUAGUGGAAGUGAAGGAGAAACAGAAAAAUAAUCUCAUACUUAGCCAAAUAUUGGAAGAAGUCCAGUAGAAGAAGGUCGAGGUUUUCUCCUAGGGGGAGAUGGUGUACUUCGCUAUCAAGGUAGGCUUUGUGUUUUGAAUAUAGAUGAGUUAAGGGAAAAGAUACUAGACAAGGCUUAUAGUUAGAGGUAUUCCAUUCAUUCGAGUGCUACUAAGAUGUAUCACGACUUACAGAAAAUUUACUGGUGUAAUGGUAUAAAAAGCCACAUAGAUGAGUUUGUAGCCAAGUGACCUAAUUGCCAGCAAGUUAAAGUUGAAUACCAACGACUGGGUGGUACAUUGCAAGAGAUUAGUAUCCCCACUUGGAAGUGGGUAGUAGUGAAUAUGGAUUUUAUCACAGGGUUUCUAAGCAUAAGACAUCAGAAUAAUCAAAUUUAGGUUAUAGUUGAUCGAAUGACUAAAUCAUCUCAUUUCCUACCAGUCAAGACUUCAGAUAUAAUGAAAGAUUAUGCUAGAAUAUAUAUCAGUGAGUUAGUAAGACUUAGUGGGAUACCUUUAUCCAUUAUCUUAGAUAGAGGCACACAGUUUACUUCACAGUUUUAAUAGUCUUUUAAGAAGGGCCUUGGUAUAAAGGUUAAGCUCCAUACUACCUUUCAUCUGCAGACCGAUAGUUAGGGUGAACGUACAAUUAUAACAUUAGAAGACAUACUGAGGGCAUGUGUUUUAUACUUUAAAGGAAGUUGGGAUGAUGACCUACCUUUGAUUGAGUUUGCUUGUAAUAAUAGUUAUCAUGCUAGCAUUUAGAUGGCUCUAUUUAAAGCGUUGUAUGGGCGUAGAUGAAGAUCACCAAUAGGAUGGUUUAUGGUUGGUGAAGCGACUUAGAUUGGGCCGGACUCUAUUCUUAAAGCAAUGGAAAAAGCUUAGUUGGUUCAUGAGAGAUUGAAAAUGAUACACCUUGGGUUUUGGUCCUUGUAAAUUUCUCAAGUAUUAAGCCUUCUGUUGAUCAUACGACUCACUAUACUAGUCGUAUAGUGUGGGUACGGGUCUAGGGACCCUAGUUGUUAUUGGUUAGUGUGAUGUUGGCCAAGUUUUAUUUUUGGUACAAGAAGACUCCAUACGAGUUGUAUGUAUAUGAUACGAGAGGUAGGGUUUAAUCGUAUGUUGUCCAGUGUCUAGACUAGAUAUUUAUGCUUAGGGUAUGACUUGAAGGGUACUAGUCAUAUGGUUAGGGUACAAAUUAGGCUAAGGAGUCAUAUUUUCUAAAGAAUGUGAUGUCCAACUUUCUGAUCAAGGUACGAGUGAAAGGUAUCACUCAUAUGAUGAGGGUACGAGUGAGGGGUCCAAAUCGUACCCAUUUACGGGAAUUUUUACAAUUCAAGUUGGGGGUAUUCUGGAUAUUUCCCCCAAAUAACUCCUUUGACCCCACUACAUAAAAUACCUUUGGAGGCUUCCUUAACCUAUUAUUCAUAAUAAAAAACUCUCAAAUCUCUCUCAAGCUGUUGGUUCAAGAAAGGCUAGGGUUGUUUUCAAGACAAUCAAUUAAGGAUCUAAAGGGUGGUUUCUCUCCGUCUUCCUUAUUGUCCAAGGAAUUUUACUAAUCCCUCAUUAUUAGUUCACCAAAAACAUGUUUUAAUGAUUGAUUUUCAUGGUAUUAUGUGGUAACAUUUGGGUUUUGUAAUAUUUGUUGGGUUUUUUUGGUUAUUCUAGGUUGGAUAAUGUUUUCCCAUGUUUUUCUUAUGGUUUUAAUGUUAUAAUUAUGGUUUGAAACAUGUGGUUUCAUGGGAAUGGUCAAUUGAUACCUGAUUUUUGGUUUGGAAACUAUAUGCCCUCAACAUCUCAACAUGUUUGUUAAAAUGCAUAUGGGAAUUCUUUUGUCAUAUAGUUUGGCUAUUAUUGAAAACUUUGCAUUUCAUAAUAUGGUAAUGGUUAAAUUGGUUUGGUUCAUUUUAAAUGGAUUGGAAAGGACUUGGUGGCCACGGUAUUGUUUUAAACAAAAACUUUGGAGACAAAUUGUUUUAAUGGAUUUGGUAUGGCAUAAAUGGGUAAAAUUGCAAGCUCUAAUUUUUGUAUGAUGAUACCAAUGGUUAAUGCCUAAUUACAAGGACUCAUUGGUAAUUGGUUGGUUGUGUGUGAAUGGUUUUAAUAUGGGCUUAUAUGGGGAUGUGUUAGCAAAGCCAUUGAAGGUGGCAAUCCCGGGGGGACCAAAACUAGAAACUCACAUUUGACGAUGUAAGGUUAGUAUUGGUGACCGUGUAUAUCAUGUCACACCUAUAUUUUGGGAGAAGUACUAGUCCUAUCAGGUUUUUCUCUGGCUCAUGUAGCUAAUACGUGCCGGGGCCUUUUUUAGCAGGAAGAGCUGAACCCAUAUAGGGCAUGGGUGGAUUUAGGAUGACAGAGCUACACAAUCCCAAGUUAAAGGUUUUAAAUACAUGCUAAACCCGGUUCUCUUCCUUGGCAUGGUAUAGAUUUUUAUGUCUGUAAUUGAAUAUGGUUAUUUACUUUGGUUUUUAAUAAUGGCAUUAUUUUAUCCAUACACCUGAGUAUAUGCUAGCAUUCACCCACUAAUACAUCUUCGAGUACUAUAUCAACCAGCCAUACUACUCCUUCUAUUUAGUGAUCUUAGAUACAGGAACAACUUUGUGUUGGACUAAAGUUGUGAGCUUCCAUACUUUGGAAGUUAUGGACUAUUUUCAUACUUUUGUUUCUUCCUUAGACUUUGGUUUUGGCUAUGGUCAAGGGCAUGUCCUAAUUGGAUGUUUUAGGAUUUUGGUUAGAGGCUUUUUGUGACUACUAUGGGAAUGUACGGUGUCGGUAUUGGUGUCAGCCUUGACAUUGAUAUUGGUACUGCGGCUGACACCAGUUGGAUGCUUGGUUGGAUGUUUGGAUAGUUAUGGUUAUGAGAUUUAUUAAAUGCCUUUCAAUUAUAAUUUUUAUAUCUUGUUAUAUGUUCAGAAUUCAUAUGACAUAGGGUAAAGGGAUAUUAUGGUUGGGUAUUGGGGGAGAUCUCCAUUUUGGUUCGAACUUGAGAUGCCUGACACGACUAGGCCCUGGUUUGGAUCGUGUCAUAUUUGUAUCAGAGCCCUAGGUUCAUUGUCACAUGGGAGUCCACAAAUCUGUGUUGAGUAGAGUAUCUUCUAAGGGUGUGUAGUGCGCCACACUCAUAAGGGAGAGCCUACAAGGCAUUUAGGAAUAUUUCUCUUUCUUAUGUUCUGUUUUCAAGCUGUAGUGUCUCUUGUCCUGAAAUCUCCUCUAAUACCUGUUUGUUCACUUUUUAGAUCAUGCCUCCUUGAUGAUGUGAUGCUCAUAUAAACUUCUUUGUCCCACCCUUGGACAAUAAUUAUGGGACCCAUUCUACUUUUGGGGUCCAAACCCAAUCUAGGGGUCCAAUUCCUGAUUUUCCUCCUGGAGUUCCAUUGGUUCUCUCUAGUUUUCCUUGAGCUCCUCAGACUUAUGUGACAAAUGCUGAGUUUCUUCAAUCUAUCCAUACUAUAAUGCCCCGAUUAUCUGAACUGAAAUGCUACACGGUGCUCAUCACCCCGAAGGACCACAAGCUAAUCCAUGACUAAUAUCUGUACUUGUACACUACAUAAUAUUACAUGAAUAUGCGGAAACAUGCACUGAGAGGCCGUAAGGUUCAAUACUGAACAUAACUUAAUAAUAACAAUAACGUCUGACAUAGAGUGGUAUCUCGAUACCAAAAUAAAAUUGAAAUAGUGAAGUCUGAAAAACAUAAAAAAUACUGUAGUCAUCUGAAAGCCUCUAACUAUCUGACUAAGGAGUUGAUGGGACAUGUCCCCAACUAACUUCGUCAACUGAAAACUAAACUAAUAUGGUAAAAUAAGAUCAUGUUCUCGAAGAAUGAGGACUCACUGCUAAAACUCUGAAACCUGGAAUGCUACUGCUGCUGCUAAUCUGGGAGUUAUGUCUCUGAACCUAUGGUGUAAAAUAAAAAGAAAACACCAUAGCACAAAUACGUCAGUACAAAAGAAUGUACUGAGUAUACGGGUGAGGUAGGCUAAAUACAUGGGGCUUACAUGCAUGAAUGAUAAUAGCUGACUGACUAAUAUGAACGUGAGAGCACAUAUUAAUACAUAGUAACUGAGAUCGUGAGAACAUGAUAACUGAAUCUAUUUACCGAUGACCUGAAUUUACUGAUUUCUAGCACGACUGAUACUGGUGUUUCGAUAACUGAAAUAACUAAUAACAUGAGUGAUUGUGUCUGACAGUCCUAAAUCUGUUGGAACUAUCUGAGUUUCGUACUGUGACUGAGUUGACUGUAUCUGACAGUCCUGAAAUCUUAAGAACUAUCUGAGUUCUUUUACUAAGACUGAUAAUAAAACUGUGGGAAUAGUUUUUUAACCGACAUUGCCCAAAUGUGCUAUAACAGCUGAGCUAGGGUCUAGUUGUGCCCUGAUUGGAAGGAUGUCAAUAUAGCGCCACUGGUAAGGACAGCUGUGGGUAUCCUCAUCUGACAGUAUCCCCAAAAGAGAAUGGUGGGGCCCUCAUCUAACAGUGCUUAUCCACCUCAUCAACCCUCAUCUGAUAGUGUUGAUGUCUUAACCUAUGCUGGAUACAUAGUUCUGAAACACAAGGAUGACUGCUAAGAAUCACACACUUAUCUGACAGUGUGUGUUCCCAUCCCUGGGUUCACUCGGUGCUAAUUUCUACUCCCAUCUGAAGAGACUGAACAUGAUUGACUAACUGUACAUGGACUGAUUUUACUAAAUUUUAUUGACUGACGGAAUACUAUUGAUAUCUGAUAAUUGACUGAGUUCAUGAGAUUACUGAUCUUACUGAGUACUGAGUUCAUAAGAUUUCUGAGAUUUCUUGAGUCACAUAACUGUCUGACUUCUAUGGAACAUGGCUUGAUUGAGAUUAGCGUGAAAACAUGACAUGGCUCUAGGUACACAAUUAUAUUUUUCAGGUACAAGUACCCCCAGGACUCGAUAGAGGGAAACUGACAAGGCAUGAAAUUCUUGAAUACAUGACCAACACCAAUAAUCCAUAAUACUUCUUGAUCAUAGGAAUAGAGUUCAUAAUUCAUAAUGCCAUAAAUAAGGGAUUUCAUGCUUCACAUGGUUAUCAUAGUCUUGAUCAUGGAAGGGAAUGCAUCUAACAUGUACAUACUUGCAUGAUUUCAAAAUCAUGAACGUUGUAUAACACAAUAGUCAAUACACAAUAAAAGCAUGGAAAUUGUGUUGCAUCAUAAGGGUUAGCAUGGACUUGUCAUUUAGAGACUACUGAGUCAUAAGGAACAUAAUUCUAUCAUUCUAGGCAUUUUAUCAAACACCUUACAUGCACACUUUAUAGCAUAGGUGAAAUCAUCAAUUUAAGAAUCUAAAACUAUCCAAACUCAUAGGUUUUCAAUCAGCAAACUCACAUACUUCAUGGAAGGCCAUCAAGACACCAUCUUGAAACAUAAAUAACAACUAUCAACAUGAACAUGAUCAAAUCACAACAAAUAAAUCACAAUAGUUUAUUUAAAAUAUGAUUCUUGGACUCCACGAAUGAAAGGGAUCCAUGGAUGAACACUACGCAUACCUCAGUUUGUGAUUUUGUGAAGAUUGACGGAGAAAUUCUUGAAAUUUGACGAUGAAUUCCCUUGGAAUUGAACCUUCUAUGAAAACCCUAGGGCUUGUUCUUGAUAGUUGUUUUUAAGAGUAAUUGAGUAUAAGUUGCUGAAUUAUGGCCAAAUCUCAUGUCAUAAGGCUUAUAUAGGGUUGGAAAAUUGACCAUUUUAACCCUAGGACACGUCAUUAAUUUUUGAUAAAAUUUUCCAAUUUUCAUCCUUGGGGCGAUGCACCACUAUCGCGCCAAGUCACUGGAAAGUGACAAAUGGGAACUUGCAUGGGGGUGAAACACAGAGCUAUUGCUUUUCCACCUUGUCUGCGACCUGGAAGUUUGGACCGACGCACCACUAUUGCGGAGCAACACUGGAAAUUGAAAAUUUACAUUUGAGCUAUCUCCACGAUGCGCUGGAGGCUCAAGUGAUACACUGUCUCACUAAAAAGGCUCUAACUCUUCGCCCGGGUGUCAGAUUUGGACGAAUUUUAUAUCGAUGGAAAUCUUAUUGAAUUUUCCAUUUGAUAAAAAAUGAAAAUAUUGGGAAUUCCUCAUGAAAUAAUCAUCAUUAACUUUAGAAGAUAAUACUAGGCAUUCUUGGGAUGAAAUUAGCUAGGAAGAAAAUUUGGGGUGUUACAAUAUCUCCCCCUUGGGAAUAUUCAUCCUCGAAUGAGACUGGCUAAGAGAGGGGACAAUAAGCUAAACAUGAACUGAACAUAGAUAGCUGGAAAAUGAUCUCAUGACUGAAAAGUUGAACAUACAUACUGAACAUGCAUAUCUGAUGUAUGUGUAACUGAUUCAUGAAUGCAUAACUAAGUGCUCUGAGGAAUUAAAUUUUCUCACAAUGAGAAUUUAUGUCUGAUACAUAAUUAUACAACUGAGAUAGUACAUGAAUGCAUGAUUGAAUAUGCAAUGGCACUUGAUAUCAAGUUUGUGAUGACACAUAAGAAUGAAAUUGAAUACCAAAUUUUCACUGAAUACUGAACGUGAAGCUGAAUAAGAUUAAGGAGAACUGUUACCUUGAGCUUGAUUUGGAUUGGAGGGAAAGAGGUGAGGAUAUUUCGCACGUAUGUCUACUUUUGAUUACUAAGUAGCUUCCUCGAUGGAUUGAUUUCGCCAAAGAACUUUGACUAGAGGGACUUAUUUGUUUCUCAAUCUACGAGUCUGAUAGUCUAAGAUUUUGACUGGAAUCUUUUCAUAAAAGAGACUGUUCUAAAUAGCAAUGCUCUGAAUAGGGACUACGACUGAUGGGUCACCUAUGCACUUCUUAAGCAAAGAGACAUGAAAGACUGGAUGAACUGAGGCUAGAUCUGAAGGCAAAUUGAGCUCAUAAGCUUCUUUGCCAAAGCGACUGAGAAUCUUGAAGGGGCCAACAUAUCAGGGACUAAGCUUUCCCUUCUUUUAAAAUCUCUUCACUCCCUUUAUGGGAGAUAUCUUAAGGUAGACAUGAUCACCAAUCUCAAACUUGAGAUCUUUUCUACGCAUAUCUGCAUAAGACUUCUGUCAGCUCUGAGCAGCCCAGAGUCUUUCUUUGAUUAAUUGGAGAAGCCCGGAGUCUUUCUUUGAUCAAUUGGAAUUUCUCUAAGGCAUCAACACUAAGUUAGGCCCUAUAACUAAGGCCUCACUAAAUUCGGACCAACCAAUUAUAGAUCUAUAUCUCCUACCAUAAAAAGCUUCGAAUAGAGCCAUCUGAAUAUUGAAAUAAUAACUAUUAUUGUAUGCGAACUCAAUCAACGGCAAGUGGUCAUCCCAACUACCCUUGAAAUCAAUUGCACAUGCCCUUAGCAUAUCUUCAAGAGUUGAAUGGUCCUUUCUGCUUGACCAUCUGUCUGAGGAUGAAAGGCUGUACUGAGAUAAACUUGGGUACCAAGACCCCUUUAUAAUGCUUUAUAGAAGUAAGAGGUGAACUGGGUACCUCUAUCUGAGAUGAUAAAUAAUGGAACACCAUGAAAUCUGACUAGCUCCCUGACAUAGAGUUUGGCAUAAUCCUCGACUGAAUAAGAGGUAUGAACUAGAAGGAAAUGAGCUAAAUUGGUCAUUCGGAGAAAUACUAGAAAUCAAAAAUUUACAUUUGAGGUAUCUCCACGAUGCGCUGGAGGCUCAGGUGAUACACUGUCUCACUAAAAAGGGUCUAACUCUUCACCCGAGUAUCGAAUUUGGGUGAAUUUUAUAUCAAUGGAAAUCUUAUUGAAUUUUCCACAUGAAAUAAAUGAAAAUAUUAAAAAUUCCUCAUGGAAUAACCUUCAUUUACUUUAGAAUAUAAUACUAGGUAUUCUUGGGAUGAAAUUAGCUAGAAAGAAAAUUUAGGGUAUUACACAUAUAUUGGCACAAUUGGUAGCUUCUCAGGCUGAGUGUGGUACUUUUAUUACUCUAUCUUCUGACACCACAAGGGUUGUCUAGUUUAUGAGGUUGAAUUCUCUAACCUUUACUGGCGUUAAGGUAGAGGAAGAUUUUUAGAUAAAAUAAGAAAGAUUUUCUGAGCUAUGCAUGCAAUGAAUAUGGAGGACGUGGAGCUUGCCACCUACCAGCUAAAAGAUAUGGCAUACCAAUGGUACAAGGAAUGGGAUAAAUCAAGGGGUUAUAAUGCUGAGUGAUAUCUGUGGGUGGUUUUCUAUAAUGCUUUUCUAGAUUGCUUCUUUCCUUUGGAGUUGAGAGAACCUAAGGUGGAAGAGUUUGUUAAUAUGAGGCAUGGCGAGAUUUCAGUGAAGGAGUAUGCCUUGAAGUUCCACCAGCUAUCUCUAUAUGCUCCGAAUAUGGUUUCUAGCAUGAGAGCUAGAAUAAGAAAGUUCACUUCUGGGUUGUCAGAGAUCUAAUAUUAGAGAGUAAGGUUUCCUUUUUGAUCAAGGAAAUAUAUAUCCCUAGGUUGGUUAUUUACAUGCAUCAGAUGGAGGAAUAGAAUAAGAAUCAAGUUAAGAUAGGAGAGAGGUAGGGCAAGAAGUUUAGGUUCUCUAAGUAGGAUGGUGGCCAACAAUAGAGUGGAAGGGAUAUUGGUAAGUUUCCCAAGAAAAAGUGGGAAAAUUCUGGGUCUUACUUGAUAGCUUAUUCUCUAUACUCAAUACUUUUGGGUGGCAGGCAUUUCCAAAGUGGCGAUAACUUAAGGGCACAUGGUAGUUAGUCUCAGGAUAGUGAGGUCUAAUCAGCUCCAUUAUAUCCUCUCUGCAGGUUCUAUGGUAGAUUUCAUUAAGGUUAUUGUGAAGAAAAAAGGGAUAAGUACUUCAGCUAUGGUCAGUCAGGGCAUAUGAUUAAGAACUGUCUAGUGGAUAAGGUUGCUUCGGUGGUGAACAAGGUUCUAGUUGCUUCAUCAUUAGCUCUACUACCAAAAUGUGCACCAUCUAGUUUUGUCACUGGUCAAAACUGUGUUUAUGCUCUCACUACCCAAUGGGAUUUUAAGGCAUUGGUUGAUGUCAUGACUAGUACGUUGAAACUCUUUUCUCGUGAUGUGUACUAUUUCUUGAUUUAGUGUUCUCUCUCUUAUGUGACCUUAUUUGUGUCUAUGCAUCCGUAGUGUGUUUUGGACCCUUUUUUCUUUUUACCUAGUAGGUGACUUUGUGAUUGCUAAAAGAGUCUAUAGGGUGUGUGUGGUAUAUAUUGAUAACAAACACACUGUGUGGAUCUAUUUGAAUUAGAUAUGGUGGAUUUUGAUGUCAUAUUAGGGAUGAAUUAGUUGCACUCAUGCUAUCCUUCUAUAGAUAGUUGGACCUAUAAGGUCAUCUUUAAAUUCCCUAAUAAGCUAAUUAUUGAGUGAGAGGGUGGUUCCUUCAUUCCUAAGGGGAAGUUCAUAUCAUAUCUUCGAGUUUAGAGAUUAAUCUCUAAGAUGUGUCUCUAUCAUAAAGUUCGAGUUAAAGAUUCUAACUCGAAUGGUACUUCUUUGCAUUCUGUCCCAGUGGUGAAUAAAUUUCCCUAGGUCUUCCUUGAUGACCUUCCUGGUGUUCCUCCUGAUAGGGAUAUUAAGUUUGGGAUUGAUCUUAUUUUAGACACUCGUCCAAUUUCUAUUUCCCCAUAUAGAAUGGCCCCAGCUGAGUUGAAGGAGCUUAAGAAGCAACUCAAGGAUCCUUUAUAUAAGGGUUUCAUCUAUCCUAGGUGUCCCUGUGGGGUGUACUAGUAUUGUUCGUGAAUAAGAAGGAUAGUUCCCUUCGGAUGUGCAUUGAUUAACGAUGGUUGAAUAAGGUAAUGAUAAAGAAUAAGUAUCCUCUUCCAAGGAUAGCUAAUUUGUUUGAUAAGUUGCAAGGUCGUAAGUUUUUCUUCAAAAUUGAUCUUCGAUUUGGGUAUCACCAGUUGAAGAUUAGGGAGGUGGACAUCCCUAAGACUACCUUCCAUACCGAUAUGGGUACUUUGAGUUUCUGUUAAUGUAUUUUGAGUUGAUCAAUGUCCCUGCCACAUUCAAGGAUUUGAUAAAUAGGGUCUUCCAUUAGUUUCAGGAUCUAUUUGUCAUUGUUUUUAUAGAUGACAUUUUGAUGUCCUCUAAGAGUGAGGUGGUCCAUACAAAUCACCUACGUAUUAUCUUGCAGACCUUAAAAGAGUAGCUAUUGUAUGCCAAAUUUUCAAAAUGUGAAUUCUGGUUGAAUGCUGUCACUUUCCUAGGCCAUAUUAUUUCUAGUAAAGAUAUUAUGAUUGAUCCACAAAAAGUUUCCGUGGUGAAAAAGUGGCCUAUACCUACGACUCCAAUCGAUAUUUAGAGCUUCUUAGGUUUAGCGGGUUACUACAGGAGGUUGUUGGAGAGUUUUUUGACUAUAGCUACCCCAUUAACUAUGUUGACUUAAAACAAGGUAAAUUUUUUAUGGUCUGAUGCUUGUGAGGGGAGUUUUGAGAAGUUGAAGGAUAAGCUAACUUUAGCUCCAAUUUUGACUUUGCCUGAGGUCGCUGAUAGGUUUGUGGUGUACUGUGAUGUGUUCUCUGUGGUACUUAGUUGCAUUCUGAUACAACAUAGAAAGGUGGUAGCUUAUGCCUCUAGAUAGUUGAAGGUGCAUGAGAGGAAUUAUCUUUCUCAUUACUUAGAAUUGGUAGCUAUGGUAUUCACAUUGAAGAUCUGGUGUCACUAUUUGUAUGGGGUAGAUGUGGAUAUCUUUUCUGAUCAUAAGAGCCAACAAUAUGUGUUUACUCAGAAAAAGAUUAACCUCAGGAAAAGUAGAUGGCUUGUGUUUCUCAAGGAUUAUGAUAUAAGUCCUUAUUACCACCCAGGUAAAGCUAACGUGGUUGCUGAUACUCUUAGUAGGUUAUCUAUGAGGAUUCUGGCCCAUAUGGAUAAAGGAAAGUAGGAGUUAGUGAAGGACAUUCACCGUUUAGCUAACCUUGGAGUUCACCUCUUGGACUCUGAAGAUGGUGGUGUGUUUGGGAAGGAUGUGGUGCGGUUGUCUUUUGGUGUUAAAAUCAAAGAGAAACAGAUGCUAGAUCCUAUCUUGAUGAAAAUCAAGGGUGAUAUAGGUGGGCAGAAGGUAAUGGCCUUUGAGAUUAAUGGUUAUGGUACUUUGCGGUACUAUGGGAGGUUAUGUGUUCCUGAUGUAGAUGGUUUGUAAGAGAGGAUCUUGGCUGAGGUGCAUUAGUCACAUUAUGUUGUUUAUCCUGAUUUAAUGAAAAUUUAUCAUGAUCUCAAGGAGAUGUAGUGGUGGAACAAUAUGAAGAGGGAUGUGACUAAUUUUGUGGCCAAGUUCAUGGUGUGCCAACAAGUGAAAGUUAGGCACAUGAGGCCCAGAGGAUUGUAUCAAGAAAUUAAGAUGCUUGAAUAGAAGUGGGAGGUGAUCAACAUAGAUUUUAUUACCAAUCUCCCUCGAUAUCAGAAUUAAUUUGAUUUGAUUUAGGUCAUCUUGGAUUGGAUGACAAAGUCGGCUAACUUUUUUCCAGUAAGGACGAGAUUUUUGGCUGAGGAUUAUGGAAGGUUGUAUCUACAUGAGAUUGUGAAGUUGUAUGGGGUACCCAUUUUUAUCAUCUCCGAUUGUGGUAUGCAAUUUUUAUCUCACUUUUUGCAGUCAUUCUAGAAAAGGUUGGGGACUAAGGUAAGUUUGAGUACUUUUUUUCACCCACAGUUGGAUGGAAAAGAAGAAAGAACAAUUCAAACAUUGGAGGAUAUGCUUCAGGCUUGUGUGAUUGACUAUGGUGGUAGUUGGGUUGAGUAGUUACCUCUUAUCGAGUUUGCUUACAACAAUAGCUACCGCUUUAGGAUUGGGACGACUCUAUUAAAAUGUUGUAUGGUAGGAGGUAUAGGUCUCCUAUUGGGUGGUUCGAGCUUAGUGAGGCGGAUAUGUUUGGCCUAGAUUUUGUUUACCAAGUUAUGGAGAAGGUGAAGGUGAUUUGAGAUAGGCUUAAGGAUGCCCAAAGUUGCAAAAAGUCUUAUACAUACGUGAGGCGAAGGGACCUAGAGUUUGAGGUUGGAGAUAAGGUAUUCCAAAAGGUAUCUCCUAUGAAAAGAGUGAUGUGGUUUGGAAAAAAGAGCAGCUUAGUCCUCAAUAUAUGGGCUGUUAUGUGAUUUUGAGGAGUGUUGGUAAUGUUGCAUAUAAGUUGGAAUUGCCUUUUACUUAGAGCUCCAUUCACCUGAUAUUCCAUGUCUCUACAUUGAGAAAGUGUAUUGUGAUCCACCUCAAAUUGUGCCUAUUAAGGAUAUUUGUACUUCUGAUUUCCUAUCUUAUGAGGAGAUCCCAGUUAAGAUCUUGGAUCGUCAGGUUCGUCAUUUGCGUACCAAGGAUGUGGCCUCAAUAAAGGUAUUAUGGGGAACCCACAAAGUCAAAAAGGCUACUUGGGAGGCUGAAGAGAAAAUAAUGUCUAAGUAUCCAUUCCUAUUUUCUAUUCUGGAUAUUCAUGCUAAAGGUAUGUGUUCUUUAUAAAGUCUUUAUGUUUCAAACUUUGUUAAGGGAGAGAUUGACUUCCUUUGUAUCUUUAUUAAUAACUUGUUUAAAGGUAAGGGUAGAGAUAUUUGAGAGGUUUUAUCAUGCUUGUACUGCCUUAUUCCAUCGUUUGAGGGUGAAUGAUACAAGUAGGGGAGAAUUGAAACAACCUGGGAUCUGGUUCUUAUAAAUUUCUUGAAUCUUGAGCCUUCUAUAGAUCAUACGACUCUCUAUACUAGUCGUAUGGUGUGGGUACGAGUCUAGGGACCCUAGUCAUAUGUAGGAUCCAUCCGUAUGUUGUCUAGUGUCUUGCCUAGAUGUUUAUGCUUAGGGCAUGACUUAAAGAGUACUAGUCGUAUGGUUAGGGUACAAAUUAGGAUGAGGAGUUAUAUGUUUGACAAAAUAUGAUGUCGAGCUUUCUGAUCAAGGUAUGGUGGAAGAUACCACUCAUAUGAUAAGGGUACGAGUGAGGGGUCCAAAUCGUAACCACCUGCGGGAAUUUUUAUAGUUUAAGUAGGGGGUAUUCUGGACAUUUCCCCCUAAUAACUCCUUUUGACUCCACAUCAUAAAAAACCUUUGGAGGCUUCCUUAAUAUAUUAUUCACAAUCAAAAACUCUCUAAACACUCUCAAAUCUCUCUCAAGCUCUUGGUUCAAGAAAGGCUAGGGUUUUCUUCAAAGCAAUAAUUUAAGGCUCUAAAGGGUGGUUUCUCUCCGUCUUCCUUAUUGUAUUAGGCAUGUUACUCCUCCCUAAUUAUUAGUUUAACUAAAAUAAUGUUUUAACAAAUGAUUUUAUGGUAUUAUUGUGAAAAUAUUUGGGUUUUGAAAUAUAUGUUGGGGGUUUUGGUUAUUCUUGGUUGGAUAAUAUUUUCCCAUGAUUUUCUUAUGGUUUUCAUAUUAUAAUGUGAUUUGACAUGUGUUUUCAUGGGAAUGGUCAAUUGAUACUUGAUUUUGGUUUUACAAACUCUGUUCCCUCAACAUGUUUGUUAAAAUGGCUAUGAGUGAAACACUUAGACUUUGAACCAUCAAAAAAUUUCUCCAUUUGAUGUCACUUGGGGGGGGAGGGGUACGACUAGGGGCACGAGUCGUACCCCUUGGAUAUGAGUCGUGUCUUCCUUCCCUUCCCCUCUUAUAUCCUAGGCAGUAAGGUGAGGGUUACUCACUAUCCUAGGUAUGAGUGACCCCCUCCUCAAUUGUACCCUUAGUAUAUGAGUCAUACCUAGGCGAGUAGUAUGGGUUGAGGUCUUAGCUUGGAGUGGACUAUUUUUGUUACGAGUGGAGCAUAUGAGUUAGGGGUGAGUCGUACCCUUUGGAUACGACUCAAGGGUGUAUAGUCGUACCCUUAAUAGUAUAGGUGACCUAGGAGAAGGCUAGGGUAUGAGUCGGUGUACCACUCGUACCUUUGGGUACAGUUUUCCUAGUGAGUCGUACCCCAGGACGGGUGCAUUUUACAGCUUUUAACUAAGGGACUUGUGGUCAUUUCCUACACCCUAAACCCUAAGUACCUUCACUAUAUAAGUGUAUUAGGCCUUCUUAAGCACAUUUUUGAGUGGAUCAAACACCCAAAACUCUCUCUUAAGCUCAUCUUUGAAGAAUUGAAGGCUAGGGUUUCAAGGGUGAUCUUGAAGAGGAAAAGUAAAGUCAAGUUUGUUGGUGAAUCAAAUUGUCUAUGGAAUAUACCUCUUCACCUUGUUGAAUAACUCUAAACCCAUGUUGCACUUGGAUUAGUAAGUGUACAUAGUGAUUUUUGAAAUCAAAUGAAAAGGGUUUUGUUGCCUAAUAAUGAAUAAUGUUGAAUCUUUCUUAGAAUUGUGUUUAUACAUGUUAUUGAUGAUGAUUUUUAUAUAUAGGUACUCUUUGUAUGUGGUUUAAUAUAAGGGUCUUGAGUAACCCUAGCCUUGGUGAUUGUUAAAGGUAUGCACAUAAGGUGUUUUGUGGAAAUGUCUAAGUGCAUUGUCUAAUCACAUGUUGGUGAUGUUUUGAACUAGGGCAAUGGACCAAUAAGUAUGGAUGAUUGAUAAAUGGUAUGUUAAAAUUAUUGUGAGCUAUGUAUUGUAUAAUUGAUGACCAUGAUUGGUUCAUUAACUAAUUAGGGGGGGGGGUUGAAGUCCCUAAACAUGAUAAUGUAUUUGAAUUAUGUGUGUUACCAAGUGUGAUGAGAAUAUGGUAUAAGAUGGUUAAUGAAAUGCAAAUAGUUGUGAGGGUCUUGAUGACCAUAACUUGAAUUUUAUGAUGGAUUGAAUGAAGGCAGUGGCCUAUUGAAAUAGUUGAGCAAUGAAGGCUCCUAGAAAGACCAUGAGGUCAUGCAUAGUGUUGAAUUAGCUAUAUGGUUAAAGUCAUUAAGUGUUAUAUGGAAUGAAUGUUGAUUCAUGGUAAAAAAGGUUAAAGUCCUAAUGUUAACUAAUGAUAGUUGUAAUGGCUUGAGGUUGAAGUCCCUUUCCUUAUGAAAUGGAUUGAGGUUGGAGUCCCUUGCCCAAUGAAAUUGCUCGAGGUUAGUGUCCCUUGAAUAAAGAGAUCUUUUAAGGUUAAUGUUCUUUGUCGAAUAAAAUGGGUUGCAGUUAGAGUCCCUUGGCAUGAUCUUAGAGUCCUUUGUCUAACAAAUAGGAAUGAGGUUGGAGUCCCUUUCCUAGAUAAAUGUGUGUGGUUACAGUCCCUUGUUUGAAUUAUUAUAUAUGCAGUUAAAGUUCUUGUCUAAUGAAUGCCUGAGCAUGGUUAAAGCCUUUUGUCCAGUGGUAUGUGAUUGUGGUUAAAAUCCUAUGCCUAAAUGGAAUUGUUGAAAGUAAGUGUAGAUGGUUGGAGUCCUCUACUUCAUGCCUAAUGAAUGAAUUUUCAAGGAUGUUGUUAAGCCUUUAUUUCUUGAUUUACAUGUGAUAUACCUAUAUGUAAGGAUAAAGUGUAUGAAUAUGAUUGAAUAUGAUAUAUUGGAGUGUUCUUGAAUAAUGAUGCUAGUUUAUCCUUAUCCUUGAGUUACAUGCUAGAGUUCCAACCACUAACCAUCUCCGGACACUAUGUCCCCAUGGGACAUAGUGGCCAGAACAUCAUCUUCGCUUCCCACAUAGUGAUUAGGUGAUCGAAACGGUUCAUGCAUUGACUACGGAGUGGCGAGCUUCCUUAUUUCAGAAGACGUUCAUUCUUGGUCCCUUAUUUUUAGACUUAGUCUCAUCCUAACUUAGUUUUCCUAUUGUCUAGGGCUUGUUAGGACAUAUAUUUCUAAACAUUGGUUUGUAUAGAGGUAUUGUGGAUGACUGUGGACUUAGGUAUAUUGGCUAGGGUGUUGAUAUUUAUGAAAUUGUUAGACAUUGUUAAGUUAUGACUUCUAGUAUUGUAUUUGCUAUCUUAUUAUGCAGUUGGGAUUUACUCGAACCUAAUGAUUGAUGUGAUGACUAUGAUGGAUUAUUCGGGAGACCUCCGAUUCAUGUAGGCUUGAGGUGCCCAUACGACAUAGCCAAUUUUGGGGCGUGUCAAGUUGGUAUCAGAGCCUAGGUUCAUGGACAGUUUGGUGUCCACAAUACCGUGUCAAUUAGAGUCUCUUUAUGGGUGUGAAGUGUGAUACACUUAUAAAAGAGGAUCAAUGAGUCAUUUUAGGAAAUGUUUACCUUUCUUGUGUUUCAAUCUCAAGCUAUAAAGUCUAAGGUCUUGGAUUCCUCUGAUUUCUAUUUUCUAGCUUUUAGAUCGUGCCUCCAAGGAGACCUGAGACUCAGGCAAACCCUUCUAAGGGCCCUAUGGAUGAAGCUCGUCUAAUUUCUGGAGUUUGGACCUAGGCAAGGGCUGCGGAAUCCGACCAUCUUAAUGGGGUUCCACCUAUCCCCACCAACCCCGACUAUGAGAGUGAUCCUCCUAUUCUUUCACCUAAAAGGGAUGCUACUAAUGCCGAGUUUCAUCGCUCUAUCAACAUCUUCACUCCAUUGGUAGCCGCUCAAUUGAAGAGUGGUGCUCCAACUACCAUUUCUUUUAAGGCCAGAGGAAUUGGGCAAUUCAUGAGGUUGAGACCUCCUAUGUUCUUCAGUACAAAUCUUGAGGAGGAUCCUCAAGGCUUUGUUGUUAAAAUGGAGAAGAUCUUCCAAAUCAUGCAUGCUCCGGAGAUGGAGUCUAUUGACUUUUCUUCCUAAAAAUUGAAGGAUGUAGCGUACCAAUGAUAUGAAGGGUAGGAGUUGUAUAGAAGUGUUGAUGAAAGUCCUGUCAUGUAGGAGAUUUCUCUGAGGCUUUCUUAGACCGCUUCUUUCCUCAAGAGUUGCGGGAGGAGAAGGCGGAAGAGUUUGUGAACAUGAAGCAAGGGAGGAUGUUCGUUCAAGAGUAUUCCUUGAAAUUCCAUCAAUUGUAAAGGUAUGCUCCCGAGAUGGUUUCUAGCAUGAGGGCUAGAAUGGAUUAGUUUGUCUCGGGAUUGUCUCGUGAGUUGGUCCUUAAGAGCAAAAUAACCUUGUUGAUUGAAAACAUAGAUAUUUCUAUGUUGAUUGUGUAUAUGAAACCAGUGAAAGAAGAGAAAAAGAAGCAAGUUGAGAUUAGUGAGAGGCAAGGAAAGAAAUUUAGGCCUUCUGAGCAUAGUGGUGGUGAUGGUAGCAUGUGGGCACGGAAGAAGUAGGGGAGUUUGAUUUCCUUAUACAAUGGUAGUGUUCGCUCUCCUUACCCAAAGUUUUUGGGUGGUCAUUGGUCUCAGUUUGGUGGUGGGUCUUGGACAUAGGGUGCCCAAUUCCAGGCUAGUGGUGCCCAGUAAGCUCCACCUUACCAUCCUUGAAGAUUCUGUAGUUAGAGUCAUCGUGGUCAGUGUGAGAAGGGGAGAAAAAGAUGUUUCCAUUAUGGUUAGGUUGGGAAUAUGUAGAGUGAGUUCUCCUCUCUAGAAGCCUCAUGGGCCAACAAGGCUUUGAGUACUUCUCUCUGGCAGCCUUUUAGGCCAACAGGGCUCCUAUUGUUACUUCCUCUACUUUCGCACCGAAGGGUGCUAUGUCUGCCACUGCUUCUGUUUCUGGCACCUACGCUGGCCGAAAAAACUUGUAUGCACUUGCUACUUGCUAGGAUUCUGAGUCAUCUCCUCAUACUGUCACGGGUAUGUUGAGACUUUUCUCCCGUGAUGUGUGUUGUUCACUUGAUCAAGGUUCUACUUUUUUUUAUGUGACCCCGUAUGUGGCUAUGCAUCUUGAUUGUGGUCCCGAGAGUUUGUCAGUUCCUUUUUUGGUUUCAACUCUGAUCGGAGACCCUGUGAUUGUUAGAAGGGUCUAUUAACACAUCCCGAAAUUGGGUCAUGUUGUAGGGGCACCUCAAGCCCACAUAAACCGGAGGUCACCCCGAUAACCCAUCACAAUCUUCACAUCAAUCACAUAGGUCAGGUGAAUCUCGACCAUAUAAUGAGAUAGCGGAAAUCAUAUUACGAGUAAUAACUUAAACAAGUCUAAACACUUCAUUAGAUUCAUCAACUGACCAAUAUACCCAAGGCCACAGUCAUCUACAAUAUCUCUAUACAAACCAGAGUUUAUAAAUGAAUAUGUCGGGACAAGCCCCCAACAAUAGCCAAACCAAGUAAAAAUUGAAUACGUCUAAAGAUAGGAUACCAAGGAUGAAUGUCUUCUAAGGAAAGGAAGCUUACCACUCCAAAGUGGAUUCAUGAACCUCUUCGAUCAUCUAAUCAAUGCGCAAGAAGAGAAGAAGAUGCUCCGACCCCUAUGUUGCAGGGGACAUAGCGUUCAGAGAUGGUUAGCGGUUAGAACGCUAGCAAGUAAAUCAAGGAUAAGGAUAAAAUAGCAUCAUCCCUCAACAACAAAAAAUAUAUCAUAUUCAAUAACAUUAAUAACCUUAUCCAUAUAUAUAUAGACAUAUCACAUGCAAAUCAAGGGGACAAGAUUUGUCAACACUUUAGAUGUACUCAUUCAUCAUACAUGCAAUGAAUAACUCUAACCCUACACACUUAUAAAUUUAAGCAUUUCCCAUUAGGCAUAGGACUUUAACCAUAUUCAUAUAUCAUCAAGUAAGGGACUCUAACCAUAUACACAUCCAUUUAUGUGAGGGACUCUAACCAUAUACACAUCUAGUUAAGUGAGAAACUCUAACCACACUAUCAUCUAUUCAAGUGAAAGAAUCAAUGAGGAACACUAACCACUCACACACAUUCAUUCAAGUGAGGGACUCUAACUGCUCACACACAUUCAUUCAAGCAAUGAACUAUAACAACAUGCUAACAUAUUUGGGAAGAGACUCUAACCACAUGCCAUAUUAGAUGGGGGACUCUAACCCCAAGCCAAUUCAUUUGGCGAGGCACUUCGACCUCAUGAGAUUUCACUAUGCAAGGGACUUAAACGAUAAACGAUUUGAUUAGGUAAGGGACUUUAACCUCAAGCCAUCACGACUAUCAUUAGUCAACAUUAGGACUCUAACCCUUUGUCCAUGCAUCCAUAUACAUUCAAUUCCACGCAUAAGGACUUUAACCUAUUUAGCUAAUUCAACAUUAUACAUGACAACAUGGUCCUCAUGGGAGCCUUCAUUGCUUAACCAUUUCGAUGAUCCAAUGCCUUAAUUCAACUCUUAAUAAAAUUCAAACUAUGGUCCUCAAGACCCUUACAAACCAUUCAUAUUCUAUACCACAAUUUAGUCCAACACAUAAUUCACGUUUAUUUUCAUGUUAGGGACUUUAACCCCCUUCUUAAUAAUCAAGCCAUUAAGGUAAUAAAUCACACAAUACAUAGCUCACUUUACCUUCACGAUAUCAUUUAUUACGCAUUCAUACAUCUUGGGCCAUUGCCCUAGUUCACAACAUCAUCAUCAUGUAACUAGGCAUUUCACUUAGACAUUUUCACAAACACCUUGUGUACAUGCCUUUACCAAGACCAAUUUAAGGGUAGAAACCAUGAAGACUAGGGUUAAUCAACACCUACAUGUUAGACUACAUAAUACAAGCAUUCACAUGGGCAAAAUACCACCAAUAACCUGUAUAAACAUAAGUCUAAGCAAGAAUCGUCAUUAUUCAUUAUUAGGCAACAAAGCCCUUUUCAUUUGAUUCCAAAAUCACCAUGUACACUUACUAAUCCAAGUGUGAAAUACAUCGGUUUAGAGUUAUUUAGAAUGGGGAAGAGGUACAUGCCUUAAACAAGAUGAAUCACCAAGAAUAUUGAAUCCCCUUUGCCUCUCAAAGACAACUCUUAAAACCCUAUCCUCCAAUUCUUCAAAGAUAAGCUUGAGAGAUAAUAUUUAGGGUGUUUGAUCCAUCAAAAUGGAUGUUUAGGAGGCUAGACACACUUAUAUAGUUAGAGGGUUUUUAGUCAUGGGAAAUGACCACAAGGGCCUUAGUUAAAAUCUGGAAAAUAAACCAAUCCAGGAGUCCGACUCACCUUGUGACUAACUUAGGUAGUCGUACCCCAGGAUAUGAGUCGUACCCUGACUCAUACCCUUGGCCUCUCCUAGGUGACAUACUCUAUUAAGGGUACAAUCAUGCACCCUUGAGUUGUAUCCAAGGGGUAUGACUCACCCCCUAGUUGUAUGCUCCAAUCGUAACAAAACCAGUCCACUCUAAUCUACGAACUCACUCUAUACGACUUACCUAGGUACGACUUAUACCCUUAGGGUAUGAUUGAGGAGGGGUCAUUCAUAUAGAAGAAAGACUGCAACCCUUCCUAGGAUUCUUAGGGUAUGAGAGAGGAGGUGAGGAAGUAUAUGACUCGUAUCCAUUGGGUACGACUCAAGCCCCUUGUCGUACCAAUACAGUGACACCAAAAGGUGAAGUGUUUCUAUGGUUCUAAGUCUAGGUGAUUGAAUUCUUCACUACUUGGAUCAUUCGUCCUCGAAUGAGGGGGAAGGCAACUAAUAAACAAAAGCCAACAUAUCAUCACACAACAAAACAAAAUUCAAGCAAGUUAGAACAAGCAUAAUAGGGAUAUAACACACAUCAUGCUCAUUUUCCAUCAAUUAUUCAUGUCAUCAUCUUUGGGACUCAUACCAAUUAUUUAUCAAAACACUUGUUCAUUUCAAAGCUUAGGGACUUAAACCCUUGCUUAUCUACACUUACUUAUUUCAAAACUUAGGGACUCAACCCAUCAACUUAUCAAGGAUAUUUACUCAAUUCAAGGAUUAGAGACUCAAACCCAUCACUUACCAAAGACAUCAAUCAAUUCAAGAUACUAGGGACUUAAACCCAUCACAACAAGGACACAUAUAGUUUCAAAGUAAUAGGGAUUUGAACCCAUGGUCUAACAAGACACAAAUCAACCAACAUAUUAGGGACUUUAACCCAUUUUCUAUUAAAGAUAUAAAUUAAAGUAAGGAGAUCAACACAUACCUCUACCCAAAGUUUCUGGUAUAGAAAACAAGUGCGGAUACUUGGACUUCAUGUACUCUUCCGCUUCCCACGUAGAUCCCUCGAACUUUUGGUUCCUCCAUAGAAUCUUUAUCGAAGUCACCUCUUUAAUUCAUAAUCGGUGUACUUGCUGAUCCAAGAUCCUCACCGGGAUCUCAUCAUAGGACAAAGAGUCCCAAAUACUGACAUCAUUCAAAGGAACAACCAAUGAAGGAUCACCCACAUAUUUCCACAACAUAGAGACAUGGAAAAUUGGGUGAAUAGAGUUCAUACUAGAAGGCAACUCCAACUCAUAGGAAAUAUUGCCAAUCCUCUUCAUAAUCAAGUAGGGACCAACAUACCGGGGACUAAGCUUCCUUUUUUUACCUAACCACAUCACUCCCUUCAUAUGAGUCAAUUUCAAGAAUACCCAACUGCCAACACUGAACUCUAAGUCUCUACAUCUUGAUCCACAUAAGACUUUGGGCGACUUUGAGCGACUUUGAAUCUAUCACUAAUCACCUUCACCUUCUCAAAGACUUGUUGGACUAAGUCAGGGCCACGUAAUUUACCCUUGCCAACCUCGUAACACCCAAUCAGAGAUCGACAUCUCUUACCAUAAAAUGCCUUAAGAGGCACUAUGCCAAUACUUGAGUGGUAACUAUUAUUAUAGGAAAACUCAAUCAAAGAAAAGUGGUCAUACCAACUACCACCAUAAUUAAUCACACAAGCCCGCAACAUAUCCUCUAAUAUUUGGAUGGUUCUUUUCUCUUGCCCUUCCGUUUGUGGGUGGAUAUCGGAACUAAGGCAUAUUCUAGUACCUAAUCCCUUUUGGAAUUACUUCAAAAAGUGGGAUGGAAAUAGAGGACCAUGAUAUGAAAUAAUAGAGACCGAAGCACCAUGCAACUUCACGAUCUCCACAAAAUAUAAUUCAGCAUAAUCUUCUAUCGAGAAAUUAGUCCUCAUGGGCAAAAGGUAAGCGGACUUGGUUAUCCUAUCAACAAUGACCCAAAUGGAAUCACAUUGAUUCUACGAUCUAGGAAGACUUGUAACAAAAUCUAGAUUAAUUGCCUCCCACUUCUAUUCGAGUAAUAUGAUCUCUUAAUACAAGCCCCAGGUCUCAUAUGCUCAAUUUCACUUAUUAACACACCAUACACUUGGACACAUCACGCUUCAUACUACCCCACCAAUAGAGCUCUCUAAUAUCAUGAUACAUCUUGUUGGAACUGCGAUAAAUAGCAUAAUGAGAUCCAUGAGCCUCGACCAUGACCCUUCCCCUUAAUCCAUCGACAUCGGGAACACAUAGCCUACCUUGGUAUCUCAAGAUACCAUCACCACCAAUCACAAUGUUCACAAGUUUAUGUUGACCCAUAUUACUUUUGAUAUUCAUCAAGUUGGGGUCCAAUGCUUUUUUUUCUUUAUCUCGACAAUAAGAGAUUAUUGAGAUACCAUAAGCACAAACAAACCAUCAUCCUCGGAAUUCAUAAGUUGAACUCCAAGAUUAUUCAACGGUGAAUGUCUUUCACCAAUUCUCGCUUAUCCCCAUCUACAUGGACUAAACACCCUAUGAACAAUCUACUAAGAGUAUCGACAACUAUAUUUGCCUUACUAGGAUGGUAAUGAAGAAGCAUAUCAUAGUCAUUCAAAAGCUUAAGCCACCUUCUUUGCUAAAGAUUCAACUUCUUUUGAGUAAACAUACAUUAGAGGCUCUUAUGACCGAAAAAGAUAUCAACAUGAACCCCACAAAUGUAAUGUCUCUAAAUAUUUAAUGCAAAGACCAUAACUUACAACUCUAUAUCAUGGGUAGGGCAGUUCUUCUUAUGUUCUUUCAAUUGAUUAGAAGCAUAGGCCACCACCCUACCAUGUUGCAUCAACACGCAACCAAGUCCGACCUGAGAAGUAUCACAAUACACCACAAAACCAUCAAUACCUUAGGGUAAGUCAAAAUCAGAGCAAAAGUCAAUUUAUUUUUUAACUUCUCGAAACAACCCUUACACGAAUUGGACCACAAGAACUUUACCUUCUUUUGGGUUAAUUUAUUCAAUGAGGCAGCUAUAGUGGAGAAAAUCUCCACAAACCUUCUAUAGUAAUCGGCUAGACCCAAGAAGCUCCAAAUAUCGAUUGGAACUAUAGCUCUAGUAGCUUUUUAACCGCUGCAACUUUUAGGGGAUGUACCAUGAUCACUUCACUAGAGAUAACAUGACCAAGAAAAGCUAUUGUUUUCAACCAAAACUUGUACUUGGAAAACUUGACAUAUAAAUUAUGAUCCUUCAAGGUUUGAAACAUGGCACAAAGGUAAUUUACAUAAUCCUCCUCACUUAUAGAAAACACUAAGAUAUCAUCAAUAAAGGCAAUAAUAAAUAUAUCCAAGAAUGGAUGAAGACCCUAUUCAUUAAGUCCAUGAAUGCCGUUGGGGCAUUGGUCAACCGAAAAAACAUAACAACAAACUCACAGUGAACAUACCGGGUUCUAAAGGCCGUCUUAGGGAUAUCUGUAUCCAUAAGCUUAAGCUGAUGAUAACAGGAUCUAUGAUCAAUCUUAGAGAAACAAUUUGUACCCUAAAGUUGAUCAAGCAAAUCAUCGAUCCUAGGAAGAGGAUAUUUAUUUUUUAUGGUCACUUUGUUCAACUAAUGAUCAUCAAUGCACAUACAAAAGCAUCCUUCUUGCGCACGAACAACAUAGGAGCACCCUAUGGAGAGACACUAGGGUGGAUAAAACCUUUAUCUAAGAGGACUUUUAAUUGCUCCAUAAGAUCUCUUCGCUCUGCUAGAUCCAUUCUAUAAGGAGGGAUAGAAAUCGAAUGAGUUUUUAGGAAAAGAUUAAUCCCAGAACCAAUUUCCUUAUCGGGAGGAACAAUGAGAAGAUCUGCGAGAAAUACCUCAAGAAACUCAUUAACCACGAGAAUAGAUUCUAGAGAAGGUUCUUUUGAGUUAGAAUCUUUAACUUAGACUAAAUAAUACCCUUUUAGAUCAACUUUUAGGAAUUUAGAUAAAAAAUGAACCUUUUAUGAGGAACUACGAAAUCACCUUCCCAUACGAUAAUUGGAUCAUUAGGGAACUUGAAUAUGACUGAUUUGUGAGCAAUUGCUAACACAUUUAAGACCUUUAACCAAGAAUAAUUAUGAAGUCUUAAGCAACUUUUUUUGUUUUUGAUUUGUUUAUGUCUGAUUUUACAGUUUAAGCUGAUGGGAUAGAGAACCAACAAAAAUAGAAGCAAAGAAGUUAAAAUCUAGAGGAAUUUGAAGAGAAGUGUGGAUGACAACAUCUAUGAUAAGUCAUCAGCCCUGUAAUAGGAUAUCAUAGUUGUCAUUAGACUUAACCAUGAUUUGAAGCUUCUGACGACAUCUAGUGAUAUGACGUCAAAAGUGUGAUACACCAUCAUGAAUGUCAUCAUCUUUAAAUAGAGAAUGGAAGUUAAAGAUAUUUUUAUGACGAUGUUCAUGAUAAGCCAUCAGGUUUGUGAUAAGGUGUCAACAUCAUCGUCAGUCUUAGACAGCAGAAGCCGAAAGUGCAGAGGAGCUGACGACAUCCUUGAUAAGCCAUCAGACUCCUGAUAAGCUAUCACGUAUAUUGUCGUCCAUUCUAAGAAAAAGAUGCAACUUUAAUUUUAUUUCCUUAUUUAGGUUGAACUAUUUAAAUCUUUGUUUUGGGGUUUUAUAGGGGGCAUUCAUUCAUUCACCAUCAUCAUUAUUCAAAAGAGAGUUCGAUACUUUGAGUCUUAGAGAAUAUUUUCCGAUAUUUCUUUCUCUAUAUUUUAGGAUUCGAACAAUACUACUAUUGUGGGGAUUUUAUUUUGUGAUCUAAUCUAUGAUUCACUAAUUAUUAUUUAUCUCUAUAAGUAAUCUUGUCUAUUAUAUAUUUAAUUAUGUGUUUCAGUCAUUAUAUCAUGAGUGGCUAAACUUUAUUAACCUGAAUUAUAGGAUCUAGGGUUUAGGUCUUGAUAAGGUGCUAAGUGUUCAAGAUUUGAAAGGUGAUAGGAUUUCUUUAUAAUUCUAAGGUUUUAAUUAACAUCUUUUGGUUGCAAAUAAUAGAUAACACCUUCUUUGAUUUUCUUGAGAAAGAAAUCAAAUAUAGUAGGAAGUGAAUUAUCAACAGGGACUCGGAAAUACUUCAUUUAAUAAUCAGCCCUGUAACAAGGUUGGUUAACCUGAGGUAAAAUCUGGGCAGUAAAUAGAAAUUCCCAACGUCCGAGAGGAUUAGGAAAUUAAAUGCUUAAGUAGGUCAAGAGACAUUUAAGCAUAACAUCGAUUAAGAUAGCUUGUUAUCCUUCCUACCGUGAGAAUCUUGAACCACUUUUAGCAUCUAUCAUAUACCGGAAUCCCUAGUGAACAUAAUUCUAGUUAUUUCUUAAACUCUUGGUUUAUAAACACUGAAACUAGAGUGAUCAAUAAUUAUUUGCUAAUCAUUAAAAAUCCCUACUUUAUCUUUUCUCAUCAUUCGUUUGAAUUCAACUUGUAGCUAUAGUUUUAAACUAGUUUAAUCGCCACUCACAUUGUUCCCUGUGGAUUCGACCCUGACUCCAAAGUUGGGUAAAUAUAUUGACGACGACCGCCUUGCACUAAAUUGACAUGUAAGUUGAGUGUUAUCAAAAAAGAGCACCGUUGCUGGGGAACAAUUUGGCGUAUUAGGUUGGUUUAGAAUUUUAGCCUACUUGCUUGAAUUCAAAUUUGUAAAUAUUUAUUUUUAGUUUUAUUUUAUUUCUUGUGUUAGGUAGAUUUUUAUUUUAGUUUACUUAUUACCAUGGUAUCAUGGAAUGAACAUGAUCUUGGUAGUUAUAAAUCUUAUCUUGAUGAUCCAUAUCCAUAUUGUGAUGGACCUCACUUUUGGCAAGAUUGUAGAUAUGCUACCCGGAGAGAUAUAUGUGCAUUAUCUCCAUCUUAUCAGGAGUAUGAUUGUUCGUUAUGUGGUGGUCAAGAUGAACAUUGGAGUGAUUGCCCAAAUUCCCUCUUCCCCCGAUAUGCUAACCCAAAUUCUAGUUUUUCUUAUGAUUUUGAUAGGUUUUAUGGUCAAGAACAGGAAAAAUAAAACACCGGAAAGAGAAUGAAUCACCGUAAAGAGUGGCAUUGAAGCUAUGCUUUAACUAAUGUUAGAGUGUAUGGACACAAUGAAUUAUAUCAUACAUGAUAUACAUCAAGAUAUAAAGGCAAAUAAUAAGAAAAGAAGAACGAUAGAGGAUAUGGAUAUAGAGCUCAAACAUUCAAAGCACUUUUCCAUAUUAUGUUUAGAUGAUAUCUUGUAUGUGGAAUCAUUUAACAUAAUGGACGGAGAAAGAAUUCAAUGUUAAUGAUGAGCUUAAUGUUGAGUAACCCUCGGUGAUUUCCCAACUAACCAAACCAUUUCUGAAGAAGAUGCCAAAGAUGAGGAGAUGGUACUAGAGUCAAAAAAAGAAAUCAAGGACAAUCCUUGUGAAGACGCUAGUCCAUUUUGGGGUAGAAAUACUAAUAGGGAUGCUACUCCAAAAUCGAGAGUUAUUCCUCAUUCGAUCCACUUUUCAACAUUAUGCUUAGUGGAUGUGAUGAAAGUCGAAUUACCUAAGAAAAUAAUGAAUUUUGAAAAUGAGGAGAAAGAUUAUUAUAUUUUGGAGUUUGUCCUUCCAAAAGGGUAUACUACAACCCCAAUCUUGAAGGCCAAGAAGCUUAAAGAUCGAUGUCUAUUUAGUGGCUGUUUAAGAUUCUCACCAUUUCCAAAUGAGACCAUAUGAAAGUUUGAUGCAAAGUUUGGCAAGCAAUUCAAGUCUUCGAAGUGGCGUGAUAGAACAUUCCUCAUCAUGCCCUCAUAUUUGCCCAACACACCCCGAAGAUGUAUUGAUCAAAAGUUGGAAUGACAUUUCAAAUCCUCCAAGUGGAGACAUAAAUAAUUAUCAACAAGGUAUCUUGAUGAAGUCUGAGUAGUCAAGAUAACUAAGUCGUUCCGUGACACUAAAUUAGGCGCUUCUUGCAAGGAAACCCAAGGUAUUUUGUUGUUUGUAUUUGUAUUAUGUGAUUGACAUUAAAUCUUCGCACCCGUGGUGCCACAAGUAUGUUUCUAACUCUCUUGUUUUGGUUUGAUGUAUUGGGGACAUUGCAUGAUUUUAUGUUGAGGGUGGGGCUACUUGUGGGUGUUGAUGUCCUCUGUGGGUUUUUGUUGCCACGCCUCUUUUUCUUGGAGUCUUAAUCCUAGUAGAGCCGACAUGUUUAGGCGUAUGGUGUUUGUUUUGUGAUGUGUUGUGGUUGAUUGGGGGAAAAAUAAGUAUCUAGGAUAGAUAAAAUAUUUUUGUUGAUUUUUCUUGGAAUGAUAAAUACCACUCAAAUUGUCUAUCUAGUAAUUAUGUGAUGAGCAUCUACAUGUGACUAUUGUGAAUCUUUUUAUGGCAUUAGUAUUAGGGACACGAUAAUCACUGCUAAUAAUUGCAUGAACCAAAUGGGUAGUAGCUUGUGAUUUACCUUUAUGCCAUGUGUGUGUGAGAUGCUACCUUGUUCCCGUUGUGUGUUAAAUCCAGAACUUGCUCGGUUGGUCUUGCCUUGGUUGUAGGAUAGUGGUUAGGAAAGGAUCAUAGGCCGUUGUUGAUGAUAGUCCACUUUUAGCCUAAAUGACCUUCUAUAUGUGAAUAAUAUCCCUUGAUCCUGAUUUUGAGCUUGAAUGCCUAUUCUUUUUAUUAUACCUAUCACCUUCGCAUUUGUAUCACAAUGAACAUAUUUUGGCCCUGGUCCUCCUUGGUCAUUGUGCACUUUUACUAAGGCAAAUCGCCUAAGUUAAAGGUGGAUACUAUAGGAGUGCGUGACAUAAAAUGAGUAUGAAUAAAGGUAGAAUAAAAGAAAAGAAUAAAAAUCUAGGAGUGGUGGAAAAAGAAUAAGAAAAGAAAAGCUGUGAAAAAAAAGAAAUGAUAGUCGAUAAAAAAUUAAAAUUAAGUCAUGGAGUAUGUGUGAUCAAGAAAGGAGAGAACUAAGUAAAGGUUGGUAAGUGAGACCCCAAAAAUAGUGUAGUGCCAAAGAGGCUUAGUCAAUUUAAAUAUCCUCGUGUAGCAUACCAGCCCCAAGCCUAUGUUACAAUGCCAUAGAGAAGACCUAUAGUGAUCCUAACUUAACUGUCUGAAAACUUAGCCAAUGAAAAUAAGAGCAAGCAUAUGGUAUUUGACAUGCAUUGAUUGGAAUUUGUUUCUAAGAGUGAGUGUCUCCUUACCUUCCUUGCAUUUACAUGCUUGAUGUCAUAAAUGAGUGAGGAGGGACUUCGUUGUUGUAAGGGCACAUCAGUUGCAUUGCUAGUUGCCUACUUGUUUGGGAAGUGUAAAUUGUACAUAUGCAUAGUUAUUGUUGCUAAGUUGAUGCCAUAUCUUGAUUCCUUUCUGUCACAUUACUGAUCUUAAUGGAUAUACACAGCUGGGUUUAAAGAGAUUGAAAAUGGAGAGAGUAACGUAUUUUUAACUAAAAUUGAUGAUCAACUAUCAUAGGUAUCUUAUGUAUCUCUUGGUUAAGGAUCGUAGUGUUGUCUUUUAGUUGCUUGAGGACAAGAAAUUUUUUAAGUUGAGGGUGUUGGUGUGUGUGCAAUUUCUAACACAUUUAAGACCUUUAACCAAGAAUAAUUGUGAAGUCUUAAGCAAAUUUUGUCGUUUUUGAUUUGUUUAUGUUUGAUUUUAUAGUUUAAGCUGAUGGGAUAGAGAACCAACAAGAAUGGAAGCAAAGAAGUUGAAAUAUAAAAGAAUUUGAAGAGAAGUGUGGCUGAUGACAUCUAUGAUAAGUCGUCAUCCCUGUGAUAGGCUAUCACAGUUGUCGUCAAGCUUAAGCAUGAGUUGAAGCCUGUGACGACAUCUGGUGAUAUGACGUCAAAAGUGUGAUACGCCGUCAUGAAUGUCGUCAUCCUUAAACAAAGAAUGAGAUUUAAAGACAUUUUUGUAAUGACGUUCGUGAUAAGCCGUCAAGUUGGUGAUAAGGCAUCAACAUCAUCGCCAGCCUUAGACAGUAGAAGCCAAAAGUUCAUAGGAGCUGACGACAUCUGUGAGAAGCCGUAGACUCCUGAUAAGCUGUCACGGAUGUCAUCGUCUAUUAUGAGAAAAAGAUGCAACUUUAAUUUUAUUUCCUUAUUUAGGUUGAACUAUUUAAAGCUUUGUUUUAGGGCUUUCUAUGGGGAAUUCAUUCAUUCAUUCAUCAUCAUCAUUAUUCUAAAGAGAGUUCGAUACUUUGAGUCUUGGAGAAUAUUUUCCGAUAUUUCUUUCUCUAUCUUUUUGGAUUUGAACAAUACAACUAUUUUGGGGAUUUUACUUUGUGAUCUAAUCUAUGAUUGACUAAUUAUUAUUCAUCUCUGUAAGAAAUUUUCUCAAUUAUGAAUUUAAUUAUGUGUUUCAUUUGUUACAUCAUGAGUGGCUGAACUCCAUUAAUCUGAAUUAUGGAAUCUAGAGUUAGGUCUUGAAAAGGUGCUAAGUGUUCAAGAUUCAAAAGGUAGUCGGAUUUAUUUAUAAUUCUGAGGUUUUAAUUAAUGUCUGUUGGUUUCAAAUAAUAGACAACACAUACUUUGAUUUUAUUGAGAAAGAAAUCAAAUUUAGUAGGAAGUGAAUUAUCAACAGGGACUCAAAAACACGUCGUUUAAUAAUCAGCGCUGUAAUAAGGUUGGUUAACCUGAGGUAAAAUCUGGGUAGUAAAUAGAUAUUCCCUAAGUCCAAGAGGAUAGGGAAUUAAACUCUUCAGUAGGUUGAGAGACAUUUAAGAAUAAAAUUGAAAAAGAUAGCUUAUUAUCCUACCUACCGUGAGAAUCUUGAACCACUUUUAGCGCCUGUCAUGUACCGGAAGCCCAAGUGAACAUAAUUCUGGUUAUUUCAUAAAUCUUGAUUUACAAACACUAAAACUAGAGUGAGCAACAAUUAUUUGCUAAUAAUUAAAAACCCCCACUUUAUCUUUUCGCAUCAUUCGUUUGAAUUCAACUUGUAUCUAUAGUUUCAAACUAGUUUAAUCGCCACUCACAUUGUUUUUUGUGGAUUCGACCUCGACUCCAAAGUUGGGUAAAUAUAUUGACGAUGACCGCCUUGUACUAAAUUGAUGUGUAAGUUGAGUGUUAUCAGUGACCAUAAGUGUCCGAAUAUCUAAUGAAGCAUAGCAAGAGUGCAGCUAAUCCACCCUAGAAUGACAUCAAAAUUAACCCUGUCCAACUCUAUCAAGUCUUCAAGAGUAUUCCUACCACCAAUCGAUAUCACACACCCCUUAUAGACCCUUCUAAUAACCACAGGGUCUCCGACCGAGGUAGAAAUAUAAAAGGGAACCGAUAGACUCUUGAGACCACAAUUAAGAUGCACAGCCACAUACGGAGUAACAUAAGAAAGAGUGGACCCUAGAUCAAGUAAACAAUACACAACACAGCUGAAAAGUGUCAACAUACCUAUGAUAAUAUCAGGAGAUGCUUUAGAAUCCUGGAGAGUAGCAAAAUCAUACAAGAAGUUUCGUCCUGCACUGGUGCUAGAUAUAGAAGCAAAGGCAGACAUAGCACCCUUUAGAGUAGGAGUAGAUCGAGUGGUAAUAGGGGCCCUAUUGGCCAAAGGUGCUGUUAGAGAGGGGAAAUCACACUACAUAUGCCCAACCUGACCAUAAUGGAAACAUCUAUUUCUACCCUUCUCAUACUGACCAUAAUGACUCUGACCACAAAAUCUGCAAAGAGGGCGAGGUGGAGCCGAUUGGGCACCACUAGACUAGAAUUGGGCACCCUGUGCCCAGGACCCACCACUAAAAUGAGUCCAAUGAUCAUACAAAAAUUUUGGACAAAGAGAGAAAACACUAUCUAAGGAGAAAGAACUUAAACUCCCCCACUCUUUCUAUGGCCACUUUCAAUCAUCACCAUCAUUAUGCUUAAAAGGCCUAAAUUUUUUCCUUUUCGCUCACUAAGAUCAACUUGCAUCUUUUUCUGUUCUUCCACUUGUUGUAAAUACACAAUUAACCUUGAAAUAUCCAUGUUCUCAAUUAACAAGGCCACCUUACUUUCAAGGACUAACUCACGAGACAAUCCUAAGAAAAACUUAUGCAUUCUAGCCCUCAUGCUAGAAACCAUCUCAGGAACAUACCUUGCCAAUUAUGGAAUUUCAAGGCAUACUCUUGAACGGACAUCCUCCCUCACUUUAUGUUCACAAACUCACCCACCUUUGCCUUCCUCAACUCUUGAGGAAAGAAACGGCCUAAGAAAGACUAAAAAAAUUCCUUCCAUAUAACGGGACUAGAACAAACACCCUUAGACAACUCCCACCCUUGCACCAUUAGUAUGCUACAUACUUCAAUUAGUAGGAAGAAAAUUCAGUUGCAUCGAUCUUCGAAUCAUGCAUAAUUAAAAAAAUCUUCUCUAUUUCAUUAAUGAUGCCUUGAGGAUCCUCCUCAACCUUCAUAUCGGAUAACAUAGGAUGGAUCAACCUCAAAAAUUUUCCAAUUCCUGUUGCCUCAAAAUAAAUGGUAGCCAGAGCACCACAUUUUGAUUGAGAAGCUACCAAUUGAGUCAAGAGUUUGAUAAAAAGACGAAACUCGGUAUUAGUAGCAUCCCUUUGAGGUGACGAAAUAGGAGGGUCACUCUCAUAGUUGGGAUUGGUAGGGAUAGGUUGAACCCUACAAAAAUAGUUGGAUACCACAACCCUAGUCUGGGUCCAAACUCCAAAAUUUGGAUGAGCUUCAUCCAUAGGGCCCUCAGAAGGGUUUUCUCGAGCCUCAUAUCUCCUUGGAGACAUGAUCUAAAAUAUAAAAAAUAGAAAUUUGAGGAGUUCAAGCCCUUAUAAUCUAUAGAUUGAGAUUGAAACAUAAGAAAGGGAAACAUUUCCAAAAAUAUCUCAUAGCUUCUUUUUAUAAGUGUGGCAUACUUCACACCUAUAAAAGAAGAGACUCUACUUGACACAGUAUUGUGGAACCCAACUGACCAUGAACCUAGGCUCUAAUACCAACUUGAUAUAUCCUGAAAUUGGGUCAUGUCAUAGGGCACCUCAAGUUCACAUGAACUAGAGGUUACCCCGAUAACCCAUCAUAAUCAUCACAUCAAUCACAUAGGUUAGGCGAAUCUCGACCAUAUAAUGAGGUAGUAAAAAUCAUACUACGAGUCAUAACUUAAACAAGUCUAAACAAUUCAUUAGAUUCAUCAACUGACCAGUAUGCCAAAGUCCACAGUCAUCCAUAAUGCCUCUUAUAAACCAGAGUUUAGAAAUGUAUAUAUCAGAACAAGCCCCUGACAAUAGCCAAACUAAGUAAAAAAUGACUAAGUCUAAAUAUAGGAGACCAAGGAUGAAUGUCUUCUGAAGAAAGGAAGCUCACCACUUUAAAUUCAAUGCACGAAUUGCUUCAAUCGUCCAAUCACUGUGCAGGAAGAGAAGAAGAUGCUCUGACCCCUAUGUUGCAUGGGGAAAAAGCAUUCAAAGACGGCUAGUAGUUGGAACACUACCAUUUAACUCAAGGAUAAGGAUAAAAUAGAAUCAUCAUUUACAAUAAGCAAUAUAUCAUAUUCAAUCUCAUUCAUAACCUUAUCAAUAUAUAUAUAUAUAUAUAUAUAUAUAUAGACAUAUCAUAUGCCAAUCAAGGGGACAAGAUUUAUCAAUAACUUGGAUGCACUCAUUCAUCAUACAUGAAAUGAAGGACUCCAACCUUCCACACUUAUAGAUUCAAGCAUUUCCCAUUAGGCAUAGGACUUUAACUAUAUUCACAUAUCAUUAAGUAAGGGACUCUAAUUGCGUACACAUCCAUUUAAGUGAGGGACUCUAACCACACUUAGACUCUAACCACACUUAUAUCUAUUCAAGUGAGGGACUCAAACCACUCAUACAUAUUUAUAUAAGUAAGGGACUCUAACUGCUCACACAUAUUCAUUCAAGUAAAGGACUCUAAUUACUCACACACAUUCAUUCAAGCAAGGGACUCUAACAAAAUGUUCAAAUAUUUGGCAAGGGACUCUAACCAUAUGCUAUAUUAGAUAGGGGACUCUAACCCUAAUCUAAUUUAUUUAGCAAGGCACUUCGACCUCAUGAGGUCUCAUUUAGCAAGGGACUUUAACCAAAAACAAUUUUAUUAGGUAAGGGACUUUAACCUCAAGCAAUCACGACUAUCAUUAGUCAAAAUUGGGACUCUAGGCCUUUUUCCAUGCAUCCACAUAUAUUCAAUUCCAUCCAUAAGGACUUUAACUCAUUUAGCCAAUUCAACAUCAUACAUAACCAUAUGGUCCUCAUGGGAGCAUUUAUUGCUCAACCAUUUUAAUAGGCUAAUAACUUAAUUUAACUCAUCAUACAAUUCAAACUAUGGUCCUAAAGACCCUUAAAAACCAUUCAUAUUCUAUUUGCAAUUUUAUACCACAAUUUAGUCCUACAUAUAAUUCACGUUCAUUUUCAUGUUAGGGACUUUAAGCCCUUCUUAUUCAUAAAGCCAUUAAGGUCAUCAAUUACAUAAUACAUGCCUCACUUUGCCUUCACAAUAUUAUUUAUCAAGCAUUCAUACAUCUUGGUCCAUUGCCCUAGUUCACAACAUCAUCAUCAUGUAACUAGGCAUUCAUUUAAAUAUUUUCACAAACACCUUAUGUACGAGCCUUUACCAAAGCCAGUUUCAUAAUAGAAACCAUGAAUACUAGGGUAUUCAAGACCCACAUAUUAGACCACAUACAACAAGCAUUCACAUGUGUAAACUACCAUCAAUAAUAUGUAUAAAUAUAAGUCUAAGCAAGAAUCAUCAUUAUUCAUAAUUAGGAAAUAAAACACUUUUCAUUUGACUUCAAAACCACCAUGUACACUUACUAAUACAAGUGUGAAAUAAAUGGGUUUAGAUUUAUUUAGAAAGGGGAUGACGUACAUGCCUUAAACAAGAUGAAUCACCAAGAAUAUUCAUACCGCUUUGAGGGUGUUUGAUCAAUCAAACUAGAUGUUUAGGAGGAUAAACACACUUACAUAGUGAGGGGGUUUAGGGAUUUAGGCAUGGGAAAUAACCAUAAGACCCUUAGUUAAAAGCUGGAAAUUGAACUCAUCCAGGGGUAGGACUCACUUUAUGAAUCACUUAGGUAGUCAUACCCUAGGGUACGAGUGGUACCCUGAAUCAUAUCCUAGGCCUCUCUUAGCUGACACACAUUAUUAAGGGUAUGAUAAUGCACCCUUGAGUCAUAUUUAAGGGAUACAACUCACCCCCUAGUUGUAUGCUCUAUUCAUAAAAAAUCAGUCCACUCCAAGCCAAGAACUUACUCCAUAUGACUCACCUAGGUAUGAAUCAUACCCUUAGGGUAAUAUUGAAGAUAGGUCACUCAUAUAGAAUAUAGAAUGCUACCCUUCCUAGGCUGCUCAGGGUAUAAGACAAGUGGUGAGGGAGGAUAUGACUCAAGCCCCUAGUUGUACCCACUCGAGUGACACCAAAAUGUAGAGUUUUUCAAUAGUUCUAAGUCUAGGUAUUUCAUCUAUAAGGGGUGUGUGAUAUCAAUUAGUGGUAGGGAUACUCUUGUUGACUUGAUAGAGUUGGACAUGGUUGGUGUUGAUGUCAUUAUGGGGAUGGAUUAGUUGCACUCUUGCUAUGCUUCCUUAGAUUGACGGACCUGUAGGGUCAUGUUUAAAUUACCUAAUGAUCCGGUUAUUAUAUGGGAAGUUGGUUCCCUAGUGCCAAAAGGAAGGUUCAUUUCUUAUCUAAAGGUCUAAAAGUUGAUUUCAAAGGGGUGUUUGUAUCAUUUAGUCCGAGUUAAAGAUUAUAACUCAGAAGUUCCUUCUCUUGAAUUUAUUAUCAUGGUAAAUGAGUUUCUUGAGGUGUUUCUCAUUGAUCUUCCCGGUGUUUCUCCUGAUAGGGAAAUUGAUUUUGGAAUUAAUCUUGUUCUGGACACUCGUCCAAUUUUUAUCCCUCCUUAUAGAAUGGCUCCAUCAAAGCUAAAAGAUCUUAAGGAAAAAUUAAAUCCCUCUUAGAUAAAGUUUUUGUCCAUCCUAGCAUGUCUUCAUGGGGUAAUCCCAUGUUAUUUAUGCAUAAGAAGGAUGGUUUCCUUUUUAUGUGCAUUCAUUAUCGUCAAUUGUAAUAAAUAUCCUCUUCCUAGGAUAAAUGAUUUGUUUGAUAAACUUUAGGGGGCUAAGUGUUUCUCUAUGAUUGAUCUUAGGUGGGGUUAUCAUCAUCUUAAGAUUAGGGAUGCAGAUAUCCCAAAACUACUCUUAGAACUCGGUAUGGUCACUAUGAGUUUCUUGUCAUGUCUUUCGGAUUGAACAAUGACCCAACAACAUUUAUGGACUUGAUGAAUAGGGUCUUUUAUUCGUUCUAGGACAUUUUUGUCAUUAUCUUCAUUGAUGACAUCUGAGUCUAUUCUAAGAGUGAGGCGGAUCACGUAGAUCACCUCUAUGUCAUGUUACCCACAUUAAAGAAUCAUCAUUUGUAUGCUAAGUUCUCUAAGUGUAAGUUUUGGUUGAAAGUGGUAGCUUUCCUUGGUAAUGUCAUCUUUAGUGAAGGGAUCAUGGUAGAUCCCAAAAAGCUUGUGGCAGUUAAGAAGUGGCUUAGACCUAUGACUCUAACCAAUAUUUGGGGCUUCUUGGGUCUAGCCGGUUACCAUAGAAGUUUUAUAGAAGUUUUUCUACUAUAGUUGCCCCAUUGACCAAGUUGACCUAAAAAAAGGUCAACUUUUUGUGGUCUGAUGCGUGUGAGGGUAGCUUUGAGAAGUUGAAAGAUAAGUUGACUUUGGCUCUGGUCUUGACCUUUCCCAAGGGUAGUGAUGGUUUUAUGGUAUAUUGUGAUGCUUUUUUUGUCGGUCUCGGUUUCAUAUUGAUGCAAUAUGGUAGGGUGGUGGCCUAUGCUUCUAGGUAAUUAAAAGUUCAUGAGAAGAACUACCCUACUAAUGACCUAGAGUUAUUAGCCGUGAUUUUUGCAUUAAAGAUUUGGCAAAAUUAUUUUCAUGGGGUUCAUGUCAAUAUCUUCUUCGAUCAUAAGAGUCUCUAAUAUGUGUUUGAUCUUGGGUGUAUUUAUAUGCCUAAGCACCAUAAUUUAUCCAUAUUUUAGCUAUGUUUAGAGAACAAAGUGCCUAGUUUCUUAUGUUUUUACUCUACUUCUAUGUAAUUAAGCUAACCGAUGUGAUUAGCAUGAUUUCAGGUAUUAAUGAGGUAUAUGAAGACAUUAUGGGACUAUGGAAUGCGGAUUGCAUAUGACACAAGAGAGAGUAGCAAGCUAGACCAAAUGUGGCGCCUAGAAACUACAUCUGGACCAAAUGUGGCACCUAGAAACUAUGUCCAAGACUAGUUUGUCAUUUAUAAUUAGUUCAGGGACCUAGAAGGCAAUUAUGAUAGAAAAGAUUAUUAAAAGGCUUAAUGUUGAAUUUUUACGGGGGAUUCAAUUAUUCUGUAUUAUUCAGAGAGAGGAGAAUAGCGGCCUAGGAUGGAGAGAGAGAAAAACGUUUCUUCUCUCUUACUUUCACCAUUCGCAUACUAAGAUCGUCUUCUAGUUUUUGGUAUGAUGAAUAUAUUUAUGAUGAUUUUAGUUUUAUUCAUGAAUAGAUAAGUUUAUUAGUUAGGGUUAUGAAAGCCUUGUAGCAUACAAUCUAUUACUUUGGGUUUUGAAUUCAUUAUGCAUUGACUUGUUUAUAUCAUAUUCUCUUCGAUUAUCUUGAAUUCUUGUGGUUGCGAACUUAGAGGAUAUGCCUUAAAACACAACUUGUUCAAAAGAAAGGUUGUUGAUAAAAAAAGAGAGUACUUAUAAGAAAAUAGGAUUACCAACCCCUAUUUCAUAAGUUAAUGCCUUUGAAGGAUUAACUACUUGGAGAUUUCGUAUUGUUUUAGGUAAAAGCUUUUGAUUCGAGAGAACUAAAGUGAAUUAGUCCUUGAUGGUUGAGAAACACUAGGAUUAUGUUAUUAAAUACAAUACGUUUCUCUAUAAACAUGAUGCAUGUAUGAAUUCGUAACGCCCCUAUUUAGAAAGUAUUGAAAACUAUAAGGUGGACAUAACCCUAGCUUGCUAUUUCUCUGAAUUUGAAUACUACUACACAUAUUUCAUCUUGUUAAACUGAAACCAUUAGUUUGUGAACUCAAUCAAAUCCCUCCUAUUUAUUUUAUGGAAUCAAAUGAUUAAAAGACAACUAAUCUGCAUACAACUUAAUUAGCACCGUAUUCCUUGUGGGAUUCGACCCCAACCUAGUUGGGUUAUAUAUUUUACAACGACCGCUUACUCUCUCAUAAGAGAGGUGUAAUUUGAGUAUAUCAAAUUUUGGCGCCGUUGCUGGGGAAUACGAUUGUCGAUUGAGUUUAUGUGUGUAAGUUGAUUGUUAGUCAAGUUUCCUUAUUUUACGUUUAUUUGUUGUUUUUUUUUGUUAUAGGCUCAUUGUUAUUUAUGCCACAAACCAGAAGUUUAGCAGAACCAUUAUUACUUUUCAAUCCUGAACCUUAUGUCAUUGAAAGAAUGGCUAACCAACAGGAAGCUGAAAGAUUAGCCGCUUUGGCUAAUGCUUAAUUAAACCUCCAAAAUGUUGAUAACACAGGUCGAGAACCUAAUCCAGAUGAAGAGGACCUGGGAGACGAUGAGUUGCUGGGGCAAGUUAAUCGAAGGCAUGCACAAGAUAUAGCUGCACUAGUGAACAGAAAUAUGAACAGAAAUCGUCUUUUCAGAGCAAGACCUGAAUGCCAAGCUAUGAAUUUUAAUCUGGAGGAUGAUGAUGAUGACUUGGAUGGAGCCAGUGCAAUAGGGGCUAUUAUUUCUCCACCUAUAGCACCCGGAGCCAAGUUUAAUAUUACAUGCACUAUGAUCCAGCUGUUGCAAAUCAAAGGGUUAUUUGGUGGACUUGCAGGCGAUGACCCAAAUAUGCAUUUAGUUAAUUUUGUCUCAACAUGCAUGUCAUUUAAUAACCCAGGGGUUGGACAAAAUGCAAUUCGACUGCGCCUAUUUCUAUUGAAUCUAUCUGGAGAGGCAACUCUAUGGUUAAGUGGGCUAAAUCCCAAUUCUAUUACCAAUUGGAGGCAACUGAAAUAUGCUUUCCUAGAAAAGUUCUUUCCGCCAUCCAAGAGAGCACAAUUGAGAGAUAAGAUAAGUAAUUUCAGAGAGCUUCCAACUGAAACUCUCUACAAGACUUGGGAGAGGUUUAAGAAGAAGCUUAUGCGGUGCCCAAAUCAUCAGAUGAACAAUGUCUACUUGAUAAAGAUAUUAUAUCAGGCCUUGAAUUCGGAUAUAUAAUGCUGCGGGUAGAUCAUUCAUGGACCUCUCUUUUACUGAAGCUUCUGAGAUGCUUGAUCGAAUGACAAAGUAGAGUAGAGCUUGGCAUACCAGGGAUUCUAAGGUAGCAAGCUCUACUGUAUCUAUUAGCAUGACUGCAGAACAGAGGCGAAGAGAAGAAGAGUGUGACUAGGACAUAACUCAUAUGAAGAUGCAAAUGGAUCUUCUCACUAAGAAGGUUAAAGCUGUAGCAUCACAGGGGAGGGGUGACUCCAAUCCUGAGAAAGAAGCCAAUUACUUGAACAACCAGAUGGGUUUCUGAGGUGGUGGCCAAGGAAACCAAGGUUGGAACCAUCAAGGAGAUUGGAAGAGUAAAAGUGAAAGGAGCGCAUUGUAUGUACCUCCUGGAAGCUGUGAUAAUGCUGCCACCGGUUUAGGCAAAAUAUCCAUGGAGGACAUGAUGGAGAAACUAUUAAAGGGAGUUGAGGCGACAAAUUCUGGGGUGAUUAUUGUAAAGAGUAAAAUAUCUUCCAUGAGUCAACUAGUAAAUUCGCACUUAGUCACUAUUAAACAAUAAGAGCAGCAGAUGAGCCAAUUAUCCGCAGUAUUCAACCAAAGACAGAAUAGGACUCUACUAAGUGAUACAGUUCAGAGUCCGAGGACUGAUGGAUCAUGUAUGGCCAUUACCACUAGGAGCGAUAAGAUGUUAUCUAGUCUAGGUUUGGAAGCUUUCUCUUAUACUGAAGAGGUUAAAAUAGAUUGGGAGAUGGUUGAUGAAUCUCUAGUGGUGCUUGUGGAGUUGGGAGGUUUGAAAAAGAAGAGUGCGGAAGUUGAACAAUCAACUAAGCCGAAUCAUGUUAUGUGGAGCAAGGCAUAAGAAAGGAGGUAAAAGUUGCUCCAACUGAAAUCCCAAGGACGCCACCCCCAUUUCCAUAACGAUUAAAUAAGAAAGAAGAUGAUGGAAAGUUUAGCAAAUUCAUGGCUAUGUUGAAGCAGUUGAUAGUGAAUGUGCCCUUAGUUGAAGCACUGGAACAGAUGCCCAGAUAUGCUAAGUUUAUGAAAGACCUGCUGAGAAGAAAAAGACUGUGAGCUAUGAAAUGGUAGACAGUCUUCAUCAUUGUAGUGCUAUUUCUAUAAGAUCUAUUAUCCAGAAGAAAGCUGAUCCGGGAGCAUUUACUGUUCCAUAUACGAUUGGAUUGCUAAAGUUUGAAAAGGCCCUUUGUAAUCUUGGGGAAAGUAUCAAUCUUAUGCCAUUGGUGGUUUUCAAGAAACUGGGUUUGGGAGAUCCUACACCCACCAAUAUGUGGCUUCUAAUAGAGGAUAGAUUGGUAAAAAAGCCGGUUGGGAUUCUACAUGAUGUACUUGUAAAAGUUGCUGAUUUUAUAUUUCCUGAUGACUUUGUAAUUCUUGAUUGCGAAAUGGAUUUUAAAGUAUCCAUAAUUUUGGGUAGGCCGUUCUUAGCAACUGGGAGAGUGUUAGUUGACAUGAAGCUGAAUGAGCUGAAGUUUAGGCUCAAUGAGAAAGAAGUUAGCUUUGAAGUAUAUCGGUCUAUGAAACAAAAAAAAGAGAUUAGUGUCUUCUCGAUUGUUAAUGUAUUCUAUGAAGAUGAGCGAGAUGUACCAUUUAAGGAUAUGUUUUUUGUGGAGACCAUUGCUGGUUUGGUUGAACUUGCAAGUAAGGAUGUGAGUGACUGCAAAGUGGUUGGACUAAGUAUAAAGCAUUUUCUUGAUCCAGCAAAUGAGGUACAAAAGGUAUAAUUGAUGUAUCUUGACAAAGUCUGAGUAGUCAAGAUAAUCGAGUCGUGCUACGACGUUAAAUUAGGCGCGGAAUGGGAGGCAACCCAUGAUUUUAUUUUCACUUUACUAUGUUAAAAAAAAUAAAAAAGAAGAGUCGAGCCAUGACCGAAACUACGGCGCUUGGUAGGAGGUAACCCAUCUUUCAAAUCAUUUUUGUUGUUUUUGAUUAAGUGUAGGUGCAUGAAGUACUAAGGAGAAGAUUAUCACCAAUUUUGAUUUGGAAGGAUCCAUGUCAAUGGUGGUAAGUUUAGGAGUGAUAGGAACAUUACAACUAACUUGGAGUGGUCAAAUGUGUAAGGCUCAAGUAUGAUUCGCAUUAGAGUCGCGCUUCAAAUUAUGUUAAUCCGACCCAAAAAGUUUUGCGGUGCGACUUUAUUUUGUGACUUUCAAUAAGGUUUGUGAUUGUAUCAUAGGGAUUGGGCCGAUAGGACCAAUCCUGAAGCCCACUACUGACCUUGAUGAGGGUACGGGGGCGAAGCCCCCGCGGUAUGGAUCUUUUCGACCAAGAGUGCUCCGCACAUCCCAUCGCACAUGCUAAUUGGACCAACUAUGUGAUACCCUAUGCGGCGUAUAUAAAAAUAUAGGCGAUAGGGUAUGCGCCGCAUAUUCCAUCGCCUAUGCUCAUUGCCUCACUUAGGCGAUAGCUUAUGUGCCGCCUAUGUCAACAUAGGCGAUAGGUUAGGUGCCGCUUAUACCAUUGUCUGUGCUCACUGCCUCACUUAAGCGAUAUCUUAGGCACUGCCUAUGUCAACAUAGGCGAUAUGUUAGGCGCCGCAUAUACCAUUGCCUAUGCUCACUGCCUCACAUAGGUGAUAGGGUAUGCGCCGCAUUUCCAAUCGCCUAUGCCUACUAGCUGGUUACUUUGCUACUUGUUUUGUUAAAGGAUACCAUGAUGACUGAAACCCAAGGAAAUAAAUACGCUAGAGUAAGAAUGGAUCACUAUCUUACCAAAACAUUUAUUGACAUGCAUCACCAUAUAAUUCUCAAAAAUUGAUUUAGUUUUUCAUCCUAUCAUCUCCCCCGUAUAUCAAAGAUGACAUUCUAAGCCUAUUGGACUAUUCCAUUUCCUUAAGACUGAGCCAUAAUCUCUUCACUCUAAUGGUCUAUAUAAGAACGUUCAACUCACAUGGAUAAACUCUAUUAGGGAAAUACUAACUUUAUUCUUAGCCACUCCUCUCUUAUAUACCUCAACUAACUCUCUAGCUUCAAUAAUCCUUGUCAUAUACUUAUACCCUUCUUAGUAAACAUACCAACCUCAUUAAAGACAUAAUCCACCCUUCUCUUCAUAGUUUUCCAAAGUCAUACCUCUAAACUUAUAUUUUUUUCUGAAUCCCUGAGAAUUAUUAUCACACCAAAGACCAAACAUCUUCCACCUAUAACGUCAACUCAGCUAUCAAUAUAACCAUAUACUGUAUAUCUAGCCUUUUUCACACUUAGCAACUCAGGGGUACUAUCUAAGAAAAUAAGACACUUAAGAAACUUAGAAAAUCAUACAACCACACAUUUCCUUGGGCACAUCUCUACAUCAUACAUACACCAUUAUACUUAAUUACAAAUAAAUAAACUUAUAUUCUUGCAUACACUAUUUUAGUCCUACUAGAUCACUUUCAUAUAACUAGCACCACUAACCCAAGUAAUUAUUAUUUCUACUUUGAUAUCAUCCACUUUUCAAACUUAGUGUGUAGAAAUAAACAUAAUAACCACAAACUCACACAUAAUUCUUACUUGACAAAACAUCCAAAAACACUAGUCCACUAGCUCCUCAUAAUAAAAAUAAUUAAUCAUAAUAUUACGGUUUAUCUUAGUGUGAUCCAUUAGCAUAUCCUCAUUUCAUGCAUCACUACUAUUUAUCCAUCCAUAGGUAAAAAUUAUAAUCCUAAAACUACAAGCACCAACCAAUUCCUUUUUUACAACCACAAGGGAAAGCCUAGAUUAACAAUCCUUAACAACCAAAAGUUUCAUUAAUAACCUAUACUUUUAUAGCAUAAUAAAAUACCAUCAACAACUCCUCUCCUACUUUAAUCAUACUCUAGAUCACCCUAACUACUAGCUUCUUCUCUACCUUACACCAUAAAAUCUACACCACACUCACUCCCUAUAGUUAACACCUAAAAACAUAUUACCUUAAUACUAACUCUAUAACAUACAUAUAUUCAUUUAUAUAGUUUUAGUCAAUCGCUACCCCCACCUUUCUUGUCACUAAACAUCUAAAUCCAUGCUUUUAACUCUAAGGAUGUUCUACUAUUUACGAAUCAUAAUAUUCUAGGUUACAAUAUCCCUUAAUGAAAUCUGUAUUCAAUCCUCUAGGUACAUACUCCCUCUUUUUAUGAAUGCUAUUUGUAAUGAAGAGUGAAUGAGGAAUCUAAAUAAAUAUUGUAUUCUAAAUUAACUACACAACUGAUAUGGAUAAAGACAUAAGAUUCCAAUUUAGAGGACUUAAAAUACACUAACUAACUCCUUUCAAGCCCUUUGUGCUAUUUUUAAAGUUACUGAUAGUUAAUCUGAGAGAAACAUAUCAAUCAGAUUUGAGAUUUACUACUUGUGUUUUCUAAAAAAUAAGUCAUAGUUGGAGAAUUUUGGAGUAAUACACGAAUCGAUAGAAGUUUCUGAGAGGACAACUUUACUGCAUGAUAUAGAGUAUAAAAGAAGGGAAAUAUUGGAACCGUUGGAGAUUUCACCACUUAGCAAGGGACUAGGUCCCUCAAAGUCAAUCACAGGCAAAAAACAAUAAACCAACUAGAAAGUAAGAGAUAGUGUAGGAAGAGUAAGAACACAAGAUUUUAACAUGGAAAACCCCUUGCUAAAGGAAAAAAAAAAACACGGCUUGCCCUCACAAGCACCUCAAAAUCCAAUAUAUUUUAAAUCUUGAUUAAGUUUUCAAUAAACCUAAAUCUAGGUUACUUUCUCUUGUAAUAACUCUAUUAAAAGUUCAUCUUGACAACUCUGCCAAGGACCCUUUACACUAAUUAACUCUAAUCAGUAUCAAACUUAAGAAACUCUACCUAAGUACUCUCUACUCAAAGAAAAAAGUUAAUUACUCUUAUAUAACGAGUAAUUCAUUUACAAAUUAGAACUCACUCAAGAACAAUUUCUAUUUAAGCAUACAUAAAUAACUAAGAACUUGAGCAGUGUUGAAAUAAGGUUUUUGCUGCCUCUCUUCACUCUUUGUAUUCACUAAAAACCAUUUGAUGAAGAAGCAUAUUUUUCCUUUUAUAGAUGAGUGAUGAUUAGGGAUGAAAUACAAUUAGACCAAGUGUCCUAUUCAUCACAGGUAGCACCUGUAAGUUUGUUUCACAAGAGGAAAAAAUUGUACAGACAUGCGUGCUAGCUGUAUUUUACCAUGAACAUCCAGGGACCUGGUUAUUUACCAUUAUCUUCUCAUAAUCCAAACUACAUUUAGCAAUUUUCUCCCUUUUUGAUGAUGACAAACCAACCAUACAACUUUGAGUACGUCCAUCACAUUUAAUCAGUUUGGUUAUCACUCUGAAGAUGAAUGUUCCCCCUAUCAUCAUGGUUUCACCAUUAUGGAAUACAGGGACCUGGUCCCUUGUUACCAUUUGGAGAAAAAAUUCUAAGCAUAUAUUUGCUUCCCCUAUCACUGUACCAUACCAUACUUUUCCUUAUCAGCAUGCACUACAUGAGCACACUUACACACAUAUCUGGUCCUUGCACAUAAAGUUAGUAUUCCCUAUUUUGGCAUUAUUAAAAAGAAUUAAUAGUAAACCAAGAGUAAAGGUAAGUGCAAGAUAAUUAACUCAUGGCCACUGGGGCAACAAUACCAUGAAGAACAGCUUUAAAAUAAAGAAAAUAGAUGAGGCCAACAAAUAGAAAUUUAUUCAUGAUUAAUUAGGAUAGGUACCUUUAUAAUAUACCAAAAACGAAUUAUAAAACUCCUAUUUGCAAAGGCCACACAGGAAUCAUAAACUAGAAACUAGCACAGAAUCAUGAACUAGAAACUAACACAGAACUGAACAAGGAGGAUAUGGGUAGAGGAUGGUUUAGAUGAGAGCGAUUUCAACAACAUGUCCAUUUUUUCAUCCUCAACAACAUAAGUAUCCAAUAAUUGUUUGGUGAGAGUUUUAACUUCAGCAUUUAGUGCUUGGACUUCACCAGUCAAUUCUAUAAUUUUUCCUUUGAGCUUUGCAUUUUCUGCUGUAAGUUCUUUAGUGGCAUCUGGUCCCUCUGAGGAUAGCAUUUGAUUUUGUAGUCUCAGAUGCACUAUUUCUGUGUCUUUUGCUGCUAGAAUAAUCCUAAACUCCCCUAUUUUUUUGAUUAAGCUUUCUUAAGCAACCAAUAGCUUAGACACUUAGGACACAGUCCCCACCUUUCCUUUAAUGCACUUAUUUUCCACUAGUGUAGUUAAAGUGAUCUUUUGUUUUACUGUUCCUGGUGUUCCUCUAGACCCAAUCACUCCAAAAUGAUUAAAGACUUUGUUCAAAUGUAACCAUAUGGCAUCCCAAACCUUCCUUUCUUUUCAUGAACCACCUUGUGCAUAUGCUUUAUCAUUAGAGUAAGCAGAUUCAUCAACUCAAACUUACUCAGGUAUUCAUUUAAAAAUAGAUCAAAAUUAGAGGCAAUUGUUCUUUUCUCUACUCUUUGUAGCAUAACCCUUUUAAUGAAUUCAAAAACCAACUAAAACUCACUUUUUAGAAAUUUCUUCUUUACUGUAGCUAUUGAGGUCCUACCUAUUCUUGAGGCCUCAAUCAUAAAUUUAGUUAUGGGCUGUUGCUUCACCACUGUCCUCACACCUACUAUAGUUACAUACAAAAUUUCUCUCAAGGUUUCUUCAUCUAGUCUUAUUUUUUUUCCUUGAACUAGUGCAAAUAGACACAAUCCAUCUUUUGAGAAAUAUAUUGAAUAAUCAAAUUCUCUCACUUUAUUUUCAAAAACCAUUGGUGCUGUUCCUCAAAUAGAUGCAACUAUCCUUGGUGCCUGACAUAUUCUACCAACUCCACUACUCCAAGUUUUUCAUAGAGUUUAGGAUAAAAUAUUCUUCCUGACACCACCUUUUGUAUUUUCAAGCUUUCAAUCCUUCUAUCUUUGGACAUGUUUUUAUUUUUUUCCUUUCUUUUUAUUCUCCUGGGCUCAUUACUUGACUCUUUAUUUUCAUAAGUUUUUCUCUUCUUGGGGUUAGAUCCCUCAGAGACCUUCUUUUUUUCACAGCUUUGUGCUUCUUUUUGCUUACACCAUGAGUCCCAGGCUCAUUACUUGACUCUUUAUUUUCAUAAGUUUUUCUCUUCUUGGGGUUAGAUCCCUCAGAGACCUUCUUUUUUUUCACAGCUUUGUGCUUCUUUUUGCUUACACCAUGAGUCCCAGACUUUGGAUCGGAGGACCUAGUCCCUUCAUCACCAUGAACUACUAGUCUUUUCUUCUUAGAUCCAAUAGAAAUAUCAAAAUCAUUUUCCUCCUCUUCUCUUACCUCCAUAGCUUUAAGAUUUUCUUCUUCCUAUAUAGUAGAUUUCCCAAGUCUUCUUCUUUUAGUUGUAGAGGACUUACUCUUCGUCAUUGCAUUUGCUGGUAAUUUUAUCUCAAACCCUCUAGUGGUGUAAGAUCUUGUAAUUUAUAUACCAUAGCCAAUCAAUUUCUCCUCUCCUUUAUUGUUCUUUAGUUUUUUCAUUUUCUAAGUGAAAGGUUGUUCAUCCUUAUCCUUUUUAUUUUCCUUAUUUAGGGGUAAUACAAACUCCUUAUCCUUUUUCAAAUCAUCCUUUUCUUCUUCUAUUUGAUCUUUUCUAAUAGAAGAACUUUUCUUGGGAUCAUUUACAAGUAAGAGCAAAUUUUUAGCUACCCAAUUUAUGCUGCUAAAAAGAUCAGACUUCCUUAUAGGAAUUUUUUCAUCAACUAUUUGGUACAACAUAAGGUUUGUUUCAGAAAGAGUGGGGGAACCAGGCUCUUGUAAAUUUUCUAAGAUUUUAGUACCUUUAAAUUCCUUAGAGGGAACCUAAUUUUGAGGAGCAUUGGAGGACUCUAGUUUCUUUGGGGAAAUAGGUUCUUCAGAUUGAAGUAUCUCUUAUUCAAUUGGAGAGCCAAAACCUUUGUUUAGCUCAUAUACUAGGAUAGAACAUUCACUGGGGCUUAGAGUUUCGACUGGAACAGUUUCACUUAGGGUCUCAGGAGUCUCAUGGGAAGGACUGAUGGGAAAUGCACUUUGUGUCUCUUGAUAAUGAUCAAUAGACAAAUCUUUCAAGGGGUUUGAAGAAGAGGGAAUUUCAAAAAUUAUGAUUUUUUAAGAAGGAAAGAAGAAGUACCAAUUUUGAUUAAGUUCUGAGUUAAAUGAGAAGAGAAUGAAUUAAAAGGAUUUGAAUUUAUAUUUAAAAAGGUGUCCGUCUGACAUUUAAGAGCUAUAUUUUUUAAUGGAUGUAUCUGAUGACAACGGUUGUGACUCUUCAUAUUUGAACUAUGUUGACAACUUUUGUUCAUAUAGGAUUGGAUAUAUGGCCUUUUUAAAUAGAAAUCUUAUAAAAAUUUAAGGCACAUUAUUUUGGUACUCACAUGAGAGAUGGGACCAGGUCCUUCUCUUUUUGAGUGAAUUUUCAACUUGUGUUUUCUUCAAUUGUUUCCUUCCAAACCUAUCCCCUUGGGUGUAUACCUAAAAAGGUAUGCUACUGAUUUAGAUUAACAUGUACCUAAUUUAUCUUGGAUAUCUUUCUCCUUGACAAAGAUAAUUUUUAGGAGUGACAUUGACUCAAAUAUUUGGUCAGGGUAUUUUGAUCAAGCUUGGUCUUAAUGUGCUCUUUUAGAAUAGGUCUAACGACCAGAUUCCGGAUUUUACUUCACUCAUACUGCCUCAAGUUUCUUUUUUUAGGAUGAAUUCUAUUGGGAUCAGGUCCCUUGAACUCAUCUAUUUCAAAAUGAGACACUUUUACAUUAAAGUGUCUUGAGAGAGAAAAUCCAGUCUAAUCUUUUGAUGUCGAGCUUAGUAAACAUACUAUUAAUAAAGCAUUUUUAACUGCAAUCCCUUUUCUAAUGCUUGAAAUCAUGAUCACAAGUUAGAUUUGGGAACCCACUUCAGUUUGAGUCCUAGUAACAGGAUAAUGGUGUGAUCAAAUUUUUUUAGCCUAUCUAGGUAGAGAUAACUUCCUCUUCACAAUUUUCGGAGGCUUGAAAUCAUUAAUAAGUAAUUUCCCUCACUGAACAUAUCUUGAACCACCUAUAUUAGCUCUAAUCCCACUUUAAAAUUUUUUCUUGGAGUGCCUAUCUUUUAUACAGUGAAUGCAUAGGAGUUUGCUUUCUUUGUUUCUAAGAUUAGUGACAGUCUUCCUUUGAGACACAUUAGGAUUGGAUUAUUCUUAGUAGCAUAAACCUCUAUCAUUAUUAAUACCUUGACUAGUCAGAUUAUAAAUAAUAUAUAAAGAAGCAGUCCACUUAAGAGAUUUGUUCAACUUUUCUAAUAAGCGGACUAGGCCCGUUUCUAAGUCCUAAUUCCUGUAAAGUGCAGCUAUAAGGUGUUUUUGAGAAUCCCCCAUCCUUUCCCAAAGAUCAAUUUGAAGCCUUGAAGCUUCUUUUUUCCCCUUUUUAUGUAUCUCAUUUACUUUCUUUUGAUUACUCAUGAAACUCAGAUUUUAGAUUUUAUUUUUGUGAACAACUUUUUAGAUUUAGAAUUUUGUAAAGCUAAAGAAUCAACUCAUCCUCUCAAUUCUCUACUUUUUAUUCUAAGGCUUUCUUCUCAAUAGUUAGUUCACAUACAGAUUCUAUCAACAUACUUUCAAGCCUUUUUAUCUUCCUAGUAGAGUAAUUAUCUAGAUUCUUCUUAACAUCAGAAAGAGUUACCUCAUUUUAUUUUUCAUCUUCUGACUUUUCCAUGAAUGCAACAAGUAAUCAUAGAUAACUGGACUAUCUUCCACUUCUAGCAUAGAAACAUUUCCAGUCAUCUUAUCUUUAUUUGAAUCAAUGAAAGAGUCUCCCUUUCUUCCAUCAGAGAACACCAGGAACCUGAGGUUAUUUUCUUAUCAUCCUGUUUUGGCAUCAAACCAUCUCCAUACUCUUUGUCUUCCCAGAUUUGGUGGAUAAGUAUUCCUAAGAAGUCAACACCUUCUUUACUAUACAACUAGUUGCAUAUUUUCUUCUUGAUGUUUCAAGAUUUUGUUUCUUCUUUUGCAUUGCGUAGUUCCUCAUGAAUUCUUUAGAGCUUCUACCUUUUGUGUAGAUCUAACAAUCAUUGUUCACAAAAGAUCAACAUCAAUGUCUUAUUCACCUGAGUAAAAUUCUAAAUCCUUCAAAGUCAGGAAUCUUUUCCUUUUUACUUUUUUUUUUCUCCAUCCCUAGUUUAGUUAUAGUAGCUAUAAUGACCAGACCACUCUAGAUAUAAGUUUUUUAGAGUGAACCUUAUCUAAUACAAAUUGUUGGAAAACUUGAGGGUUGAACCAUUCAGUGAGGGACCAGGUCCCUCAAAGUCAAUCCUAGGCAAAACACAGUAAACAAAUCAGGAAGUAAGAGAAAGUGUAGGAAGAGUAAGAACACAAGAUUUUAACAUGGAAAACCCUUGCUUAAGAAAGGAAAAACCAUGGAUUGUCCUCAGAAGCACUUCAAAAUCCAAUAUAAUCAAACUCUUGAUUACAAUAUUUAAUGGACCUAACUCUAGGUUCCUUUCGCUUGUAAUAAUUCUACUAUAAGCUCAUCUUGACAACUCUACCAAGGACUCUCUACACUGAUUAACUCUAAUCAGUAUCAAACUUCGGCAACUCUAACUAAGCACUCUCUAAUCAAAGAGGAAAGGUCAUUACUCUUAUAUCAUGAUUAAUUCAUUUACAAAUCAGAGCUCACUUAAGAAUAAUUUCUAUUUAAGCACACAUAAAUAGAUAUGAACUUGAGCAAUGUUAAAAUGGGGUUUUUCUUGCCUCUCUUUACUCUUUAUAUUUGCCAAAAACCAUUUGAUGAAGAUGAAUCUUUUUUAUUUUAUAGAUGAGUGAUGAUUAGGUUUGAAAUAUCAUUGGACCAGGUGUCCUAUUCAGUACAAGAAGCACCUGCAAGUUUGUUACACAUGAGGACAAAACUGUGCAGACACGCAUGGUAGCUAUACUGUACCAUGAACAUCUAGGGACCAGGUACCUUGCAGUUAGCUACUCAUCAUCGAAACUACAUAUUGUAGGAAACAUUUCUUAAAUGCCCAAUAACCUCUUAAUGAAAAGUACGAAUGUCACUUUAUCAUUCUGCUAGACUCUACUAGACAUGACUUAAUAGACACCCUAGGACGCUCAAACUCUCUCUAAUACCAAGUUUUUAACACCCUGAGAGUACUCCCUGGAAGUUACAUGAUGCUUAGAACCAUAAGUGAUCCCAAGCUAACCCAUGAUACUAGUAUAAUUUGUGAGUAACUGAGUAAAAUAAGUGAAACUAGAAAUAUUAAGGGGAAAAGAUGCCAUUAGCUAAACUUAAUCAAUACAAUGCUAUUUAAGAAUAUUUACAUAACUGGAUUAUAAAAGAGAGAACUAAAAUAGAAUACAUAAACUCUCACUGAUGUUCUAUGAAGCCUCUACUAAUAAUGAAUACAGGUAUUUUAGACAUGACCCCCAGCUAUCCCUGAUCAAUAUGACUGAAUAAAAAUGUUACUGGAACUAUAGCUUACUCGAGUCUUUGAAUCAAAAGGACUCAACACUUACCGAUAGAAAAAUCUGAACUAUCUGACCAUGAUGUGUGGGCUACAACCAGUGCCUAUAUUAUUAAACAAUAUAGCCAUACACUUCUGGAAUGUACUGAGUAAGCAGGGGUGAAUGCAAUAAGUAAAUCUAAAGCUAUUAAUACUUUCAAAUUAUGCAUGAUAAGUGUAAAAGGAAUCAACUUGAUCAUGAAUUAAACUAAAACAUCAAAUAUCAUAAAACAUGAAUAAUAUAGCAUAAUCUGAUAAGCUUAGUGAGUUAUUACACUUAAUUUCUAAAAUCCUUACUUUUUUAGGAGAUUCUUAUAACUGAUAUAAAUCAUGUGAGCUAUCAUAAAGUUCAACGUCUUACCCAUGUUGGGAAGAGUUGUUCUACCCUUUCUAUAAGAAUAUAGCCUUAACGUAGAGGGAUCACUAAACUAGCCCAUUAGGGGCGAGGAGACACUCUCUGGUGAGGUCCCUUAAACCUAUCGUGGCAUGUAGUUUUUGUAGAAAAGGAUGCUUUAAAUCCACAUUCCCCUCUCGCUGCUAAAUAAUAUUCCUAAAACAUAUACUUAUAUGCUUAUACUUAUGACAUCCACCUUAAAAUUGCAUAUGUAUUUAUAAACGGAAAACCAACUGUGCUUAUCUUGCUUAAAUCAUAUUCUUGAGGAAAUUUGUAGAUUUCAUGUCUUAGUUGAGAUGAUAAGAUCAGAAAUAAACUUUAAUAAUGAUAUAAUACUUGUAACUUAAUCUGAUAGGCUUGAACUUCUGGUAAACUCAAUAAAUUAUGCUUAAAAAAAUUAAAAUCAUUUAUCAUCUCAUAGAAGCUUCAUAUCAAAAUACAAAAUUAAAUGCUUACUAUCAAUUUUAUAGAUAAAAAUGAUAAAACAUAAUAUCAUAUGAAAAAUAAUAUUUAUUUCAUGUGGAAGCAUCAAAAUAUCAAAGCAAAAGCGAGUGGGUAUAAGCCCUACAAAACCAAUUUCUUCCAAAUCAACUAAAAAUCAAACUUUUGGACACAAGGAUGAAAGAAUAUCCUUGUUCAAACCCCACAUACCUAAAUUUCUUGAUUUCUUGAAUAAAAAUUUAAAUUUGGAGCCUUGAAAGUUGAAAUUUGGGAAGAAACUCCAAUUUUUUUCUCUUAAGAGUAGAGAGAAGAAUAAGCAUUAAAAGGUGACUAAUGAUAAGAAUAUAUCAUUUAUAAGGUGAUUUAAGUUGUGCAAAAGUGUUAGAGGUGAAGAAAAGACCAAACUACCCAUAAGAAAAUUUAAAAUAUUAUACAGAAAUUUCUAAGUUUACAACUAAGUUGACAGCUUGUCAGUUUGUUGAUAACUUGUCAACUUAGUCGUCAAUCUCUAGUUGGAGUUGGACAAUUUUUGGUUAAGGUUAAUGACUUAGUUUACAACUUGUCAACUAGUUGCAGGCUUGUCAACUUAGUAUUCACCUUCUCUAAAUAAUUUAAGGUCUUUUCUGGUUAAGGUUGAUGACCAAGUUGACAACUCAUCAGCUCAAGUCGUCACUUUCUCAAAGACAGACACUCCCAGGUAAAAUAAAAAACACUUUCUGUUUCGAUAUCAGAUUAAGGUAAAGUUAGAUGCGUUGAAAAAAAGACUCAAAGAUAUUUAAUAUUAUGGAUAUUGAUCUCCAAAAAUAUAUAUAUUAAAGAAGUUACAUUUAUUUAAAACUAGCCCUUGUAGGACCAAAUACUAAAGCAUAAUCAAUACAAAUUUUCUCAACUCAACUUUUCUCUAAGAGCUCCCUAUGACCAUAAUCGAAUUAAAAACACUUUACACACAUGUUGAAAGUCAUGAAACUUAUAUAUGAUUAAAAAUAAUCGUCGUUGAUCCUUUGAACAUGAGACAAACAGUUAGAAACUUAGCUAGGACUCUAUGGGGUAUUACACUUUUGGUCUUUUAUGAUUUCUAUUUGCUGUAUAUCUUUCUUAAAGUUGUAUAAUUACGUAUUCAUAUUUAUUACAACGUAUUCUUUUUCUUAUUCAUUUAUGUUUAUCAUUUCUUGUAUUUCUUCAUGUAUCAAUAUUUUUUUUUGCUAGCUUUGUAUUUAUAAUUGUUACCUUUAGCACAAUUUAAUGAAACAUUAGUGUCUAAUUUUUUUGAAUUAUUUUUUUGGUUAGCUUAACAUUUACACUUUUUGCCUUUAGUACAUUUUACCUAAAAGUUGGUGUCUAAUUCGUUUGAAUUAUUUUUUAGAUAUCAAAAUUUAGUCGGGAUAGGUAUUGUUGUUAUUGGGUUCUGAGUAAUAUUUCUAGAUAGCACAACCCCAUCCCUGGUGAGAAGAUAUCUUCCAUUAUUCUGUAAUAAAAAGUCUAAUCCUAAUACAAAAUCUACUGUAAUGUUUAAUUCUCUUACCCAUAUUUUAUCGAGCUUAUAUGAGGGUUAUAAAAACUAUUACAAGUAUUAACAAAAUUUAUCAUUGCUUUACUUAUAUAGUGUCUAUAUAUGUUGGAACCAUCCAUUUGCAUGGAUGUUUGUGAUUUGGGUACUUCUUUUAUUAAAUUCAAUGGUAGAAUCCUUUUAUUUAUUAUACUUCUUGUAUGUCCAGAGUCUACUAAAGCUAAGAUUUCUAUUUCAUAAUCUUGAAUUUUUAUCCUUGCUAAAAUUUUAGUAGUACUUAUCUUUUUGUUUUCAUUACAAUUAACCCUUCAUAUGAGGUAUUCAUUAGCACUUCUUCUUCUGUAACUUUUUUUAUUUUAUCCAUUCUCGUUUCUAGUCUAUUCAUUCUUUCUACUAGUGUUGCUAUUUUUAUUUUCGUUGUAUCAUUUAGAGGUGGGUUAUAGGUAUUUUCUUUAUCUAGGUUGUAACCUUUCAUCCUCGGUUCUAAUAUUUUUUCUAUGUAGGGAAUACAUCCUUCUAUAUAACAAUUUUUACAUUUUACCCUUAUAUUUUUGCUUGGGUACCAUCGACAUAUGUAGCAUUGGCUACUAUCUAAUCCUUUGCCUUUUUCAAAACUUAUGCUCAUAAUUUUGUGUUAUCUUAACCAAGUCAUGAUUGUCUAAUUCUGUUUAGUCUAGUUUUCCGAAUCAUAUUUCAUUUAUCAACUUUUAUCCUUCGGAGUCCAAAGAGUUUUAUUUAGGUUCUUCAGUAGCGUCUAUAUUUAUGAUAGAAUACUUUCAUUAUCUAGCGUAUAUUCGUCUACAUCUAUCAGGGUUUCUUGAAAAUCAUCUAUUAAGUGAGCAUUUCUUAAUCUACUAUUAUUUAUAUUUGGAAAAGUAUUUUCUAAAGGAUCUAUACUCCCACAUGUAAAAUAUUCAAGUCUAUUCUUAUAAUUUCAGUAAUUAUAAUUUUUUCUUACACGUCUACGUUUAUUUAAGUAUGGUGUUCUUGCUGAUGAUUUUCUUAGGUAAUACCUUUUCCUAGGAUAAUAUUCUAUUUUGAAUUUUUUAUAAUUUUUCUUCUGUUGAUAGUCUUGGUUGCAAUUUUGUGUAGCUUAUAUAAUUCUACAAAAAAUUAUCUCGAUUUGUUUUAACUAUUUAUGUAUUUGUAUAUUUGUACAUUUUUCUUUCAACACUUUCAUAACAUGUAUUUUUUGUUCUAUCGAUCAUUUUGCCUCUGGAUUUUAUAUUACUUCUUUUCUUUUAUACCACUUUUCUACUAUUUCUCUUCCCAAAGCCUCUGACAGUUUAUUAAAAAGUUUCUUUUCUAAAUUUUGGUCAAAAACAUUUCCACUAAUAGCAUAGUAAUAAAAAUAAUCACUUGAAUACCGGAGAUACUUCCCAUUAAUUAUUUAAUACUUUCUAUUUCAUCUAUAAUAAACAUUGUUUCUAGAUCACUAUCUUCUUGUUUUUCAUCUGUUAACCAAUGUUUAUCUCUAUUUCCAUAAUUAUCCAUUCUUAAUUCUCAUCCUUUAAAAUGUUCUUUAAUUUUUGUAAAAUUUAAAUUUUCAACUUUACAACCUUAACAUUUAAAUGUUUGAUCAUUAUUUAUCUUAUACAUAGUUUUUGCUUUUAUUAUAACUUCAUCUACUUUGAAUUCUGAUUCUAGUAUUAUCUUUAUAUUCAUAAAUUCAGUAUUAUCACUUUUUUUUAAUUCUUCAUCGAUUUCUUUUUUAUCUGUAUACCUAUAAUCCGUAAAUCUAAUAGAAGUUUCUCCUUUAUUAUUUGUAUACAUUAAGUGAUUAUUUGGUUUUGAUUUUUACUAAAAUUUUCUAAUUCUAUUCCAAUCCAGUAUAUUCUUUCGAGUUAUGUAUAUGUGUGUAUGUAUAUAUAUAUAUAUAUAUAUAUAUAUAUAUAUAUAUUCAAUGAACCCAAUGGAUUUUGUUUAUUCAAAGUAUUUUUGUUAAAAGAUCACCAAAUAUGAUGUUAGCUUUAGAAAGGAGAAAAAUAGAAGGUCUAAUUUGAGUCUAGGUUAACUUUUGUUUUUGGGUAGACUGAGUUUUUCUCAUUCUAUGUUUAGUUGUGACACGAUUCCUAACUAAUUAUCAUGUUUCUUUAUUCAUGACAUUAGAAGAGCGUAUGAUGGUCAUGAAGAAGUUGUGGAGGAGAAGGAGAAGAGCUUGGAGACUAAGGUUUCAUAAAGAAUAACAAAGAGUUGAAUAAAUUUUGUUAUUUUUUUAAUGUUAAGGUAUAUAUCCAAAGUACUUGAUGAAGACCUUAAUCUUAGUCAUUUGGAUUUUAAUUAUUAUAUUUGUUUAUUUUUGGAUAAAGGUUUUUAGAGGAGAAAAAAUGGAUUAUUGCAGGUCUGAUCUUUUGUUUUAGAAAUUUGUUAAGGUAGUAGAUAUAGUAUUUGAUGAAAGUCUUAAUCUUAAUCCUUUAUAUUUUAAUUAUUAUAUUUAUUAAUUUUUGUAUAGAUAUUUUUUAGGAGCUUUAGAGUACUUUUUUCCCAAGACUAAGAGGUCAUGUGUUCAAUUCUUGGAAAUAACAUCUGACAGAAAUGCAAGGUAAGAUUAUGUAAAAUGCACCCUUUUGGUGGGACCCUUAUUGACUUGGUGCAUAAUCGGAGUUUUAGUGCACCAGACUGUUCUUUAGAUUUUUGAAGGAGAAAAAAUUUUUGAAUUAGAUUUUUGUAGAUUUGAAGAUAGCUUUAUAAUGUUAGUUUUUAGGUAGAUUGAUGUUUUUUCUUUCAAUGUUUAGUUUAGAUUCGUAUUGAUUAUAUUUUUUUUUCUAAUAGUUUGUACUUCAAACUAAUUAACAUAUUUCUUUAUUCAUGUUAGAAGUGCGCAUGAUGGUCAUGAAGAAGUUCAUGGAGGAGAGGGAGAAAGGCUUGGAGACUAAGGCUGCGAAAAAGAUAACAAGGAGUUGAAGAAUUUUUUUUUAUAUGUUAAGGUAUGUAGAUGAAGUAUUUUAUGAAGUUCUUAGUCUUAAUCCUUCAGAUUUACUUAUUAUACUUGUUUAUUUUUGGAUUGAAGUUUUCUAGAGGAGAAAAAGUUUUUGAUUAUAUCUAGAUCUUAAUCUUUUGUUUUUUUUUAAAACCUUAUUAAGGUAUGCAUACAGAGUAUUUAAUGAAGAUCUUAAUUUUAAUCAUUCAAAAUUUUAAUUAUUAUUUUUGUUUAUUUUUUUGAUGGAGAUUAUUUAGAGGAUAAAAUGUUUUUAAAUUAGAUUUUUGUAGAUUUGAAUCUUAAAGGAUAACAUUUGAAAGGAGAAAAAUAGAAGCACAAAUUUGAAGUUAGCUUUAUGAGUUAUUCUUUAGGUUGACUGAUUUCUUUUUUUAAUAUUUAAUUGUGACUCAAUUUUCUUUAUAUUAUUUUUCUAAAAGUUUGAAAAACUAACAUAUUAACAUUUUUCUUUAUUCAUGUUAGAAUAUUAUAUGAUGGUUAGGAAGAAGAUGUUUGGUGAGAAAGGCUUGGAGAUUAAGAUUGAAGAAAGGAUAAUAAGGAGUUGGAAAAGAAGGAGGAGGAGCUAUACUUAUGGAAAUAUAUAAUGACCUGAAUUGUGAAAUCUUAUUUUUAUGUGUUUUGACCAUUAUUCUCUUUUUCAUAGUUUCUACAUAUUGAUUUUGGGGUAUGGGGAUGAUUGACAUGGUUCCCGAUGUGAUCGAAAAUGAUUUGCCGAGUUUGUAAUUUUUAGAGAUUUUAAAAGUCAUAUAAUUGACUUUGGUCAAUAUUUGAUGUAUUGAGUAUCAUAUGGUGAAUUGGAUAGUUACAUUAAGUAUGAAACAUCAAAUUCGGGUUAGUAGUAAGGUUGGGUUGGAUUCAGAACCUUUAUUUUGUGUUUCGAUUCUUCAUUUGAAAAAUUAUCUAAAAGUGGUCUCAAGGAAUAAUUUAUUGAAAAAAAUCUAUUUUUUCAAAAACCCGACAUCGUCAUUUUAUCCAGAAUAUUUAAAAUAGCCCGGUAGCAUAUAUGGUUUACUUCUAUCGGGUUCUGAAUGAAUCCUGAGAGUCCAUUCAGAGGUUUUGGAAGUCAUGAAAAUCAACAUUUUUACUGAUAUCUGGUUUAAAGGGAAUCCUUCUUUGCGAAUGAGAGCCCCAGUACACGAACAUGAAGAAGGAAUUAAUCCUUCAUCAUAAUUGCGAUGGUGGGGCUGCAAUCACAAAGUGUAGUUGAGUCAGAUUAGGGGUUUUCCUUCUUCAUGAACGCGACAGGGCUUUCACAAAUAUGCUAGUCUGGGUUAUGGACCAUUACAAAUGCAUAGGCCAAUUGAUUGCCUAAUCAAAGUUGAACCUCACAAUCUCUAGAUACUAUUUAUAGAAUAAUACAUAAGUUUCAAUUUUGUGAUUUUGCUCUAUUUUUUGACGUCCAAGUUUGAAAAAAAUUAUUUUUGAGGUUUUCUUCAUUGUGUUUCAUUUGGGUAACCUCUAAAUCAUAUUUUGAUUAUUUUUCAUUGACUACAUAUUCAAAAAUACCUUUUAAUCAUAAUUUUGAAAUGGGUGUUUUGAGGUUUUACCAGUAAAGCUUUAAAAUGAUUUUUCUUCAUUUAUACCCCAUUUUCAUGUGGCCUUUUAGACUCCUAUAAACUUGGGGAAUAUAUAUCUAAAACAAAAUUAUGAUUUUAUCUCUUUCAUUUUCGAGCUCGUUUGUUGCACUCAUUUUUGACUUGGCCCAAAUAUGGGCAAUAUGAGUAUCAUUAGCUUUUUAAUGUGUAAAUGCUAUAUUUGAAUGUUAUAGUUGAUUUUAAGGCCGUUCAAAAGAGGAAAACUCCAUGUUGAAGCACUUUAAGCUUGAAUUUUGUCAUUUCGAGGUAGGUUAUAUCUUAAUUUGUUUCAUAUUGAGCUAGGUAGUUAAUAAAUAGGUAAAUCAUGUUAUUGUUUAUGAAAAAUAACUAUGGACUUUAUACUUUAAGAUUAUUAUUUUUGUUGAAUGCCCUAGUGGGGGCUUACAAUCUGUUGUUGUUGAUUUUUGAUAUCUGAUAUUGCGUGUUGCUCGUUUGUGGUCUGUAUUUGGGGUGAUUGAUCUUAUUUGUAGAUUUAAAUACCAUUAUUCUAGAUAUAAUGCACGUGCGGGGGCUCAAACUAUUAUUAUAAGUCUUAUUAAGCAUUAAUUGCCUUAUCAUGAUAGAAAUACACGAGUUAAGGUUUAAUAUGAUAUUUACAGUGUGUUGCAUACAUAUAUAUUCCAAUGGUGCUUAAUUAGAGUUGAUAAUCACAAAUUGUGGACAUAUUGAGUUGAUUUCAGUGAUCACUUAUGGGUAAUGGAUUGGAAAUCUUCAUACUGAUUUGAUUUUGAGAAUUAAAUCCUCAUUCCAUACAUAUACAUUCAUGAGAUAUCAGUACCAUUAAGGAAUACUAUUUUCGAAAGAAAAUGAGAUAGUUUUAUAAAAUUCCUCUCCGUGAAUAUGAGCUAGAAAAAUGGGUUGAGGUUUUAGAUAUGAGUCAUCGUAUAUGGGUCGUGAACCCUCAAUGGGUCCUAUCAUGAGAGAUGGAAGCUCAUUAGGUGUAUACAAAAAGUCAUGCGAUGAUUUUUAAUAUUCAUUCCAUCAUCAUUACAUUGCAUAUCCAUCUUUCAUUAUUUUUUAGUUUCUCUUGACUUGAGAGUUAGUUUCCAUAUGUUCUUUGUGUUUAGUAUUUAUAUUAGAAUUGUUAUUGGAGACAACGUGAGCUAUGAUUUGGGAACUUUUCUGUUUGCGAGUGACGUUCUCAUAGUUUUCUGUAUUUUUUAUUCUGUCCUUUUCUCAGUCAACCUAUGAUUCCUACUGAGUACAUGUGGAUCAUACUUCUCUUAUUGUGUCUUUUUGAUGCAGGUUCUAGUUUGAGUAGCACACUUGACGACUGAUCUUGUGUGGAAUUUUAGGAUUUUUGAGAUACUGAUAUGUUCUGGAGUUAGGGCUAAUUUGGACCUCAUCCAUCUUUAGUCGUCUUUAUAUCUUUUAGAGAUAGACUUUGUAUUUCGGAUUUGGUUAUGUAUUUAGAUGCUCUUAUACUAGUGACAUCAGGUUUAGGGAUGGUUAUAUUUGUUUAGGCUUCCAUAUUUGUAUAUAAUAUGGUGUGACCUCUUUGUAGAAGUCUCGCCUUGAUUUAUGUUAUAAUUGAUUUUGUUUUUUCUAUUAGUUUGGGUGAUUGACUUACUUAUCAAGGAUGGGCCAUGUUAAGUGCCAUCUUGACCCAUUUUCGGGCUUUGAAAAAUUUAUAUUAAAGGAUAAAAUAAGAGUAGAAUGUCUAAUAUAGUCUCAUGAAUUAGUCCAUUGAUGUUUGCAUCUAUCCUCAAGAGGCUAUAAGAUAUCUUUAUGAAACACUUCUCUAAAUUGAUUCCUUGUUAUACAAGUUGUUCAUACCCAAUGUUCUAAACUUGUACUGCAUUUUUUUCGUAGAUGGUAAGAACUUGGCCUGGAGAGGCUAUAAAUGCUAAGCUAGCAUUCAAUAUAGGAGCCCUGAUUCAAUGAUGGCAUAUAGGUCGUGGUCAACCCAGAGGUAAAUGAAGUACAUGAGGAUCUACCCGUAGUUAGAAGAUAUGCAAGGGAAGCCUAUGUCGAGCCCGAGAUUAUGUACUUUGAGGGCGAUUAUCAAACCGUGAGUGUGGGGCCAGCUUAGGAUCCACUGAGUUCAGUCAACACCACAGUGAUUUUGAGUCUUUUGGUUCUUCUCUUGAGUCAUUUGUAGGGUGUUACCUUAAGUGUACCUUGAAUUCCUCAGACUUCGAGUGAUGUUACACCCACAGUGCCGACAUCUACCUAUGGUAUUCCUACUUCUGGGGUACAACCAUCAUCUAUGAUACCCCCCACAUGUGGACUCUUUUCCUACUAGACUUACUCUUUCUCCAGUUUUUUUGGGGUACAACUAUGCCUUUUGAUAGGUUUAUUAGCUUGGGUCCACCCAAGUUUUGUGGAGCUAUUGGAGAGGAUACCUACGUCAUGACCCAAACUAGGGCCUAGCCAUAAUGGACAUCUCAAGUCCACCGAGGACCGGAGACUGCCCCCUGAUCCUAUUUCAAUGCAACUAAGUAUAUCUAGAAGAGGACUAAUACUAAUGUAAUAUAAAAUGUAAUAAGAAAUCCAAGAAGGAUCCGUAUCAGGUAAAAAUCUAAAAACCAUCCACAAUACAUAAGUCCAUAAUACCCAUAAAACUUCUAUAAAAAUCGAGUACUGAUAAAGUGUCGGGACAUGCCCCCGACCAUAGAAAAACAAACAUGAAAUAAAGUCCAUGAAAUAAGAAACAAAACGUGACAUAAAGUCUUCCGAAGGAUGGAAGCUCACCAAUUCAAGUCAACUCAUGAACCAAACACGAACCCCUGCUGUGCUGGAGGAGUAGAAGUAUGGCCAAUUCCUGCAUUACGUAGGGAUAUAGCAUCUAAUGACAGUUAGUAGUUGAAGUGCUAGCAUUUAACUCAGGGAUAAGGGAACAAAUAAUGCCAAGCGUAAUAAUUCAAAACCAAUCAAAAUUUAUGCACAUCAUCAAAUGUAAAUAAAUAUAUAUAUAUAUAUAUAUAUAUAUAUAUAUAUAUAUUUAUCACAUGCUGGGAUAGGGAACAAGGCUUAACAUAGACAUUUUAAAAAAUAUUAACCUAUACUGUGUAGCUUAACCAUCAUAUAAUAGUACCCACGGGCUAUAUGCGCUCCAGCUUUGAACCCUUAGUCGACCCCCAGAGAGUGUAGCCACACGAAUUAGAUAAUAAUCUCAUAAAUAUUUACGGGGAACUCGAACCUCCCAAUCAUAUAUUAAGGUGACUUAAGAACCCGAUCAUGCAAUGUAAUAUAGGGGACUCGAACCUCCAAAUCAUAUAAUAAAGUGGACUCAAACCACCUGGCCUUAGAAAAAGGACUCGAGCCCUCAAGCCAUAUCAACCCCUGCACCGACUAGCGCGGUUUCUAGUAUUCGUCCCACCUCCACCUCUACCUUCUAUAGUUAGCUACAAAACUCUCUUUUCAGCCGUAUUAAAAUAUUUACCACAUAUUCUCAUUAAUUGAACCAAUUAUUCAUUAAGGCAUCCCAUCGGUAUCAUCAUACCAACAUCACUUGCAAGUUCAAUAUUAUGCCGUAUCAACUUAGCCAUUUGGGACUCUAACCCAUUAAAUCAAUUGACAUUCACACAGGGAAUCUAUAUACCCCAAGUUCAUUAACUUUUUAUACCAAAGCAUUAAUUCAAGUGAACAAACCAAACUAUGUGACAAAAUUAUAUUCAUUAUCAAUUUCACAAACAUGUUGAAGGCACAUUGUUUUCAAACCAUAAAUUAAGGCAAAAUAAUCAAAUUGGUGUUUAAGCAUUUCUUCUAAGUGUAUUCACCAUUACCAUGCACCCCACAAUGUUCAAAAUCAAUUAUAAAACAUAAAUAUGGCAUAAUAAACCAUACAAAAAAAUCAAUUUAAUGACCAAUCAUGUCAAAAGCCCUUAGCUAUGCCAAAACCCACGUCAAAACCUUGAAUUUAUAAUCAAUUCAUCCCAUUAAGAAAAGUAUAAGUAUAGGGAAAGAGAUACAUACCUUAGACACACAAAUAUUAGCAAGCAAUUGAGAAUUUGGAACCCUAAUGAUGAACAUAAGUUGAAACGCUUAUGCUUUCUUGGUUGGAGUUUGAGAGUGAAAUAAUUAAUGUUGUGUUAUAAAAAUUGAUGGGAAUAUGCUUAUGUAAUAUUUAAAGUGAAAGGACCUCAUUACCCAUCAUCGCAUUUAAAAUAGAACAAAUCAAACAAAAUUUGCAUAGGUUCAUGGCACAAACCUCAUUGCGGAGGCUAUCCUCUAUUCCACGGACCUUAUCGCGGGAACCUAGACUCCGUGACACGGAGGAUAUCACGUAGCUAGCCUCCAUGAGAUGGGGCUAUCCCAGAGGAUUAAUGCCUCAGGGACCUAAAAAUGCCUCGAAACUCAUUCAAAAGUUUUAAAAGUCUUCCGAGUUACCCUUUUAACAUCUCCAAACAUAAUUUGGGAAAAAAAUUGAUAUUUCAAGCAAAGAAAGGCCAAAUAUAAAAUACCUGAAAUUUCAAGGGUGUUACAUUACCACCCUCAUAGGAUCAUUCAUCCUCAAAUGAUGAGUUAGGACACAUUUCACAAAAGGAUGAUAUCAACAUACAUCAGAAUCAAAAGAUAAGCCCUGACAACAACAAAGGGGAAUGAAAUUCAUACCUCAAGCUUUUUCAUCUGUCACAUAGAAUAGAAAUGGAUACUUAUCCUUCAUAUCCUCUUCUGCCUACCAAGUGGCUUAUUCCACUUUGUGGUUCCUACAAAGGGCCUUUACCAAUGAUACAACUUUAUUAUGCAAUCUACAAACUUAUCUAUCCAAGAUCUCCAUCGAGACCUCUUCAUAAGACAGGGAAUCUGAUACACUAACAUUCUCAAUAGGAAAACCAAGGAAGGAUCACACACACAUUUCCUCAACAUGGACACGUGAAACACAGGGUAAAUAGAACCCAAACUCACAGGCAACUAUAAAUCAUAAGCAACACUUCCCACUCUUUUCAAAAUCAAAUAAGGAUCGAUGUAAUGGGGAUUGAGCUUUCCCAUCUUUCUAAAAUUCAUCACUCCCUUCAUGGAAGACACCUUUAAGAACACCCUAUCAGCCACAUCAAAUAUCAACUCUCUUCGGCUGACGUACGCAUAGAUCUUUUGGCGACUUUGGACAGUCUUAAGCCUAUACCGAAUCACCUUCACUUUCUCCAUAACUUAAUGGACUAAAUCAAUACCGAGCAACGUCGCCUCACCAACUCCGAACCACCCAAUAAGGGAUCUACAUCUCCUACCACACAAAGCCUCAAAAGGUGUCAUACAAAUGCUAAAGUGAUAGUUAUUAUUACAGGAGAACUAAAAAAGAGGUAAGUGGUCAGCCCAAUUACCACCAAAGUCUACUACACAAGCCCGAAGUGUAUCCUUUUAAGUCUGAAUGGUCCUUUCAGCUUGUCCAUCCAUCUACAGGUAGAAAAAGGAGUUAACGGUCACUUUAGUCCCCAAACCUUGCUAAAACGAACACAAAAAAUGAGAAUGAGAACUUAGUACCACAAUCAACAAUAAUGGAAAUAGGAGUACUAUGCAACUUCACGACCUCUUGAAUAUACAAUAUUGCAUGAUACUUAGCAGAAUAAUUAGUUCUCACUGGUAUGAAAUGAGCAGACUUAGUAAUCCUAUCCACGAUGACCCAAAUAGAAUCAAACUAGUUACGACACUAUGGAAGACCGGUAACAAAUUCCAUAUUUAUCACUUUCCAUUUACAUACAGGCAACUUAAUUUAAUGAGAUAACCCAUCAGGCCUCAAAUGUUCCACUUUCACUUAGUUACACACCAUGCACUUAGCCAAAAAAUUGGCCAGCUAUCUUCAUAUUAUUCUAUUAAUAAAUUUCCUUAAGGUCAUGGUACAUCUUAGUGGAACCAAGAUGAACCAAAUAACACAACUCAUGAGCUUUGACCAAAAUUCUACCUCGCAACCCAUCCAUAUUGGGAACACACAACCUCUCUUGGUACCUCAAAGUACCACUACCACCAAUCUCGAAAGCUAUCAACUUUUUCCUACCCACAUUAUUGUUGAUUUGCAUCAAGAAGGGUCCAACACCUGCUUCUCCUAUACCUCAAUGCCAAGAGAUGACUUUGCCCCCUCUUGCAAAAACACACCACCAUUCUCAGAAUCUAAUAGACGAACUCUGAGAUUAGCAAAAUGGUGAAUAUCCUUCACCAAAUGCCACUUUUUUUCUUCCAUUUGAGAUAAGCUCCCCAUAGAUAACCUGCUAAGAGCAUCAUCAACCACAUUAGCUUUACUUGGGUGAUAGUGGAGACUUAUGUCGUAGUCUUUGAGCAACUCAGUCUAUCUUCUUUGCUUGAGAUUCAACUCUUUCUUGGUAAAUACAUAUUAUAGGCUCUUAUGAUCUUAAAAGAUGUCAACAUGGACCCUAUAUAGAUAAUUCUGCCAAAUCCUCAAUGCGAAAACUACUGCCAAUAGUUCCAAAUCAUGAGUCAAAUAAUUUUUCUCAUGAACUAUCACCUACCUAGAAGCAUAUGCUAACACCAUGCCACGCUGCAUCAAAACAUAAAUAAGUCCCAUACGUGAGCAUCACAAUAAAUAACAAAACCAUCACUACCUUCGGGUAGGGUCAAAACUAGAGAUUAUUUUUCAGCCUCUUUAAACUCCCUUCACAAGCAUCGGACCAGAGAAACUUUACCUUUUUCUGAGUCAACCUAGUCAAAGGUGCAACAAUCGAUGAAAAGCUCUCUACGAACCUCCCAUAAUAACUUGCUAAACCCAAGAAGCUCUAAAUAUCGGUUGGAGUCAUAGGUCUACGCCACUUCAUUACCACUUCAACCUUCUGUGGAUCCACCAUGAUCCUUUCACUAGAAAUAACAUGACCCAAAAAAGUGACAACAUUCAACCAAAACUCACACUUAGAAAACUUACCAUACAAUUGCUGACCUUUUAGGGUCUGCAACAUAACACGGAGGUGAUUGACAUGAUCCACCUCAUUUUUUGAAUAUACCAGAAUAUCUUCUAUGAACACAAUCAUGAACAAUUACAAAAA